AUAUGGGAAGGUUGAGCUGCUGUUUAUCUGUUCCUAGAGAUGCUAGAAUUUUGGAGAAUUUUAUCUUUGAAAAUCUUUAAAAUAACACAUGAUGAGUUCCUGUAUGAUGAGAGUUUAAAUUCCUACCACAGCUAUAUAUACAUGCUUGCUAGACUUUGAGCCACACAUUUAUUUUUUUACUGCUUAUGAGCAUUGAGUGUGGUAAAGCUGUGUAGACUCUUAGGAGCUUGUCAUGUGGUUAAAUCAUGAUUCACUUGCACAUUCACUCAUACAUGCUGCUUCUACUCUGGAAGUACGCAUCCACAUACAUCCACUCAAUUCCAUCUUCAGAUUCACCCGAAAAUAUUCUACUCCUAAUCUGGGAGAGAAUAGCCAAAAAACAUUCUCCUAUUCCUGUUUUUCCCUGUGAAAUAAAUGCUCAAGAUAUUUUGGUUACUACCACUUGCUAUAUUAUUCUAGGAGGAUGAGUGCUCUAAAAAAAAGUGAAUACGAGGAAAUAAAAAGGGGCAAGUGCCCGGAACCUCGAAGAAAAGAAAAAGUGGGACGAGAGGUAAAAAUGGACAAGUGUCCGACAGUAGAAUUAGGGGUACAAGAUACCCACCUGAGAGAAAAGAAAAAAAAAGAGAAAAUAUAGAGCAUCUCAAAAAGCUUCAAAGUGCAAGAAAGGUAUGUAUCCCCUCAAAAGAGCAAACGUAGAAUUAGACUUUCACCAUUAUUAUCACCAUCAUCACCAUACACCUUUUAUUCGCCACACAUGCACAUCUUGAUUUGACUUAUUGACUUGUUCUUCUGGAUCCAUGAUUUGACUAUGCAAUAAAUGUCUUGUAAGUAUGUAUUAGCUGUCUCCCUCCUUUGAGCUCCAGAUAUCAAAACCUUAUUAGAGUAGGGUGAGAGAGAAGGCAAUGCCACUAUGCCUCAUAACAAAAAUACCACAUACUUUGAGAGAAGGCAUAUACCAUUACUGCCUUGGUAAGGAUCCAAAAAUACCACAAAAGAGAGACUAGAGAGAGUCAUACAAGAAAUCUCUGAGUUUUAUUUGAAAAUCUACAAAAACUCCAGAGCUAUAGCUGAUCAAGAAUAAGAGACAUGGUGCUUGACUAGACCGUUCUAUCUUUUAACUGCUCAAGACAGAAGUGACAGUUACAAGUCCCAUGGUAAAAGGUAAAACAAGUAAGUUUUCAGUCUUGACAGUUUACUCUAACAUAGAGAUGAGAUCUUGUUUGGACGCAUGUGUAUCUUUAAGGCAUGAAACCACUGAGAAACUCUUGAGUUCAUCUUUGCUCAGGGACGAGCAAAGGUUAAGCUUGGGGGAGCUUGUUGACGGUCCUUAAUGCUCAUAUUUAACCAUCAAUUAAUCAUGGAAAAGGAUCCAAAUGCAACCAACACCUAGACUUAGGGUUUUAUCUAACAGAAUUCCACGAGUUUUGGUGUUUGUCUAUUUCUACAGGGGGUUAUCAAGAAAUACGGAAGAAAGGCCCACACGUCGGGUUUACAUAGAGAUAUUAAUGUGCCGUGCAAUUUACUAUCAUCUAAAAGACUCCAGAAGCCACGGGAACAAAGUGGAAUCCGAGAGGGCUCAGGGACAGGGCGCCCGCCCUAGUCCUGAGGGCGCCCGCCACUUUCAGAGUCCAAUCAGGACACGUUACGGGGAUUAUGCUCCACCGACCUAAAGGAUCAAGGAUAACCGUUCAAUCAAUGUCGGUUUGAUCUGACGGCCCAGAUUCAUGUGAAAAGACUAUAUAAGCAAGGCCCCCUAGCCCCUGGAGAUCAUACCUCUUCUACAGAAUCAAAGCUAGGGUUUUAAUUCUUCAUCCAAGUAGAGAGGAUCCCUCUAGUUCUUCUAGUUCUAUCUCUAGUUCAUCUAGAUCUAGUUCUAGUUCAUCUAGUUCUAGUUCUAGUUCCUCUAGUUCUAGUUCUAGUUAGUUCUAGUUGCAAUAUAGAAUAUAGGGAGAGAGAAGAGGAGAGUGGAGGAGGAGCCGGAUCUGUCGGAUCUUCCUCAACAUUGUACUUUUGUAGCAACUGGUUCGUUCUUCAUCGUUCUCCAGGUUCUUCAAUUCAUAAUUCCUGAGUUCUUUAAUUACUUUUAUUUACAUUCAAGUUAUUUGUUGGAUUCCUGCUUCCAUCAAGUGCUCUAGUCUUUGAUACGCUAGAGUAGUAAUUAAUAGAUUAGACAUGGUGUUUAGUCUUGCAAUUACCUGAAAUUGCACCCAAUCCUGCGGAUUGUUGUGGUAGCCUUAGGGCAGUGACAGCCCUAACGGUCGACGUAUUCCACCUCGUUCGGAUUAGUGUUUGUAGGACCGUAGUCAGACCUUCCUAGCCCCCUUCUCAUCUCUUUCUGUGGUUAGUGCUCUGAUGUCCCGAUAUAAAUAAUCUUGAAGAAAUUCUUGAUUCUUAGAUCAAAUAGAUAACUCUCAGGAAACUUCCUCUCUUCCCACCAAAAAUAAUUAUAUAGUUAUCCUUGGGCGAUCUUGGAUCUUAAUUCGUACACUCACGUUCUCUGUGGAAAAUCGAUACUCUGGAAUACUCCCGGGUGAAAGCUACAUCGGUAUCCGUGCGCUUGUGGAUUUUUCUGUUUGCGUUUAAAAUACCCAACACUAAUGCACCAUAGGCUAAGAAACCAUUUUAGAGGCACCCGAUGGUACUCGUAGUUGAAGAAGCUCAAGUGGAGGCUCGAUUUGGUCUGUUCAGAUAUAGUGCUAAUCUGAUGCAAGAUAGUUCCACAGUUUGCAUGCAACGUACCAUAUGUUAAGAAAUCAAUUUGGACGCACCCAAUGGAACUCCUAUAUGACGUGUGUCAUAUGGAAUCUCGCUUCGGUCUGUUUGGAGACAAUGUUAGUUUCGGUGCAAGAUAGGUGCAUAGUUUGUGCCUAAUGCACCAUAGUCUAAGAAAUCAUUUUUGACACACCUGUUUGUACUCCUAGAUGAAGAGGCUCCAGUGGAAGCUCGGUUCGGUCUGUUUGGAGAUAGUGCUAAUCUUGAUGCAAGAUAGGUGCACGGUUUGCAUGGAACAUACCAUAUGCUUGGAAAUCAAUUUGGAUGCACCCGAUGGAACUCCUUGAUGAUGUGUGUCAUAUGGAAUCUCACUUUGGUCUGUUUAGAAAUAGUGUUAGUUUUGGUGCAAGAUAUGUGCAUGGUUUGCGCCUAACGCACCAUAGUCUAAGAAACCAUUUUGGAAGCACCUGUUGGUACUUUGGUGAAGAGGUUAAAGUGGAAGCUUGGUUUGAUAUGUUUAGAGAUAGUGCUAAUCUUGAUGCAAGAUAGGUGCAUGAUUUGCAAAGAACAUACCAUAUGCUUAGAAAUCAGUUUGGACGCACCCAAUGGAACUCCUAGAUGACGUGUGUCAUUUGGAAUCUUGCUUCGGUCCGUUUGUAGACAUUGUAAGUUUUAGUGCAAGAUAGGUGCACAGCUUGCACCUAAUGCACCAUAGUCUAAGAAACCAUUUUGGAUGUACUAUUUGGUACUCUUGGGUGAAGAGGCUCAAGUGGAAUCUUGGUUCUGUCAGUUUGGAGAUAGUGUUAAUCUUUAUGCAAGUUAGGUCCAUGGUAUGCAUGGAACAUACCAUAUGCUUGGAAAUCAAUAUGGAUGCACCCGAUGGAACUCCUUUACGACGUGUGUCAUAUGGAAUCUCGCUUCGGUCCAUUUGGAGACAUUGUUAGUUUUGGUGCAAGAUAGGUGCACAUUUUGCACCUAAUGCACCAUAUUCUAAGAAACCAUUUUGGACGCACUUGUUGGUACUUCUAGGGGAAGGGGCUCAAGUGGAUGCUCGGUUCGGUCUAUUUAGAGAUAGUGCUAAUCUUGAUGCAAGAUAGGUGCACGGUUUGCAUGGAACAUACCAUUUGCUUGGAAAUCAAUUUGGAUGCACCUGAUGGAACUCCUUGAUGAUGUGUGUCAUAUGGAAUCUCACUUUGGUAUGUUUAGAAAUAGUGUUAGUUUCGGUGCAUGAUAUGUGCAUGGUUUGCGCCUAAUGCACCAUAGUCUAAGAAACCAUUUUGGAAGCACCUGUUGGUACUCCUAGGUGAAGGGGCUCAAGUGGAUGCUCGGUUCGGUCUGUUUAGAGAUAGUGCUAAUCUUGAUGCAAGAUAGGUGCACGGUUUGCAUGGAACAUACCAUAUGCUUGGAAAUAAAUUUGGAUGCACCCGAUGGAACUCCUUGACGACGUGUGUCAUAUGGAAUCUCGAUUCGUUCCAUUUGGAGACAAUGUUAGUUUCGGUGCAAGAUAGGUGCAUAGUUUGUGCCUAAUGCACCAUAGUCUAAGAAGCCAUUUUUUGACACACCUGUUUGUACUCCUAGAUGAAGAGGCUCAAGUGGAAGCUCGGUUUGAUAUGUUUAGAGAUAGUGCUAAUCUUGAUGCAAGAUAGGUGCAUGAUUUGCAAGGAACAUACCAUAUACUUAGAAAUCAAUUUGGACGCACCCAAUGGAACUCCUAGAUGACGUGUGUCAUAUGGAAUCUUGCUUCGGUCCGUUUGUAGACAUUGUAAGUUUUAGUGCAAGAUAGGUGCACAGCUUGCGCCUAAUGCACCAUAGUCUAAGAAAGCAUUUUGGAUGCACUAUUUGGUACACUUGGGUGAAGAGGCUCAAGUGGAAUGUUGGUUCUGUCAGUUUAUAGAUAGUGUUAAUCUUUAUGCAAGGUAGGUCCAUAGUUUGCAUGGAACUUACCAUAUUAUUGGAAAUCAAUUUGGAUUCACCCGAUGGAACUCCUUGACGACGUGUGUCAUAUGGAAUCUCGCUUCGGUCCAUUUGGAGACAUUGUUAGUUUCGGUGCAAGAUACGUGCACAUUUUGCACCUUAUGCACCAUAGUCUAAGAAACCAUUUUGGACGCACUUGUUGGUACUUCUAGGGGAAGGGGCUCAAGUGGAUGCUCGGUUUGGUCUAUUUAGAGAUAGUGCUAAUCUUGAUGCAUGAUAGGUGCACGGUUUGCAUGGAACAUAUCAUUUGCUUGGAAAUCAAUUUGAAUGCACCUGAUGGAACUCCUUGAUGAUGUGUGUCAUAUGGAAUCUCACUUUGGUAUGUUUAGAAAUAGUGUUAGUUUCGGUGCAUGAUAUGUGCAUGGUUUGCGCCUAAUGCACCAUAGUCUAAGAAACCAUUUUGGAAGCACUUGUUGGUACUCCUAGGUGAAGGGGCUCAAGUGGAUGCUCGGUUCGAUCUGUUUGGAGAUAGUGCUAAACUUGAUGAAAGAUGGGUGCACGGUUUGCAUGGAACAUACCAAAUGCUUGGAAAUCAAUCUGGACGCACAUGAUGGAACUCCUAGAUGACGUGUGUCAUACAAAAUCUUGCUUUGGUCUGUUUGGAGACAGUGUUAGUUUCGGUGCAAGAUAGGUGCAUGGUUUGCACAUAAUGCAGCUGUUGACACUGUUUUUGCGCACGUGUCCAUAAUCGGUAAAGUGUAGAUCGGCAAGAUGAGACAGUGGUGUUUGAUCUGCAGGGUGAGUUGCCGAUGAAGAUGGUUGCCGAUGGAAGGGUGGCUGAACAUGACCAAGUCUAUGGGUGAUGAUGUGUUUGUGCCGAUGGCUGAACAUGACCAAGUCUAUGGGUGAUGAUGUGUUUGUGGCGAUGGCUAUAACGAAGGAGCCUACCGAUGGUACGAAAGAGGAGUCUGGAAGUUACCGAUUGGCUGGUAGGGGUGUUCCAGUUUGUCACGGGGGGGGAUAGCUUUAUGUUUUCCUUAGUUAUUUAAAUCAUUUGGUAUACGGAUUCUGUGUAAUUUGGAAUUCGAGUUCUAGUCGUGUCUGGUUGUAGCUCUUUGAGCAGGGUAUAAAUGUAGACCCUAGGGCCUUGUAAUGAUCUAAAAAUCAAUCAAACACAUGUUUUUACUCAUAUUCCAAGCAUCUACUUUUUUCGACGACUUCGUCAUACUUUUUCCUUUUCAUUACGAGUUCUUAGGAAUUUGUCGACUUAAGCUCGGCGUGUCCUCAAGUUCCGCGUGGAUACCUCUUGGCUGUGACAUCCGGGCGCAUCGCUGUUGUGGGGACCAAAGUAUUCGAGUUACCACCUUUGCCGAUAGUAAGAUCAAAUUGGCUGGCACGCCUUAACGUUUGAACCGGGUAUUAGCCCUUUGUGUUUGCAGAUCCAACUUUUGCACCAACACAUCUUUUGGCACGCUCGGUGGGACAGAUUCAAGAUCAAGAUCAACAUGUCGACUUCUGAGUUUGAUCAGGAGAACGUUAUCCCCGUGACGGAAGCCAAUCUCAAGGAUGAGCAGAAGCAAGCUAUUGCUAAGGCCAUGGAGGAUUACAAGCAGCAAUGCCUAAGGUCCUUCCGCAUGAACAGGAGUGGCGAGGUGUCGAGGGUAUCGGUAAGGGCUACCCUCAGCGAUGCGCAUUAUGAGAUUGCCCGUACGAAGGUCGAGACCCUCAAUUCGACGCUCUAAUCUUACGUAUGCGCCGCCAUCGACGGUCGCAGCCUCGAAGACGGAAAUAGCGUCGAGCGAAUCGGUCAGGGCUCGAGCGACAACUGCCGUCGAAAACGGAAGCGGGCUCGAGCGAACCGAGAGGCGCCGGGCGCAAGGACACUGUCCGCCGCCUGACGCGCGCACACGGGCCAGAGCAUUAAAUGCACCUGACGCUUCCCCACCUAACACACGGGUCACGGAAGGCGUGAUAGGGAACAAGCUUCCGUCCCAUCGUUCUUUUUGCAGCCUUCCCACCGAACGACCCAGGGCGUGUUAGGACGCAGGAAACAAGGAUGGAACGUCUAAUCAGGACCCCCUCGAGACACCCAAGGUCAGCGCUCCAGAUAUCAGCAUAUUACGCGGCGUCCAACCCUCGACCGAACAGGGUCCCUUCCCAGGGACAAGUUGGGCGUCGACUGACAACACCACAGCUACCCCGCCGGAUCCGCCACCAUACCGUACAAACAUGCGACCUCAGAACCAGCACAAGGCGGCCGGCAGGGCAGAACGCAGGAGCACGCGUAAUCAUCACCAGGCUAUCAAGAUGGGACGGCUCGAGGCCAUGCCGUACGGAAGCCUCGAGUAGGUCAGCGCUCCAUGCGGCUAUCGAUCCCUACUCUAACAUCUACGCAUGUACCCUGUGUCUCUCCUUGGAGCUAUAAAAGGAGAGACUCAGGAAUAGAAGAGGGGGACAUCACAACACAAGAACUCACACACGUAGUAGAGCUACACACUUCACACCACGCUUGUAUUCGCCCCUGUACAAGCACUUAGGUGCAAGAUAAUACAAACUCUCUCCCCCCGCUGGAUGUAGGGCCUUCUCUUGCCCGAACCAGGAUAAAUCUCUGUGUCUUCUUGCAUCACCAUCCGGAAAGGGGAGCACGCAUACAAAUUUACUCAUUGGUGUGACCCCCCGGGGGAAAAACACCGACAGUUGGCGCGCCAGGUAGGGGUCCUGCGUGUUUUUCACCGAUUUUCCACUACUUUCCGGAUGGCUACUCUUGCCUCGCCGCUUCCGCGCUCCACGGUGAUUUGGUUUGGGAGUCUCGAGUUCAUGUCUACGGGCUCCGGCUACGACAUGAUCUUGCUCUCAGUCAAAGGACCAGGAGGAGUCCGCGUUACGCCAGCACGGUUGAAGGCCCCGAGACGCCCUCACCACCACGCCUCCCCGCCUAAGAAGAGGCGCGGGCAGCACCACCGCGGCCCCUCUGCUUCAGCACGACCAACAACUCGUGCAAGGCUGGAUGUGGGCCACCAGUCGGCAACACCGUGUGACGGAGCAACAAGCACGACGACUCAGCACCGCGCAGCGACGGGGGGGGACGCGUCUCGCGCGCCCUCCCCCACCGCAGCUAGACUACUUCCACACGGGUUGUUCUCUCCAAGGGCGGCACUGCCGUUCGGGUUGGACAACGCCGCGGCGUCGCUCGCCAGGGCGAUAUGCCCAAACGCCCAGACGUACGUAGAAAGACCAAUGGUCCUCCCACGUAGCUCUGAAGCGCGGCGGCCGGCAUCCGAGCUGCCGGAUCUUUCCCGAGUACGAGGCCUCCGUCGUCUAGGCCCCGGACGAUACUCGAUCACCUCCCUCAGGCAACGAUUGCUGGAGGAAGGACGUGGGUGUUUCCACGCCGCCGAACCGGACUCCGAGACAGACAGCUAUGACCCUACGAGGGAAUGCUAUCACAUCGACGGGGCGGCAGAAACCACCGACGAGACACAGGAUGCUGCUGCGGGUGGUCGAGCCCCCGCGGCGCAAGAAGACCCCAGGACGCCUGGGAACGACGGACGGCUCGACCCUCUUCCUCAGGAAGAUAGAACUGCGCAGCUCACGCAGCUGCGGGAGCUCAAGAUGAAGCUCGACGAAGAUCGCGAGCGCCUCGUCCUGCUCGAGCAAAUCCUCGAACAAGACCUGCCCUACCCGCCGGGCGGAAGUGUCCGCAGACGCGCUCGAGAGGUACAUCGACAGAUCGUCGGUGACGCAGAAGCGGAGCAACCUGUCAGCCGUUUUCCCCGAGCAGGCCAGAAUGUAGUGGCAGCGACGAUGCUGCUACGUAACAUGCCAGAGCCGUCGAAUUCCCAGGCCCGGCGCAUUUGAGAUGAAGUUCAGACAUUGCUCCAGGUGGCAGCAGUUCAACAAGCCGAAAGUUCGGCGUCUCGACGACGAGGAGCUGCCACAGAGAAGCGCGACGAACAGCCUCUAAUCGAAGAGGAGGUGUCUGUCCAGCAACAACCUCCCCCUCGAGGUAGAAAGACCGCUCUCAUCCUCCCUGCCGACAAUCAACGUCAACACGACGCGCGGCACGACAUCAAAGAAAAUAGACGCCGCCGGCACGGAGACGCGGAAGAACGUGGUUAUAGCGCGCAUCGCGGUGGGAGGUACGACAGCGACGAGGACCGGGUGGCCCCCGAGCCACCGGGCCCGCGGGUGUUCAGCAGGGCGAUUCGCAGCACGCCCCUGCCUAGUCCAUUUCGACCCCCAACCAGCAUCGCGAAGUACAAUGGAGAAACCAAGCCAGAGCUAUGGCUGGCCGAUUUCAGGCUGGCUUGUCAGCUAGGUGGCGCUCGAGGGGAUGAUCGAGGCAUCAUCAGACAGCUACCCCUUUUCCUCUCCGACACCGCCCGUCGAUGGCUCGAGGAACUCCCUGCCAAUCAGAUUCACAACUGGGUUGAUCUGGUCAGAGUCUUCGAGGGUAACUUCAAAGGGACCUACAUACGGCCAGGGAACUCGUGGGACCUCAGCAAAUGCAAGCAGAAGUCAGGAGAGACUCUUCGGGAGUACGCUCGACGCUUCUCGAAGCAGCGCACUGAGUUGCCACACAUCCCCGACCACGACGUCAUCGUGGCGUUUGUCUCGGGCACCACCAGUCGAGACUUGGUGCGGGAAUUAGGCUGCAAUCGACCUCAGACCGUCGACGAGCUGAUGGACGUAGUAGCUAACUACGCGGCGGGGGAGGAGGCAGUCGGCGCCUUCUUCAGCUCAGAAGGAAGAAAAGGCAAGCAGCCCGUCAAUGAAGAUGGGACUUCCAGUCGAGGCCUCAAGAAAAACAAAAAGAAGCAGAAAGUGUGGCAGUUCCACUAGGAAGAUUCAGGUGACGACCUCGUCGCCGCCAUGGAUCGAAAGAAGCCGCGAGGCCCUCCGGAGGGAGGCAUCUUCGACAAGAUGUUGGAGGAGCCGUGCCCUUACCAUAAGGGAGGCGCCAACCACAAACUCAAGGACUGUCGUAUGCUGAGAAAGCAUUUCGACGGUCAGGGGUUCAAAAAAGAUACGCGUGAUGACUCCAAGAAGGAGAAGGCUGGCGGCAAGGAGGACAACAAAGAUGACGACGGCUUCCCCGCCGUCCACGACUGCUACAUGAUCUAUGGCGGGCCUUCGACUCAGUUGACCGCGAGGCAGCGCAAAAGGGAGCGUCGCGAAGUCUUUACAGCAAGAAUGGCGGUGCCCCAGUACCUUAGCUGGUCGAGCACUCCCAUCACUUUCGACCGAGAAGACCACCCUGACAAGGUAGUCGCCCCAGGCGUCUACCCGCUCGUCGUCGACCCCAUCAUCGUCAACACCCGACUCUCGAAAGUGCUGAUGGAUGGUGGCAGCAACCUCAACAUCAUCUACCUCGAGACCCUCGAUCUCCUCGGCAUCGAUAGAGGACGCCUCCAGCCGAGCGCCGGCGGUUUCCAUGGCAUCGUACCAGGGAAAAAGGCACUGCCAGUAGGUCGAGUCGACCUACCGGUCUGCUUCAGCACGGCGGCCAACUUCAGGAAGGAGACCCUCACCUUUGAGGUGGUUGGGUUCCGAGGCACGUACCACGCCAUCAUCGGGCGCCCGGGCUACGCCAAGUUCAUGGCUAUACCCAACUACACAUACUUGAAGCUGAAGAUGCCUGGUCCCAAAGGCGUCAUCACUGUCAGUUCCUCCUUCGAGCACGCGUACGAGUGCGACGUCGAGUGCGUCGAGUACGGGGAGGCGGUUGAGAGCUCCACCGAGCUCGUUGCAAAGCUCGAGGCCAUGGCCGCUGAGGCUCCAGAGCCUAAACGUCAUGCGGGCAGCUUCGAGGCGGCGGAAGGAACUAAGAAGAUCCCGCUCGACCCCAACAACUCCGACAGCAAGGUACUGACGAUCAGCACCGACCUCGACCCCAAAUAGGAAGCCGUGCUCAUCGACUUUCUCCGUGCAAAUGCUGAUAUGUUUGCAUGGAGUCCCUCGGAUAUGCCGGGCAUACCGAGGGAAGUCGCCGAGCACUCCUUGGAGAUUCGAGCCGGUUCCAAGCCAGUGAAGCAGCGGUUGCACCGAUUCGACGAGGAAAAGCGCAAGAUCAUUGGCGAGGAAGUCCACAAGCUUUUGACGGCCGGAUUCAUCAAGGAGGUUCAUCAUCCUGACUGGUUAGCGAACCCUGUAUUAGUUAAGAAAAAGAAUGGGAAAAUGAGGAUGUGUGUCGAUUAUACUAGUUUGAAUAAAGCAUGUCCAAAAGUUCCCUUUCCAUUGCCACGCAUUGAUCAGAUUGUCGAUUCUACCGCGGGAUGUGAAACCCUUUCUUUCCUUGAUGCUUAUUCUGGUUACCACCAAAUAAAAAUGAAAGAGUCCGACCAGCUCGCGACCUCUUUCAUCACACCUUUCGGGAUGUAUUGCUACGUGACCAUGCCAUUUGGGCUUCGAAAUGCGGGAGCCACGUAUCAACGUUGCAUGCUCCACGUAUUUGGCGAACAUAUAGGCUCAACGGUCGAGGCCUACGUCGACGACAUUGUCGUCAAGUCAAAGCGACGAGGAGACCUGAUCCAGGACCUCGAGGUUGCCUUCAGCUGCUUACGCACCAGCCGGAUCAAGCUCAAUCCCGAGAAGUGCGUUUCGGCGUGCCUCGAGGCAUGCUCCUAGGAUAUAUUGUUUCGCAGCGCGGUAUCGAGGCCAACCCCGAGAAAGUCUCGGCCGUCACGAAAAUGGGGCCAAUCCGAGACAUCAAGGGUGUGCAGAGAGUCACGGGGUGCCUGGCGGCUCUGAGCCGUUUCAUCUCGAGACUAGGAGAAAAGGCAUUACCAUUAUAUCGACUCCUAAAGAAGGUCGAGCGCUUUUCUUGGACCCCCGAGGCCGAGGAAGCACUCGAAAAACUGAAAAAGACGCUGACCUCGGCACCGGUCCUGGUUCCACCUCAACCUGCGGAGCCACUGCUCCUCUACGUCGCGUCGACGACCCAGGUCGUCAGCGCGGCGGUGGUGGUCGAAAGACAAGAGGAGGGUCACGCGCUGCCAGUCCAAAGGCCAGUCUAUUUCGUCAGCGAGGUGCUUUCGGAGACCAAGGCGCGUUACCCCCAAAUCCAGAAGCUGAUCUACGCCGUAAUCCUUGCCCGCCGCAAAUUGCAGCAUUACUUCCUUGGUCAUCCUAUCACGGUGGUCUCUUCUUUCCCCUUGGGCGAGAUAAUCCAGAGCAAGGAGGCCACGGGAAGGAUAGCUAAGUGGUCGGUCGAGCUCAUGAGCGAGACUCUCACUUACGCGCCUCGAAAGGCCAUCAAAUCGCAAGCCCUGGUAGACUUCGUCGCGGAAUGGACAGACUCCCAGCUUCCCCCGACUCAGGUCCAGGCGGAGCUGUGGACAAUGUAUUUCGACGGGUCACUCAUGAAAACUGGGGCCGGGGCCGUCCUGCUGUUCAUCUCACCCUUGGGCGUCCACAUGAGGUAUGUAAUCAGGAUUCAUUUUGCCGCAUCUAACAAUGUCGCAGAAUAUGAGGCCCUCGUCAACGGUCUUAAGAUCGCUAUCGAGUUAGGAGUCCGACGCCUCGACGUCCGAGGUGACUCCCAACUCGUCAUCGACCAGGUAAUGAAAACCUCGAGUUGCCAUGACCCAAAAAUGGAAGCAUACUGCAAGGAGGUGCGUCGACUCGAAGACAGGUUCCACGGCCUCGAGCUUGUCCAUGUCGCUCGACGCUACAACGAGGCAGCCGACGAACUCGCCAAGAUUGCAUCUACCAGAGGCACAGUGCCGCCUGAUGCAUUCUCAAAGGAUCUUCACGAGCCAUCCGUCGACCUAGGCACGGGGGCUGGCGUCGACACCACCAUCGCCCAACCAACCAAUGCUGUCGAUGCGCUCUUGAUGGAGGAAGAGGUGAUGGAAAUAGAACGACGACCGGGUCGACCAUUCGAUUGGCGCACACCGUUCCUCGACUGCCUUAUCCGCGGUGAGUUGCCAGAAGACAAGACAGAAGCUCGUCGUAUCGCUCGACGGGCCAAAUCAUAUGUGAUCUAUGGCGAAGACAACGAGCUAUAUCGACGGAGCCCGACAGGGGUCUUACAACGUUGCAUCACCGUAGAGGAAGGCCGAAAACUCCUCGAUGACCUGCACUCGGGGGCUUGUGGCCACCACGCCGCCCCACGGACCCUUGUAGGAAACGCUUUUCGGCAAGGCUUUUACUGGCCAACGGCCGUGGCGGAUGCCAUCGAGCUCGUACGCUCGUGUCAUGGGUGCCAAUUCUACGCCAAACAGACGCAUCUGCCCGCCCACGCUCUUCAGAUGAUCCCCAUCACCUGGCCGUUUGCGGUAUGGGGGCUCGAUUUAGUAGGGCCUCUACAAAAGGCGAAAGGAGGGUAUACCCAUUUGCUGGUGGCCAUCGACAAGUUCUCCAAAUGGAUCGAGGCUCGACCCAUCACCAACAUCCGCUCCGAGCAGGCCGUCCUUUUCUUCUCCGACAUCAUCCAUCGGUUUGGGAUCCCCAAUGUCAUCAUCACCGACAACGGCACCCAGUUCACUGGCAGAAAGUUCUUGGAUUUCUGCGAUCAGCAUCACAUCCGUGUGAACUGGUCCGCAGUAGCCCACCCUCGAACUAACGGCCAGGUCGAGCGUGCCAACGGCAUGAUUUUGCAAGGACUCAAGCCAAGGAUCUACAAUCGAUUGAAGAAAUUCGGCAAGAAAUGGGUUGAGGAGCUUUCCUCAGUCCUAUGGAGCCUUAGGACAACGCCAAGCAGGGCCACAAAAUACACCCCGUUCUUCAUGGUCUACGGCUCUGAAGCUAUCCUCCCCACAGACCUCGAGUAUGGGUCACCACGACUCAAGGCUUACAACGAGCAAUCGAACAAAGAGACUCAGGAAAACGCGGUCGACCAACUCGAGGAGGCUCGAGACAUGGCCCUCCUCAACUCUGCUAGAUAUCAGCAGAGGCUCCGACGCUACCACGACAAGCACGUGCGCAAGAGGGACCUCAAUGUAGGCGACCUUGUCCUACGACGCCGGCAAAGCAACCAAGGACGCCACAAGCUGACCCCACCUUGGGAAGGCCCGUAUGUGGUGGCCGAGGUCCUUAAGCCAGGAACGUACAAAUUGGCGGACGAAAAGGGGGCAGUCUUCACCAACGCAUGGAACAUCGAACAGCUACGUCGAUUCUACCCCUAGAAGUCCUAGAUUUACGAUCCUACUUUUUGAACGAAGACUUUGUAAAUGAACGCAUGAAUAAAUAAAGUCUUUCCCUCGAGCGGCUUCUUUCUGUACCAAAAAUAGUUACGAGUUAUAGUCUCGACGUCAAAAGGGGAUGCCGACCCUGACCCAUCAUAGUCCGCACCCCCUCGGGGGCUACCAGAGGGACGACCCCUCCCCAAGCGUCGAAAAAGCCAAGAAAUUUUCUUUUCUGGCUUGGUAAACCUUACACGGUUCGAGUAGCUAAGGCACCUCGAGCCCCUCAAAGGCCGAGGGAUAAUGAGCCGGAAAACUCCCACGCCCCUGGGCUACGGAAAUCGAGUUUGUUUCUGACGAAAGGUCGAGCAAGGGAUACAAACGUAGGAAUAAAGAGAAACAAAGGAACCUCGAGCGGAAAGACAAAUAAGCAGUUAACAAUUACGAAAAGAUACUAUAUCAUGUAACAGCAAAAUUAAUAAAGUAUCGUACAAGGGGCCUCAGGCGCCCUGAGCAGGCUCGCAGGCCUCAGUCAACGGCACGAUCCUCACCGCCCUCGCCUCCGCCCGAGCUAGCCUCAGGAGGGAGCACCUCAGGCUCGAAGAGCUUGGCCAACCUUUCCCCAGGAGCCUCCGCGUCGUCGAUCAAGGCAUGGAGCCUCUCCUCGUUCUCCGCGUCGGUCUUGGAGAUGUCGGUGACGAAGCCAUGGGACACCACCUCCAUGUCGUAGGAGAAGCCCGAGCAGACAACCGCCAUCGCCCGCUUCACCCCGAUGUGGAGGGCAUCCCGCACCCGAUCUCGCAGUGUUGCGCCUAUGUAGCACAACUGGUCGAUCAGGGCGUCGCCUCGAGUGUCCUCCCUCGACUCAUCCAUAGGCUCGACCUCCCAAGAGGUCGAGAGAUCGCUUAUCGCCGUCCGCACUCGACGGUUCAAAGCAACCUCAGCCUCGAGCUGAGCCUUGGCGUUGCGAGCCUCGGCUUGGGCGGCCAGGAGUUCGUCCUUGAGCCCUAUAAAUACCAAUACAAAGAAGCUUUAGGAAAAACUCAAGCACACCUCGAAAAGGAAAUUCGACAAAGGAAACAUACCUUUGAUGCUCUCCUCUAGGGCCGUGUUCUCGCCGACCAAUCUGGUGUUGGCACGCUCGAUCUCUCUGUUGGAGCGCGCCAGCUCAGUAUUGGCGACGCGGAGAUCUUCGAUCACCCUGCCAGCCUGAGCGACGGCUCCACUCUUCUCCAGCAAUUCUCCCUUCAGACGCUCGACGUCGUCAGAGAGACUGCGGGAUCGAGCUCGCUCCAUCUCGAGGUCUUCGAGGGCCUUCUUCUUUGCGUCCUCGGCGGCACCCCUGGCGACCUCAUUGUCCACGAACGCCACUUUCAUCUUUUGGAAGGUAUCGCGGAGGGAGUCCAGGUCGGUUUGGAGAAGGCCCUUCUCCUUGUCCAGGUCCGCGAUGACGCUCUUGUGGGACAGGGCCUCCUCCCGGGCUCUGGACGCGGCCUCCUCGACCGUAAGAGCCCGCUCCCGUAGCUGCAUCGCCUCCUCCUCCGCCUUCUUCGAGACCUCUCGGGCCUCGGCCAAAGCAGCCUCCCUCACCUUCUUCUCCUCCUCGAGUGCUAUGAGAUCUUUGUAAGCUUUAAGCAGCUUUUCCUGCGACUCGAGGAGUUGAUCCUUGAGGAGGGGAAGCUGCUCCCAUCCGCCCCUCGUGGCAUGUAUGAAGCUGGACUUGAUGCGAGAGGUCUCUUUCAUAUCCUGCGAAUCAGGGGUCAGAGGGAUUAGAACACAGAAACCAGAAAGCACCACAAAGAUUGGAGCUCGAGAAACACUUACAAAAUAAGCUGGCCCAAGCCCGUUGUUGAUGACGUCCGAUAGGAGCCCCACCACGUGUUUCAUCCAAAGGCGGAGCUCCUCGACGUGCUCCCACUUCUCGACUUCCUUCUUGUCGUCGAGGAAGAUAUUGGGCUCGGACGGGUCGCUGGAAGCUCGGAUACGAAUCCGAUCGGGACACCAGUUCUCCAUCUCCCGAUCAGCCCGCACCUUGACGCCGCGGAGAAAGUUCUCGACGGUCUCGAGGGAACCCCCGUGGUGCAAGAACAGGUCGGCGAGGCAAGGGAACCGCCCAUCGUCGUCCACCGUCUUCCACGUACCGUCCUUGCUCCCAGAUGACCCGAUCUCAUCCUCCUCAGAGGGAAAGCGGUCCUCCCAUGCUCGACGCUCCCGGAGGAACCCUGGGGCGAUCCCGUCCAUGCCGUAGAUUGUCCUCUUGAUCUCGGACUCGGGGUCGGUGGGGGUGCGCAUCAUGCAGGCGAGCGCCACCACUCCGUCCGCUCGCCCCGACUCUGCCCGGAUCGCGGCAGGCGCCCCCGGGAGGAGCCACGCUGGGGUGGGAGGUCCGUACACCGGCAAAUUUCCCUCUUGAUCGCCGGGCUUUUGCGACGCCAGUGGCGCCGAUUCGGCCAAAACUUGAGGCGGGGGCUCGAGUGGCUCGUCCUCUUGGCCCCCCAGCUGCUGUUGCUGCCCCAGCUGCUGCUGCUGCUCCUCCUGCUGGUGCUGCAGCUGCUCCUCCGGCUGGGGUCGCUGCUGCUGCUGCUCCAGUGACGGCUGCGUCGCCUCGCGCUCCCGCUCCUCCUCCUCCACCACCUUCCUUUGCGCCUCGAGAGCUCGAAGGCCUGCAGGCCAGGGAGUCCGUCCCGCGACGUUGGGGGUCGAUGCUUCUUCCUCCAUAGGUCGAGCGCCCCCAGACGCUUUGUUGCCAUCAGACGUAUCGCUGAUGGUGAUGGGUUCCCCCUCGACCCCCAAUCGAGAGGGCUCGGGGGCUCCCUCUGACGCUCGCGUCUGGGGGGCCGCAUCAUGAGUCGGCGGCGGCGGAGUAGGCGCGGGACGAGAUAAAGCCCUCUCGACGCCGGCUGGAGGUUGGGUGCUGGAUGAGCCGACAAAACAAAGGGUAAGGGUCAGACGUUAUGAUAACCAACGUAAGAAUAUCGCGACACCCAGGAAUUAACUACGAACCUGGUUCCGUGGAGGCGGCACCCGUUCUGAGCCUCUUGGCCAUUGACGGUUGGGCCUGCUCGAGGGUCCGUUUCAGCCUGAGAAAAAGUCGGCAUGUGAGGAAAGGUGAAAGAAUGGGGGACAAAGACCGCAACGUCAAAAGGGCUUACCCCACGGGGAGAACGGCUCGCCUUCCGCCACCCCGCGUCGGGGCUCUAGGCCCCUCGAGGGCAGGAACUGGCUUAGGUACGUCGGUCCCCGCCUGGCGGACGCCGGGACUCGCGCUCCUACGGCCGGCGUCUCCUUUCUCAGAGGCCGCGGCGCGACCGCGAGUUAGCGGCCCCGACGCCUGGGACCUAGCCGGACCGCUCUCCCUGGGCGCCGGGGGAGGGCGCGGUGCGUCUUGGCCCGCCUUGAGCGCGGAAGGAGCGUCGGCCCGGGGACGACGAGAUCCGCUCGGACCCUCCUCUGGCGCCUCCGUCCGGGGGGCGUCGACGUCACCUCGAGGUGGGCCCUCGAGAAUCCGAUCGAGGCGCGACGCCAUCCCCUCGGAGUCGUCGCUACCCUCGUCGUCGUCAUCAUCAUCAUUGGGGGAUUCUUCCUCAGGCUCCCCCCUCUGCCUGGAUUUGGCAAGACGUGCCUAUAAUGCUUGGCGGUCGAGGUUCUUCUUCUUCUCCCCCUUCUUUGCGGAGUCCUUGGCAGACUUCAGCUUUUCGGCGGAUUGGCGCCGUUUGUCGCGAUCGACCUCGUCCUCCUUUACCGGAGGCCUCGAGGACCGGACAUCAAUCCGACCCUGCCAAAACUAAGGUAGACUUAGAAAAAAGAGAGGGGAGAAAGGAAACCCAGAAUCGGGGAUGCGCGUAAGAAGGAAGCGUACCAGAUCGAUCGAGCCUGCGUCAGGUCUCAUGGGGAAGCCGUUGACGUGCUCCGGCUGAAAAUCACCGGCAAUUGCGGCCCUGACUCGGGCCACGACUUCGUCGUCUGCCGGAGGCUCGUUGGACAUCCGACAUGCCUCGAGGUCCCGAGAUGAGACGCCAGGGCCCAUCUCGUCCAUCCUCAACGGUCGUGACAUCAGAGGGAGAACUCUCCGAUGAUGGACGGCCGAGAGGACGAGGGCGGCGGUCAAACCUUCCUGGCGAAGCUUCUUCAGGGCGUCGAGGAGAGGGUCGAGCCGAGACUGGUGAGCUUGGACGACGCCGUACGUCCAGUCCGCUGGACGCUCCAAGAUCAGACGGCCCGAGUAGGAAGGCAGGAGGUUGUCGUCAUUCCGCAGGUAGAACCAUUGGGAGUCCCAGCCCGCGUGGUUGGUCGACAACCCUACCGGGAUGUACUCCCGCGGCCGGUCCGUCUUCCCCGUCUUCUGCACCAGAUUGAGGCAACCCGCCCGCACGGGCUUCCUUACGCCCGUGGUUCCGGUGGAGGCGUGAAACAGCUCGCCCCUGUAGAGGUGGAGCCACAGCUCCCAGUGCGGCAUCAUCCCCAGGAAGCCCUCACACACGGCGGCGAAGACCGCCGCUACGGUGAUGGCGUUCGGAGAGAAGUGCUGGAGCUCCACCCCAUAAUGGAAGCAGAGGGCCCGCAUGAAGCGGCUUGGGGGCGCGCCCAGACCGUGGCGGUGAAACUUGGCGAACGACACCACGUAGCCCUCGGGCGGCUGAGGAGCCCUGUGACUCGCCGGCGGCGCGAUCCACUCUGGCGACGACAGCGAGGUGCGGCGUCGCAGCAGUCCCUCCUUCUCAAGCUCUAACAGCCGGCGCUCCGUCAUCGACGACGGGCGCCAGUCGUCGGCGGCGACGAGUCUUACAGGCAUCUCGGCUAAAAGGACGGUGGGUUCGCUACAGCUCGAGGGGGCGUGUGCGCGUGAGAUGGCGAGAAAGCAAAGGCAGCGAAGGAAUAAGAGCGAGAAGGCGGAAGGAAGAGGAACGGCGGUGACGCGACGACGUAUUUAUAGGAAGCUGUCCGCCAACGGACAGAUCCGAGAAGUAAGGUAACUCUCCCCAUAAAUGCGCCGCCUGACAGUCCUCUCUCUCUCCUCACAGGCCGGACUCUCCGAAUUCCUCGCCGAUACGGUGUCGUAACGUCAUCCGCCUAAAAAGGCGCGCCCAACGGGCAGAAAGGCGAACCGCCACGGCCGUCUCCUUCCCUCGUAAGCCAAGGGACGUAACCACAAAAGUCUCGAGAGGUCGAUGGCUGGCCCGCCAAAAGGGUUCGACAGCCGAUCUCGAGCACCAGAGUCAGGGAUCCCCAGCGAGCGGUCGAAGAUCGAGGCCCGCCUCGAGGACUCGCUGGCGAAGUUCAGGGUAGGGUCGAGACAGUCGAGAGGAAUCCCCCCGACGGGAGGCAUCGAGCCGUCGGUCUCUAUCGAAUGAGACUGGUAUCCCCGACCACGUCGACCCUGCUUUAUGAGGACGCCUCCGGGCUACAGCUGACCCCCUCGAAAGGGGCACAGGUUCUCACUUGGACUACCCGCUAGGAACUCAAUUUGGGAUGGAAGACGCUCGCUCUAUCGAGAGUACGUCGAAACCCCCGGGCAAAAACGAGCCAAUCAGAAUCUUCCACCACUGGUGUCGAAAGCGUUUCUGUGAAUUAGACAACAUAACCCUCGAAGGAGUCAAAAACUCCUCCGAGGGCUCGGGGGCUACUGUCGAGGGUAUCAGUAAGGGGUACCCUCAGCGAUGCGCAUUAUGAGAUUGCCCGUACGAAGGUCGAGACCCUCAAUUCGAUGCUCUAAUCUUACGUAUGCGCCGCCAUCGACGGUCGCAGCCUCGAAGACGGAAAUAGCGUCGAGCGAAUCGGUCAGGGCUCGAGCGACAACUGCCGUCGAAAACGGAAGCGGGCUCGAGCGAACCGAGAGGCGCCGGGCGCAAGGACACUGUCCGCCGCCUGACGCGCGCACGCGGGCCAGAGCAUUAAAUGCACCUGACGCUUCCCCACCUAACACAUGGGUCACAGAAGGCGUGAUAGGGAACAAGCUUCCGUCCCAUCGUUCUUUUUGCAGCCUUCCCACCGAACGACCCAGGGCGUGUCAGGACGCAGGAAACAAGGAUGGAACGUCUAAUCAGGACCCCCUCGAGACACCCAAGGUCAGCGCUCCAGAUAUCAGCAUAUUACGCGGCGUCCAACCCUCGACCGAACAGGGUCCCUUCCCAGGGACAAGUUAUGCGUCGACUGACAACACCACAGCUACCCCGCCGGAUCCGCCACCAUACCGUACAAACAUGCGACCUCAGAACCAGCACAAGGCGGCCGGCAGGGCAGAACGCAGGAGCACGCGUAAUCAUCACCAGGCUAUCAAGAUGGGACGGCUCGAGGCCAUGCCGUACGGAAGCCUCGAGUAGGUCAGCGCUCCAUGCGGCUAUCGAUCCCUACUCUAACAUCUACGCAUGUACCCUGUGUCUCUCCUUGGAGCUAUAAAAGGAGAGACUCAGGAAUAGAAGAGGGGGACAUCACAACACAAGAACUCACACACGUAGUAGAGCUACACACUUCACACCACGCUUGUAUUCGCCCCUGUACAAGCACUUAGGUGCAAGAUAAUACAAACUCUCUCCCCCCGCUGGACGUAGGGCCUUCUCUUGCCCGAACCAGGAUAAAUCUCUGUGUCUUCUUGCAUCACCAUCCGGAAAGGGGAGCACGCAUACAAAUUUACUCGUUGGUGUGACCCCCCGGGGGAAAAACACCGACACGAGGUAAUCUAGAAGGGUGCACUGCCGGCACCGCGGCAGGUUACUUUUGAAGCCAAUCCUGGCAAACUUCAGGAGAUGGUUGACAGCGCUAUCAACCGUGCUUUGAUCAACCAAGCUGGUGUACUGUCUAAUACGGUUUUCAAUGCCGUGGCAAGAACUUUCAAGGAAGGACAAUUGCCACCAGAUUAUGUGGGCCCCACUUAUCACCAUCCAAGGUCACCAGUGGUCACAGCUCCAUCGGCUGCUACGGCCGCUGCGGGCAUGGAGAUUCCUGUUCCGCCAAGCACGUUGGGAGUCACCAAUGCACAAUCUACGCCGAUGACAACCAAUCCACAAACUUCAGAUGGGCAGAUCAAACUCGCUACAGAUCUGUUGGCAUCGGCAAUGUCAGGAUUGACUCCUCCUCCUAACUGGUGGGGUUAUGGCAUGCCUCCAGAAUUAACGCCGGGUACGUCGCAGACGACUGAUGUGAGGGGCAAGACUCCUAUGGCAUCGGCACCUCCAAGCAUGCCGAUGAACCAGAGUCCCCAGUAUACUACAACUACUACUGCAAGACCUCACACUGGGAAUUCUCAAGCUCCAACAUUCCAGAUGCCUAACGCAUCGGCAGACUCAAUGCUGAUGCAACAGAGGUCUAUGAUCCAACCAGGGUAUGUCAGUUCAAUGAUAAUGCCCAAUUACCAGUCAUCGGCAGGGCCUAUGCCGAUGAACGCUAAUAGUGGAUGGCUUGGGCAGCAAGUCUUUCCGCAAACGCCCCAACCGAGUCAUCAGGCUAUAGGGUUCCACCAAGGACAGAUCUAUCCCGGGUUCCAGAAUUAGGGGAUGCCUAACCAGCCAAUGAACCUUGGGCUGCAGGUCAGCGGACAGCAGAUUGGCGGGCAGUAGCUUGGUGGUCCACAGAUUGGGGGCCAGAUGAUUAAUCUAAUGUUUCAUGCAGAUCGUGGGCCGCAUAGACACGUGGAAGCUUACCAGCAGGUGCCGGAUCCGCAACCGCCCCAUCGGCAAGAUGCCGAUGCUUAUUGGGCCGAUAAGAUUGCUGAAGUGAUGAGAGACCAAUUCAGGAUAAAACCCAAAGUCAACACUUACUCUUAUCGGACACCGUAUCCUCCCGCGUAUGAUUUGAUCCCGCUUCCACAUCGGUACAAGGUACCGGAUUUUACUAAGUUUUCUGGGCAGGAUGACACAUCAACUAUGGAGCACGUCAAUAGGUUCAUCAUUCAAUGCGGGGAAGCUGGUAACAGGGAUGAGUUAAGGGUUUGUUUAUUCUCGUCAUCAUUAUCUGGAUCGGCUUUCACUUGGUUCAUAUCAUUGCCUCCCAACUCAGUGAUCACUUGGGCCGAUCUGGAGAAACAAUUCCACAAAUACUUCUUUUCUGGGGUUCAUGAGAAGAAGAUCACCGAUUUGGUCAAAUUGAGGCAACGAAAUGAUGAAUCGGUUGAAAGUUUUGUGCAGAGGAUACAGGAGGUCAAGAAUAAAUGCUAUAGUCUGGUUCUGGAUGAUCGGCAGCUAGCGGAUUUGGCUUUCCAGGGUUUGUUGCCACACAUCAGGGACAAGUAUGCUUCUCAGGAGUUUGAAAGCUUAACUCAUUUGGUGCAGAGAAUUUUUGACCAAGAUAUCAAACCUUUUGAGCCCAAGAGAGCAUGGAACAAAAAGGUAUCGUUCGUUGAUGAAGUAGCAAGCUCAGACUCUGAUGAAGAACCAGUCAUCGGCUUGGCAGAGUGGGUAAAAAAUAAGAAGCCGAUGUCUUGUCCUUUUGGACAUAAAGAACCAGAGAAGUUUGCAUUUGACACCGCCAAGGCCGACAAGAUAUUUGACUUUCUACUUCAGGAAGGUCAGAUCAAGCUGUCUCCGAAUCACGUCAUCCCAUCGGCUGAAGAAUUAAAAAGGAUGAAAUACUGCAAGUGGCACAAUGCAACUUCUCACGACACUAAUGAAUGCAAGGUUUUCAGACAGCAGCUGCAAUCGGCUAUAGAAUCUGGGAGAAUCAAGUUUGACAGUUCCAAGACCCAGAAGCCAAUGAAGAUUGAUCAACACCCUUUCCCGACGAACAUGUUGGAUGCUAAGGGAAAGGCCAAAGUCUUGACGUCGGAAGCGGCUGAAAGAAGUGCAUCGGUGGAUCCUCAGCAUCAAGUCACUACUGCCGAUGCCAAAGGAAAAGGCUUGAUCCAGGAGGGAGCUAACUCAGGAAGGCUUCCCCGAUCUGGUAUUGUGAUAACUCACAGGAGACCUCGUGAGACUUGGCAGCAACGUGAAGAUCGGUACCGGCGCCAGCAAGAAGAUUAUCGUCGGGAAGAGGAAAGACGCCGACAGGAGUGGAAUCGACAUAGGGAUCACUGGAAUUGCCCGUUCUUCAUUCAUUGUUGGGAAGAAAAUAUCAAGCUUCCCACUGUCAGGGAUUGCCCUGAGUGCAAUGGCUAUAAUCGGCAUGAUAGAUCCGAUCGGCGCUAUUACGACGACAAUCGGCGAUAUAAUGGGCCGAUCAGAGGAAGAACGUCCGUCCAUGAUCGGCUGGGGGGCAGACUUAGCGUACACGACAGGCUUGGCGGUCGUGUUCAAUAUUUUCCCAGGAACCAGGAAGAACUUGAAGAGAUGGCUAAUGCUCGGGUUCCCGACGAGUUCAUAUUUUGCAGGGAUGCCAAUACUUAUCGGGUAGAGCCAAGGGAGAAUCAUCGCCCAUCGGUAAGGCAGCAACAACUUCCUCCCUGGUGUCCGGAGGGAUUGACCAGGACUCAGAACAGAAGAUUGCAGCGCGAAAGGAGAGAGGAAUUGAGCAAAGGGGAGAACUCUGGACAGUCUGGGGAUCAACAACAAUCAGACCCCAAGGGGGGAGGUCCAUCGGCAGAUGUCAACAUGGUAUUUAUGUUGCCGAUGGAGUUCCUUGCGCCAUCCAGUGAUGAUGAGGUGGAUUUUUCCGACCAAAUAGCUCAGUUGGCUCUAGAUCCGAUGACGGCUAUCUUCGAGAAGCCUACCGAUGAUAAAAGGCAGCACCUCAAGGCUCUAUUUGUUAAAGGAAAAGUGGAUGGUCAGCCAAUGACCAAGAUUCUAGUUGAUGGUGGAGCCGCUACUAAUAUCAUGCCAUAUGCAGUGUAUCGGAAGCUUGGGAAAGGGGAUCAGGAUUUAACCAAGACCGAUAUGAUGCUUAAAGACUUUUAAGGGAAUGUGUCUCCGGUCAAGGGGGCAAUAUGUGUAGAAUUGACCAUCGGCAGCAAAACCUUGCCGACAACCUUCUUCGUGAUCAGUGGAAAGGGUGCUUACAACCUGCUGUUGGGAAGAGAUUGGAUUCAUGCUAAUUGUUGCAUCCCAUCUACAAUGCACCAAUGCUUGGUCUAGUGGGUAGGUGACAAGAUUGAGAUUGUCCCAGGAGAUUCUUCUUAUGUCAUCGCAUCGGCAGAGGCAGAUACCUAUGAAAGGACUAGGUGUAUUUCAGGAGAGAUUUGGGAAAAGGAUUUUCUCAAGGUUGCCGAUUAUGAAAUUCCACCGAUCGAAGCAGUCGGUCCUGACGAAGGUUUUUAAUGGAUAGGUUCGCCGAUGAUGGAAAGUUAGGCCAGGGGUUCACAUCGGCCGAUGAUCUAGUAGAAGUAGAUAUAGGUAGUGGUGAUAAGCCUAGACCCACUUUUAUUAGUGCUAAGUUAGAUCCUGAGUGUAAGCAAAAGUUAACUGAUUUGUUAAAGGAAUAUAAAGAUUGCUUUGCUUGGGAUUAUAUACUGAGAUGCCUGGUUUGGACCGAUCAAUUGUUGAACAUCGGUUGCUUAUCAAGUCUGGAUUUCGGCCACAUCAGCAGCCAGCUCGCCGAUGUGAUCCUAAUAUUCUUCCUGAUAUCAAGGCAAAAAUAACCAAACUUAUUGAAGCCAAAUUUAUUUGGCAGUGUCGGUAUGCCGAGUGGAUUUCCAAUGUUGUUCCGGUCUAUAAGAAGAAUGGGAAGCUUCGGGUUUGCAUUGAUUUUAGGAAUCUCAAUAAAGCUACACCGAUGGAUGGAUACCCAAUGCCAGUUGCCGAUCUGCUAGUCGACGCUGCGGCUGGGCAUCGGGUUAUUAGCUUUAUGGAUGGCAAUGCAGGAUACAAUCAAAUAUUCAUGGCUGAAGAAGAUAUUCCAAAGACCGCGUUCAGGUGCCCUGGUCAUGUUGGAUUGUUUGAAUGGAUAGUCAUGACCUUUGGCUUAAAGAAUGCUGGUGCUACUUAUCAAAGGGCCAUGAAUUUUAUAUUUCAUGAGUUCAUUGGCAAGCUGGUGGAGAUUUAUAUUGAUGAUGUAGUGGUUAGGUCUGGAGACUUCGCAAAGCAUCUUGCCGAUUUACGAAAGGUGAUGGACUGCACAAGGAAGCAUGGUUUGAAAAUGAAUCCUAAUAAGUGUGCAUUUGGUGUAUCGGCAGGGCAAUUUCUUGGUUUCAUGGUGCACCAGAGGGGAAUUGAAAUCAGUCGAAGAUCUAUUGAUGCCAUGAAUAAAAUAGUAGCCCCUACCAACAAGACCGAGCUCCAAUCCUUGAUCGGCAAGGUAAAUUUUAUCAGAAGGUUUAUAUCUAACUUGUCUGGUAAAAUUCGUGCUUUCAGCCCUCUUCUUAAGUUAAAGGCCGAUCAAGAGUUUGUUUGGGGGAAGGAACAACAGUUGGCUCUGGAUGAAAUCAAGAAUUAUUUAAUAAAUCCUCCAGUUCUAAUUCCACCUCAGCAAGGGAAACCCUUCAGAUUGUAUUUGUCUACCGAUGGGAUGGUCAUCGGUUCGGCUUUAAUUCAAGAGUUUGAGGGAAGGAGCGUGUAGUUUAUUAUUUAAGCAGGAGGUUGAUUGAUGCUGAGACCAGGUAUUCGGCUAUUGAGAAAUUGUGCUUGUGCUUAUAUUUCUCUUGUACCAAGUUGAGGCACUACUUGUUAUCGGCCGAAUGCACUGUUAUUUGCAAGGAUGAUGUAGUCCGGUACAUGCUGUCCAUGCUGAUUAUGAGUGGCAGGAUCGGUAAGUGGAUUUUGGCACUGUCGGAGUUCGAUCUGCGUUAUGAAUCGGCUAAAGCCAUUAAGGGGCAGAUUAUGGCCGAUUUGGUAACUCAACAUUGCGGUGCAGUGGAAGCCUUGGAAAUUGUACCUUGGACGCUGUUCUUUGAUGGAUCUACAUGUGACCGGGGGGCAGGAAUCAGUAUAGUAUUAAUUUCCCCUCGAGGAAGGAGGUAUGAGUUUUCCUUGCCGAUUGUUGCCAUGUAACAGAACCGACCAAAUUAUAAGAGAUUAAGCCUAACAGCGACCAUUUGCAUAGUCAAACCAUCAGGCUUAAGCCCAUAUAAUCCUGGUAGUCCGUGAAAUCUCGAAGGAUUUCAAACCACACAUCGCAUAACAGCCAAGAUCGUAAUAAGUUUAGCGGUCGCCAUCCACAAGUACAUCCAGAUUACAACAUUCAUAAAAUACAUCGGAGUGCUCAAAGUUAUUACAAACCUAGUUCUUCAAGUAGCGGAAGCUUCAUAGUUCAAAAAUACGACACACACGCUUAGUCUGAUACAGUGCCAUAGUUCGGUCAUUCCCACAAAAGCAAAAGAAGAGACGGAGUGACCAUCGCCCUUGAUCUAGUCAUCACCCAUGGCUGGGUACAGACAGAGGAUGCAAUAACCAUAGUACAUUUGACCAUCUGCAAAACAACAUGGGAGUAGAACCCUGAGUACGAGAAGGUACUCAGCUAGACUUACCCGUCAUAAACUUAAAAUAAAGACUCAUCAAGGAUCAUGAAGGCUAUAUAGUGGGGUAGCUGACAACCAUUUGCCAAAACCACAGUAUUUCACUAUCAUAACCUACAUAAGUAUCUCUUCUUUUAGUCUACUCAAGUUGAAAGUAUCAUUACCUAUUAUCUAGGUUUGCACCUGCACUAUUACAAGCAAGUAUGAGACUAUGAUAGUACCUCAUCAUAGCAUUUCUUAAAACCAUUCAUCAUUAUAACCCAAGUGUUCCAUAGUCCUUACUACGAGGACAGGGCUCAUGUCAAGUGCUCACUAUCCAGGAGCGAUGGCGAUUCGAAUCGAUUUCUAACCAGCUGGCGAAUUUAUUCCCCACACAAACCACACUCACUGAUCAAGUGAGCUACAAGUCACCGUGUUGCACUAUCCAGGACCAAUUCGCGGGUUCGACAGGCACCGCCCGUACCCGAGGACCGUUACGGCGACCAAGGUAUCCAAGGUAUACCAAGGUUGCGCGCCGCGCCCUCGUCGUUCUCCUCAACCAUCACCAAUACAGCGCGUACAUCGGGCCGAUUCCCGGCCCGGAUAGUGCUCAGGCUUCGCGGUCGGAACGACUUAUCCUUCCAGCUAAAUGUGGGGCAUGCGUUCAACAUGACAAGAGGGCCGUCAACGAUCGGUCCUUAAGCGACACAGGCAGGGGCACUAUGGUCAACCCACCAUAAGACCCUGCCCGGUCUCCAAAUUCAUUCCACACUUGGUCAUUCUUUUCCCGAGCAACCAAUGCUUAAUCAAGCAGGUAUCCACCUAUAUCUCGCAGGUGACAGGAAAUCACCCGACUUCUACCGGACUAAGCAAGCUAAGCACAGACUCCGUGCCUAUCUACAUAGGAAAAGGUGGGUGAACAAGUAGGGAUAACAAGGAGUACACAUGCAGCAACGGUAUCAGGCAACUCCUAUCACUUAAUAUGCAAUACAGUAGAACAAGUAUAGUACUUCAUAUAAGUUAGCGAGGAUAGGGAGACUUAGAAUGCUCCGGGGCUUGCCUUUCUCAAAGGUGCUGGGUCGGUGAUCUGGACACUCCUGCAGUUCCUCUCCGGGUUCCGGUACUAACGGAGGUUCCUGCUCCUGAAUCUCCUCUGGCUCCUCGGGUCCCACCUCGUUCUCCUGCGAGCCUGUAUGAUGCAUGUGUGCUCAUGAGUGGAGUGCGAGAUGCCCGAGGGAUGCUUGUAUGAGAAAGUACUAAAGGAAUCAUGACAUGAUGCAUAGGUGAUGUACUUGGUCAUGCUUAUUACAAGGUAGUCAACAUCAUCCAAGAACAAUUAACUGAAUCAAGCAUCUAUUGCAUUCUCUUCUACAAAUAUUUUUCAAAUGCAACCAGCAACCCCCAUGAUGCUUCAAAGAUACACCAAACCCAACUUAUUCCAUUCAACCUACAUACACAACCAUUCAUAAUUUUCUUUAUUCAUUUCUAGGCCCAUUAAAAAUCACGUGCAAUUCUGUUCAUCAAUAAAUUUCACAAAAAUUACAGGAGACUACCAGCUAAGCGUAAAGUCUACUGUAAAUUUUUCAUAAUUUUUGGUUACUUACUUUGAGCCACAAAAAUCACAAGAUUAAUUAAUAAGGUAAGUAUAAUCACCUUGCUGUGAUAUAAGUGUCAAACAACAGAUUUCAUAUUUUCACAAUUUGUCUAAUAUCAUAAGAAACACCCACGAAAUUUUCCAGAUUUAUUGCAUGAUCCAAUUAAUUAUUAAAAAUCAUAAAUCACUGCCAUGCAAGCAUUUAAAUUACCAUAAAUUCAUUUAUACACCAAAUAAUAUGUAGUAAUAUUUUUCCAGUGAGUAAACACUCAUGCAAAGCUAACAAAACAAGUUUCACAUUUUUCAGAGCCAUAUUCUAUUUACUAUGCAUUUUCCAAAUUUAACAAAAUCAUGGAUUAAAUAUAUUCACACAGAAAAGUUACUUAAUCAUGACAUGCAAACAUACUAGGCUAUAGAUCUGGAAACAGGGAACACACCAAAAUUUAUUUUACAAUUUUUGGAGCUAUAUUCACCAAGAUAUGGAUUUUUGAACAUUUAAAUCAUUUCCUGGAAAAACUUUUAAAACGGAAAGCCACCUAAAACGCUAAGCGCACCCGGAUUCACACCCUCGGAGUCACUGACAGGUGGGACACGCGAGUCAGGGGACCCCACCUGUCAUCCACCCUGUGACCCCGCGGCCAAAGAUCGGCCGGAAUCUCGCCGCCGGUGAGGUUUCCGGCGACACCGUGAGCACCUACGGCUGCGCGAGAACGAGACGAGUCCAACCGUACCCUCUUUGGCACCGGACGAGCACCGGAACUACCUCGCCGUCGCGAAUGGCGGACGCGGCGGCGCUGCUCGCCGUGGUCCGGCCAUUUCACGGCGGUAGAGCGUAAGCUAGCGACGGGAAAAGGUGCGCGAGGCCAAGGCGGAUCCAAAGCACCUACGAACGCAAGCAGAGACAGAGAGGAGAGGGAGAACCGUGCGAGCCGAGAGGUCGCCGGAGCUCCGACUCACUCCGGUGAGCUCUAGCGGGCACGCAGGGCUUACCGAGCGCGGAAGAGCGCAAGCACGCGACGCGGAAGGACGAGGCGGAGUCGGUGGUGGUCGCGAAGAGGAAGGAGAGGGCCGGAGCUGGCCGGGAGAGGAGCUCUGAGCCAUCGGCGGCUAUGGCGUGCGGCGGAGCGGCGGGCGCUGCGCGAGAGCGAGCAGAGAGGCGAGAGCGAGUGGUGGAGGGCGCAAAUGGGAGCGGGAGCUUCGGCGGACGCGACCAGGGGCUCCUGGUGGCCGACCAGGGCUUCUCCUCGCCGUCGCAUGCCCGCCACGCGGCGGCCAGGCUCUGCCGGCGCGCCACGGCGGCACGGCGAGGCCGUCCACGCGCGCGGACGCGGGCGCGAGCGCGGGGAGGGGGAAGGGGAAGGCGCGGGCGGGCCAGGCCGGCUUCGGCCAGCGGGCCAGAAGUGAGGCCGCGGCCUGCUAGCGCCCCCUUUUUCCUUUCCUAUUUUUUUUUGAAUUUCUUUUCUCAAAUUCUCUUAUAAAUUCAUUUUGGCCAUUUUCAAAUCAUUUUCACCACUUUCUCCCAAAGGCAAAGUUGUUCCAAACUAAAAACUCUACAACUUUGCUUUAAUAAGCAAAACCAAAUUCCAAAUAGAAUUUAAAUUACAAAUUAGAACCUAGUUCUAGGUUUUUAAAUAAAUUCUUUUUGGAUAUUUUGUAGAAAUUCCAUUUCUCAAAUUCCAUAGCUCCAAAAAUUACACAAAAAUAUUCUAAAUUCUUCUUACACAGAAAUCAACCUAGUUUGAAUAUUUCACAAUUUUAGGAGCAAGCAUCAUAUUUUUGACAUAUUUAUAACUCAUGAAGUGAAGCACAUAAAAUCAUAAUUUGAAAAGAGUGUCAUGCUCAUGAGGCUUAUGCUUGAUGGGAAUGCUUAUGCAUGACUUUGAUGAGACUAAGUGCAUGCUUAACACCUAGGGUGUUACAGCCGAGGUCGGCGCUGAUCGUCAGCACCUUGCCGUCGGAGUUGUUGGGGUCGAGCGGGAUCUUCUUGGUUCCUUCCACCGGCUCGAAGCUACCCGCGUGGCGCUUGGGCUCUGCAGCCUCAGCGGCCAGGGCCUCGAGCUUCGAGGCGAGCUCGGUGGAACUCUCGACCGCCUCCCCAUACUCAACCCACUCGACGUCGCACUCGUAUGCGUGCUUGAAGGAGGAGCUGACGGUGAUGACGCCCUUGGGCCCGGGCAUCUUCAGCUUCAAGUAGGUGUAGUUGGGGAUAGCCAUGAAUUUGGCGUAGCCCGGGCGCCCGAUGAUGGCGUGGUACUUGCCCCGGAAUCCCACCACCUCAAAGGUGAGGGUUUCCUUUCUGAAGUUGGCAGCUGUGCCAAAGUAGACCGGUAGGUCGAUUCGACCUACCGGCAACGCCUUCUUCCCAGGAACGACGCCAUGGAAGCCUCCGGCGCUUGGUUGGAGCUGCGACCUGUUGAUGCCGAGGAGGUCGAGGGUCUCGAGGUAAAUGUUGUUCAGGCUGCUGUCGCCAUCCAUCAGCACCUUUGAGAGUCUGGUGUUGAUGAUGAUGGGGUCAACAACAAGCGGGUAGACGCCAAGGGUGACCACCUUGUCGGGGUGGUCCUCUCGAUCGAAGGUGAUGGGGGUGCUCGACCAGCUGAGGUACAGGGGCACCGCCAUUCUUGCCGCAAAGACUUCACGGCGCUCUCUCUUGCGUUGCCUUGCGGUCAGCUGCAUCGAGGCCCACCGUAGAUCAUGUAGCAGUCGUGGACGGCAGGGAAACCGUCGUCGUCUUUGUCUUUCCCCUUGUCGUCGUUCUUAUCCUUCCUUGGGUCGUCGCGCGCGUCCUUCUUGAACCCUAGACUGUCAAAAUGAUUUUUCAGCAUACGUCAGUCCUCGAGCUUAUGGUUGGCUCCUCCCUUAUGGUAAGGACACGGCUCCUUCAGCAUCUUAUCAAAGAUGCCUGCCUCUGGAGGACCUCGAGGCCUUUUGCGUUCCAUGGCGGCUACGAGAUCGUCGUCGAGGUCUUCCCGCUGGAACGGGCGGGUUUUCUUCUUCUUGUUGUUCUUCUUGGGCCCUCGACUAGGGCCCUCAUCAUCAUCGGCGGGCGGCUUGCCCUUCCUUCCUUCACAGCUGAAGAAAGCGCCGACCGCUUCUUCUCCCGCAGCGUAGUUGGCCACCACGUCCAUCAGCUCGUCGAUGGUCUGAGGGUGAUUCCGGCCCAAUUCCCACACCAAGUCUCGACUGGUGGUACUAGAGACAAAGACCAGGAUGACGUCGUGGUCGGGGAUGUGCGGCAGCUCGGUGCGUUGCUUUAAGAAGCGUCGAGCGAACUCUCGAAGAGUUUAUCUUGACUUCUAAUUGCACUUGCUAAGGUCCCACGAGUUUCCAGGCCGUAUGUAGGUCCCUUUGAAAUUACCCUCGAACACUCUAACCAAUCGACCCAGUCGUGGAUCUGAUCGGCUGGAAGUUCCUCGAGCCACCUGCGGGCGGUGUCGGAGAGGAAGAGCGGCAGCUGUCUGAUGAUGGCUCAUCGUCUCCUCGAGCACCUCCUAGCUGACAGGCCAGCCUGAAGUCCGCCAGCCACAACUCUGGUUUGGUUUCACCGUUGUACUUUGCGAUGCUGGUUGGGGGUCGGAAUGGACUGGGCAGCGGCGUGCUACGGAUCGCCCUACUGAACACCCGCGGGCCUGGUGGCUCUGGGGCCAUCCGGUCCUCAUCGUUGUCGUACCUUCCGCCGCGAUGGGCGCUGUAACCGCGCUCUUCCGCGUCCCCGUACCGACUGCGACGAUUCUCUUCAAUGUCGCGUCGUGCGUCGUGCCGACGUUGGUUGUCGACGUGGAGGACGAGCGUGGUCUUUUUCCCUCGAGGGGGUGGCUGCUGAUGGACCGACACCUCCUUUUCAUUUUGGACUGGCUCAUCGCGCUUUUCAGUGGCCGCUCCUCGACGUCGAGAAGCCGAGCUUUCGGCCUGCUGAACUGCCGCCACCUCGUCUUGGAUGCGCCGCGCUUGGGAGUUCAACGGCUCCGGCAUGUUUUGUAGCAGCAUUGUUGCUGCCACAACGUUCUGGCCUGCUCGAGGGAAACGACUGACGGGCUGCUCAGGCUCUGCGUCUCCAACGAUUUGCCGGUGUACCUUUCGAGCUCGUCUGCGGACGCUUCCGCCAGGCGGGUAAGGCAGGUCCUGCUCGAGGAUUUGCUCAAGCAGAACAAGGCACUCGCGAUCCUCGUCAAGCUUUGCCUUGAGCUCUCGUAGCUGCGCAAUUUGCGUGGCUCUGUCCUCUUUUGGAGGGGGGUCGACCUGACCAUCAUUCCUAGGCAUCCUAGGGUCUUCCCUUGCUGCAGGGGCUCGACCGCCGGCAGCAGCAUCCCGCGUCUCGUCGGUAGUUUCUACCACCCCGUCGAUAUGAUAGCAUUCCCUAGUAGGGUCGUAGCUAUCGGUCUCGGAGUCGGAGUCCGGCUCGGUGGCGUAGAAACAUCCAUGUCCCUCCUCCAGCAGCCGCUGCCUGAGCGAGGUGAUCGUGUAUCGUCCAGGGUCUAGGCGACGGAGGCCUCGUACCUGGGAGAAAUCCGGCACCUCGGACGUCGGUUGCUGUGCUCCAGGGUGGCAUGGGAGGACCAUUGGUCUCUCCACGUACGUCUGGGCAUUUGGGCAUAUUGCCCUGGCGAGCGACGCUGCGGCGUUGUCCAAUCCGAACGGCAGCGCCCUUCUUGGAGUGAACAACCCAUGUAGAAGUAACCUGGUGGUGGGGGAGAGCGCGGGGCGCGUCACCUCUUGUAGUCGUGUGAUCCUCACGACGCUGGGCCAUCAUGCCCACGGAUUCGGCGUGCAGCGCUGUCAGCUCUCGUGUCACCUCAUGCUUGGCACGAACUGCCGGUCGUGACGAGGCAGAGGGGCGACGGUGCUGCUGUCCACGCCUCUUCUUGGGCGGGGAGGCAUGGUGGCGAGGACGUCUUGGGGCCCUCAACCGUGCUGGCGCAAUGUGGGCUCCUCCCAGUCCUUUGAUCGAGAGCAAGAUCAUGUCAUAGCCAGAGCCAGUAGACAUGAACUCGAGACUCCCAAACCAAAUCACCGUGGAGCGCGAAACCGGCGAAGCGAGAGCGGCCAUCUGGAAAGGAAUGGGAAAUUGGUGAAAAAACACGCAGGACCCCUACCUGGCGCGCCAACUGUCGGUGUUUUCCCCACGGGGGUCACACCAACUAGUGAAUUUGUAUGCGUGCUCCCUUUUCCAGAUGGUGAUGCAAAAAGACACAAAGAUUUAUCCUGGUUCGGGCAAGAGAAGGCCCUACGUCCAGCGGGGGAGGAGAGUUUGUAUUAUUUUGCACCUAAAUGCUUGUACAAGGGUGAAUACAAGUGCGGUAUGGAAUGAGGUGGAGUAUGGAAGUUCUAAAGUGUAUGGGUGUAGUGUUGCGUGAUGUCUCUUGUGUGAUGUCCUGUGUUCGCUCCCGGGCCUCCCCUUUUAUAGUUUCAAGGAGAAGACUAGGGUACAAGUAUAGGCGUCAGAGUAGGGGUCGAUAGAGGUAUGGCGCGCGGACCUACUCGAGGCCUCCGUACCGGCAUGGUCUCGAGUCGUCCCGUCCCGGUAGCUUGAUGAUGAUUACGCGUGCCCCUGUAUCCUGCUCCGCGCGCCGUCGUGGACUGGUUUAUCAGUCGCACGCCUGUACGUCAUGGCGGCAGAUACGUCGGAGUGGAUGCAGUGUUGUCAUUCGAUGCCCAACCCUUCCCUAGGAAGGAAACAUGUCUGGUCGAGGGCCGGACGCCGUGUAGCGCCUUGCUAUCCAGAGCGUUGACCUUGGAUGUCUCGAAGGGGUCUUGAUUAGACGUUCCAACCCUGCUUCCCGCGUCCUGACAUACUCUGGAUUGUUUGGUGGGGAAGGCUGCAAAAAGAAUGACGGGACGGGUGCCUGUUCCCUAUCACGCUUUUCGUGACUGGCGUGUUAGGUGGGAAAGCAACAGGCGCAUUAAAUGCCCUGGCUCCCGUGCGCGCGUCAGACGGCGGGCGGCGUCCUUGCGCUCGACGCCUCCUGAUUCGCUCGAGCCUAUUUCCGUAUUCGACGGUAGUUGGCGCUCGAGCCCUGAUCGACUCGCUCGACGCCCUUUCCGUCUUCGAGCCUGCGGUCGUCGAUGACUGUAUGUGCGACUGAUUGGGUAGAGCGUCGAGUUGGGGGCCUCGACUUGUGUACGGGCAAUCUUAUUAUGUGCACCAGUUAGGACACCCCUUACUGGUACCCUCGACAAAAACUUAGACAAGGUUUUGCAAAGAUGUGAAGAAAAGCACUUAGUCCUUAAUUGGGAAAAAUGUCAUUUUAUGGUUAGAGAAGGAAUAGUGCUGGGACACCUAGUGUCUGAAAGAGUUAUUGAGGUAGACAAAGCUAAAAUUGAAGUAAUUGAACAACUACCUCCACCUGUGAAUAUAAAAGGAAUUCAAAGCUUUCCUGGCCAUGCUGGUUUUUAUCGUAGAUUUAUAAAAGAUUUUUCAUUCAUUGCUAGACCACUUACUCUUUUGCUAGCCAAGGAUGCUCCUUUCGAAUUUGAUGAUGCAUGUCAAACAUCUUUUAAUUUACUAAAGAAAGCACUCAUCUCUGCACCAAUCAUUCAACCCCCUGAUUGGUCGUUGCCUUUUGAAAUUAUGUGUGAUGCCAGUGAUUAUGCUGUGGGGGCAGUAUUGGGACAAACUAAAAAUAAGAAGUAUCAUGCAAUUGCUUAUGCCAGUAAAACUUUGACAGGAGCUCAACUUAAUUAUGCAACCACUAAAAAAGAGCUUAUGGCUGUUGUCUUUGCCAUUGAUAAAUUUAGAUCUUAUUUAGUUGGAGCUAAAAUAAUUGUUUACACUGAUCAUGUUGCACUAAAAUAUUUGCUCACUAAAAAAGAUGCUAAACCUCGCCUGAUUAGAUAGAUCUUAUUACUCCAAGAAUUUGACUUAGAAAUAAAAGAUAAAAAGGGAGUAGAAAAUUCUGUUGCUGAUCACUUGUCUAGAAUGUAUUUUAAGAGUCCACAGGAAACCCCCAUCAAUGAUUCACUCUGGGACGACAUGCUCUACGGGAUUAACAGGUCUGACCCCUGGUAUGCAGAUAUUGUUAAUUUUAUGGUUUCAGGGUAUGUACCACCAGGAGCAAACAAGAAGAAGCUUAUUCAAGAAAGUCGUUCACAUAUAUGGGAUGAGCCAUACCUCUUCCGAGUAUGCUCUGAUGGCUUACUCAGGAGAUGUGUGACCACCGAGGAAGGAUGGAAGAUCAUCAACAGAUGUCAUUCAUCACCAUAUGGAGGUCACUAUGGAGCAUUCCGUACACAUUCAAAGAUCUGGCAGUGUGGAUUCUACUGGCCUACAAUGUAUGAAGACACGAAGCAAUAUAUCAGAAGAUGUGGGCCAUGUCAAAGGCACGAAAACAUAAAUACAAGGGAUGCAAUGCCACUCACCAACAACCUUCAGAUUGAGCUCUUUGAUGUCCGGGGAAUAGACUACAUGGGUCCAUUUCCUCCAUCAAAGAAGUGUGAGUACAUCUUGGUGGCAGUUGACUAUGUCUCCAAGUGGGUAGAGGCACUACCUUGCAAGCAUGCCGACAACAUCAGUUCAAAGAGGAUGUUUGAAGAAAUUAUAUUUCCAAGAUUUGGAGUUCCCAGAGUAGUGAUAAGUGAUGGAGGAGCACACUUCAUCGACAAACGCUUCAAGCAAUAUGUAUCAAAACAUGGAAUCCACCACAACGUCGCUACCCCCUAUCAACCUCAGACAAGUGGCCAAGCAGAGACUUCCAACAAGCAAAUCAAGAAUAUUCUUCAGAAGACAGUAAAUGAAAUGGGAACGGUGUGGAAAGACAAGUUACCCGAUGCACUCUGGGCAUACUGAACAGCAUACAAGACCCCAAUUGGAAUGUCUCCAUACCAAUUGGUGUACGGGAAGACUUGCCAUCUACCCGUUGAACUAGAGUUCAAAGCACACUGGGCCAUAAAGAGAUGGAAUAUGGACCUAGAUGUUGCUAGAGAUCAUAGAAGAAUGCAACUAUCAGAAUUGGAAGAAUGGCGAGAGAAGGCAUAUCACAAUUCGAAGAUCUACAAAGAAAGAGUCAAAAGGUGGCAUGACAAGAGAAUCAAGAAGAAGGAGUUCACACCCGGAGAUAAGGUAUUACUUUUUAAUUCUAGGGUGAAGCUUUUCCGGCAUGGAAAACUCCGAAGCAAAUGGGAAGGACCAUUCAAGGUAAUUAAUUCAUCAUCCCACGGAGCUAUCACACUUCAAAAUGACGAAGGUACGUUAUUCAAGGUAAAUUGUCAACAUCUUAAAUUAUUUUUAGAGCCCAAUAAAGAAUUAGAAGAAAUAGACGUAGUCCAUUUUUACCUUCCCAUGGAGAAUUAGAGCCCGACCUUUUUAGUCUGAUGUUUUUUGGGUCAUAUAUAUAGUUUUCUAAAUAGUUUUGCAUCUAGAAACGCGCUCGAGAAAGUGGGCCCGCUGUAACAUCCCCGAUGUUACGGUUACUAAAAUUUGGAUCAUGGCAUCAUCAGCAUUGCACAGCAUAGUUGUUAAGCACAACUUGAUGCAUCCACUAAAAAUGAGUUUAAUUUGGUUGAAUGUGCUUAGGGAAUUAAAGUGUGUUUAUCUUGUUUAUUGAUGCUUGAGUUGGUUGCUAAAACCCUAGGGGUAAAAGUUUUCCGAAGGACUAAGGGGGAAACCCAGAUUUCUGGACCCUAGAAUUGCCCCUUUUUGUGCAACUUAAAAACCAAGAAAAAUUUGAGGAUGAGUUCAAAAGCAAAGUUGUAGAUCUUGGCAAGAUGUACAACUUUGGUGUUUUGAGUUUAUGAAGUUUCAGUGUAAAAUUCAAAGUAAUUUUGAAAAUACAGAUUUCCAGAGAGUGUCCCCUUUUCCAAUUUGAACCUCCAUUUCAAAAUCCAUUUGGAAUUUUGAAAAGUGGUCAACAUGAAAGUUGUAGAGCACAAAAAGUUGAACAACUUUCAUGUUGGGCGUUUUUCAAGUUGUUUGGAAAAAUCAAAAGUAAUUUUGGAAUUUCUAUUCUGCCCCAAUUUAAACCAGUUUUGCCCCCAAAUUGAAUUUUUGAAUUUCAAACUGUUUUCCCCAAAUUCAUGCCCUUACACUCAAAAUCAGUAAUGGACUCUUAAAUAUGUUUUGUAGCUUAUAAAAUUUUGAACAACUUUUGUUUUGGCACAAAUUUGACUUCAGUUCAAAUUUUGGAGGUAAUUCGCAAAAGACAAAAAGGAGUGGAUAGGGCCUGCUACAGUAGAGAACCGAUGAGGAUCACCGGCCCCCUGUCCAACGCGGCCGCCGCGCGUGCAGCGCUGCGUGCGCGCGUGCGAGCACGCAGCUGCUUGCUGCCAGUGCCGCCAGACGACGUGGAAGCUCCGCGCUCGCUCUACGCGGGUAUAAAGCCGUGCCACCGGCCGACGCGCCUCCGUUUGCCUCCAAGAACGCCGACGAGCUACGCCCGCGCCACCGCGAAAUUUGCCGCAAGCACGCCCUCUUCAUCUUCUCGGUGUGCAGCACCCACUUCGCCCGCGACCUAGCUACCUCUUGGACUCUUCGCCGCGCGCUUUAACCCCCUAAUGCCACUAGCCGAGCCGUCGUCCCCAACUCCGGCUAGGACCGCCGCCGAGGAACCCUUCACGUGGGCACGCUACUCCAAUCGGUAUCACGCCUUGCCAGCGGUCGUUUCAAGUUCUUCUCAUUUCCCCGAUGCUCAUGCACCCGCUCUUUCUCCUUGGACGUGAAUAGGCCCACCGGAACGACCUCGCCAAGGCUCGAGCGCCCGCCUGACGACACCGUCUCCGUCGCCAGUGACCUCGGCUACCACCUCGAGCCUCGCAACGUGAGCACCACCUUCUCUGACCUUCGUGGAAACUCUCUCGCACGUUUAAUUGCGCUCUACCGAGCCCUCGUGGCCGGUCUUCGGGCAACCGACGCGGCCGUCUGCCAUGUAUGCGGUUGAGGUAGAGAGAGAGCGGUAGAGCGUCCGCGAGCAGUAGCUAUGGAGUCGCAAGGUCGAGUCGGAGCUGAUGCGCACCAUGGUGUGGGCUUGGACCUCGCCAGCGGCGGCCGGGAUCGCGGCAGGGCCGCCGUGCGCGAGGAAGGAAGAACUGACAGGCGGGACCCGCUCGUCAGUGACCGCGCAGAGAGAAGGGCAGCGCGCAGCGUCCGAGUGGGCCGAGCGGAAGUGGGCCGGCCUGCGGGCCUUUUUGGCUGGGCCUCUCCCGGCUGUUUUUUGUUUUCUUUUUCCUUUUCGAGUUAAAAAUGAUUGAUAUUUGAAUUUGUGUAGAAAAUUGUGUGCUAAUCCAAAAAUGAUGCAAAUUUGUGUAUAAGUUCUAUGAAAUGAGUAGAGCACAGGAAAAAUAGUAGAUUUUAUUUUCUGAUGGUUUGCAUAUAUUUAAAAAUUGCCUCUUUUAUUUAAUGAAUCAAACUUCUAGGAAUUUUAGUAAUUUAUUAGUAUGCCCAAAAAUCACCAAACUUUUUGGGGAGUCUCUGAAUGCUAUUCCCUGGCUCCACACAAAAUUUGGUGGCUUUUGGAUAAUGUUUGAAUAAAAUAUUAAUAAACCCUUAUUUAGUAAUUAAAUAAUAAUUCUAGAAUAAUUACAUAAUAAUUAGUUAAUUGCUCAAGACUAGGAUUUGAGUGAUUUUGGAAUUAUGUGAUGACCUAAGGUCAUUAACCUUAAUGGCCUUUGGCAUUUAAUUAUUGUUUGACCUUAAUGCUUAAUUACUGUCAUUAAUAAUUAAUUAAGAAUUAAUUAAGGUAAAUAGGUUUAAUAAUUAAUUAGUUAAAGAUAAUUAUGAAUUAAGAGAAGUCUUAAUUUACAGAUGCAACUUCUUCGGUAAAGACACUAAGAUGUUAAACAACUUUAAUUAUUGUUUAAUCUGUGUUGCACCGAGGAGGUCAGUUAUACUUAAUUUGGUCCUUUUGAUAUAUUUGUCACAGGCAUGUCAUGAGUAUUCAUCAUUUUGCGUAUAGUGCACGUGACCGAAGGAGCGACCGUUGAACCGAAUCCCGAGGUCGGUGCUCCGUUCGAGGAAGUCGGAUCCGAGACUUGGGAAGUCUCCGAGGGUCCCUCUCUGCCCUGCAACCAAGGCAAGCCCCGGAUGCAUUAGCCCCUCCUUGAAUGUUUUAAAUCUUUUAUCACUUAUGAAUUGAAAAUGCUGCAUUAGAUAGUUGAGAAUUGGGUUAACCCACUUGCUGCAUUUACUACCUUGAUAUUUGUUAUCUUGUCCUUGGCACCUGUUUUACUUUAAAAUCGCGUAGUGAUGCUUAGCCCUGCUACUAGAUAGGUUUUCAAACAAGAAAGUUUGAAGGGUUGUUGUGGAAUACACCUAUGAUCAAUGAUGUUUCAAUUUGAGACCGGUCGGUGGACUUGCUUUAAGAAUGGAGUCUUAAAGUAGUGUCUCCCACUGUGUCGGUUAAGGACCGGUCCGUUGGUGGCCUGAUGGGUUGAGAAUUUAUAGUACUGGCCACUUACCCUCGGUAAGCCCGGUCUUGUGAUCCCUCGACGCGAACAGCUACUCGCGCACUGGGCGUGGAGCGAUAGCGAGAGUAGUGUGUACCCACCUUACGGGUCUGAGAUGACCGGGAAACAUCUAGAUUGGCUGUAGGAUGGUGGAGUACUGUGCUCUCGGGUGCCGCGAACCUGGUCAAAUUUGGGAAGAGCUUGAUUUGGGUUGACAUAUGCAAGAUUUGGUUCUACAUAUGUCGGGUGGUUAGGAACUCCAGCUGGAUUGCUAAGCGGUUCGAAUCGUCGUUGCUCCCCGAUUGGGAGACUCAAUCCACUGACCCUCAUCGUAGUUAAAUAUGCAACUAAGUGGUAAAAUGAGAAAGGGGGAAAUGUCUCAUGAGGUUCGGAUCCCAAUUCCCGGACUCAGAGUGACAUGAAACUCUGGCCGUUGGAUGUAUAAUACUGUAAAUUAGGACUAGUAACUCACAGACUUGUCUGUGGGAGGCAACUAGAUAGACUGUCUUCGAACUCCUCGGCCUCUUCAGGAGAGGAAUUUGCGGGUAAAACUUGAAAGUAAGGAUGCAUUAUUAGUAAGCUUUUCCGCAAAUCACCUUGGCUCCUUGCUCAGCCACUCCUUGUCUACCCUAAGCCUGCAUCCCUACCUUCUCCUCUUUUCCACCGGGUAUGUCUUGUUGAGUACUCUCGUACUCAGGGUUUCAAUACCCCUGUUGCAGGUGAAGCUCAGGAGCCGACUUGUUUCGGACCCUGUUGUGUGACCGUCGUCGAGGUUGACGACGAAGAAGAGUGAGCGUGACCCAUGGGCAGGGUCUGUAAAUUUGUAAUCGAUGUAAUAAAGUUUAAGUUGCUCCGCUGGACCAGGCUUGUAAUAACACUCUGCUUUUUGGAAGAACUCCUUUUGUAAAAUAAGUUAUGUAAUACUUCCGCUAUUUUACUCUGAAAUAUUAUUUUGGUCGUUUGUCGUUUGUGAUACUGCAUUGUCUUCGCAACGAAUGAUCCUGGUGUUAAGGUGGCCACUUGCUAUCCUGUAAGGGCGAGAAGAAGAAGUUCUCGUUAAUUGACCAUCACCAGUGGUCAGGACGAGCCAGCUUGGUAUGCCACAGGUAGCAGUGGAAUGAGCGUCCAGCAAUGCUCAUCGGACUUCUAAAGUGGGAGGAUCCCCGACAUCACCGUCAGAGGUCCUUAGGACAAUGAACGGUGUCGGUGGGCCCAAACACUUAGGGGGUUCUGCCACACCCACAGAGGGGCCAGAGAGAGGGCGGGCGCCCAGAUCAGGUGGGCGGGCGCUCAGCUCCUGUUCCCCCUCGGUCCCGAUUUUCUCUGUUAUGGAAAAUGCACUUAUGGUAAUCCGAAUAAUCCCUCAGAUGGAAAGUUUUGCACGCACAUCGACAGGAGCAACCUGAACAACCCCUAGAGGCACUUUUUGACCCCUAUAUAAACAGACCCCUGACAUUAGUUUUCAAACACCAAACCACCAAGCCUUCUCUUCUUCUUCAAUUAGAGCUUGAUUAGUUCCUUGCUACUCCAAUGGCCGAAAAGUUCCACAAUGAUUGGGAAGUCGUCCCCUUCAACCUCAACAUGGAGCCUGUGGAAGACCCUGAUGCCCGUGCUCUCGUCCCGGCCAACACAGAGCGACAGCUAGAAGCCAUGCCAUUACGCCAACGCAGCUCCACCCAAUCCUACCAUGCUCAACCAGUUCUCACCGCACCGCCACAACCCCUACUCCUCAAGGGAGCAUCAUCCAAGAUGAAGACCACCAUCAAGGUGCCAACCGGCACAAGGAUCCUUCCACCUAGACCUAAUGAGAGGGUCGUUGGAGUCAAAACCAACCGGAGCGGCGAGAUCAGCAGCGUUCGCUACACUACGGAGGAGGAAAGACCUUACUUCAAAGGGAUUAGAGCAGCCAAAGUCCGUUUCAUCCCUCCAAAGGCAGCCCCGAAGCACGCUCUCAAUGCUUUUGAGACACCUCCCAAGCGUCGCAAAACUAUAAUGGAAAUUGAUGAGGACGUUCGCAGACUAGACAGAGUUAUCAUAGACCUCCAGUCUUCGAUUAAUUCCCUCACUAGGCAGCUCUCUAACCACAACACCAUUAUACUAGCCUCAGGUAGGAUCUUGCUAGUGCCAACAAAAAGAUUAAGGAAUUAGAGCGCCGCUAAGUUAUCUAGAUUAGACCUUGAGGCAAUGCAUCUUAGUCAUCUCUCUUUAAAUUCGGUUUAGGUUUACUAUUAUUGUCAGUUUGUUACUAUUAUCAUCAGUUUGCUAUUGUCAUCAGUUUGCUACUAGUCUUUUGUAAUAAAUGCCUCAAGAUUAAUAAAGAGUAUUAUUAUUAUGUCUUGUGUGUCUCUAAUUUAUUUUUGUGCAAGAAAGCAGAAAACAAGUAUGGGGGAGAUCCCUCAACAUGCCAAACACACUCUGACUACACCACUCCACGAUUCAGGUACACACUCUGCGCACUUUACUUUACACAUACACAUAUCUUGGAUUAUGUAGAAUAUUGUUUCCGACAUGAUAAAGAUUAAAAUGUUUCUAAUCAUAAUUAAUCUCACUCUGUAAUAUUUCCUGAAAUUUGCAACUAUUAUGAAAUCAUUUUAAAACCCUGUGUCACUUAAGAUAGUAUGGAAUGUGAGAUGGUAGAGUAUGAGUUUCUUAUUCUUGAUAUCAUUGUUGCUUGAAGAAUUUAUUUCAAAAUUUAUUUAAAAUUCUAGCUACCAUCCUCAGUGUUUUAUAUGCCUGAUAAAACUAAAAAUAUUAAUUAUGAUUAUAAAAGCUAUCUUCUCUGUAUUGAGUUUGUUCAAAAUGAGUUAGACCCUUGUUGAGAGAUUUAUCAUGCUCCUAAGAUCAAGACAUUUAUUCAGAAAGAUUCACUCUUCCGAAGUAUUAUUGCAUUAGAGGCAUGGGCUAUGCAAAAAUAAAGAUAUUUUGAGGAAAUAAAAAGGAGCAAGUGCUCGACAACCCCGCAGAAAAAAUGGACAAGUGUCCGGCAGUAGAAUUAGGGAUACCUCGGUAUCCACUUAAAAAAAAAGAAAAUGAUAGCCCAUGGUCCCUCUAAUAAGCAAUAUGCCAGCAAGAGUUGACAAAGUUUUUAAAUUUCCAAAGUCUUCGAUCUAAGAGUAUGACAUUCCCCUCCUCGGAUCCCGUUUUGAUCAGGCAAUAAGUACAAAGUAAGUAUGCUUGAGAAUUUUUGCAAAUUAAAACAGCCUCAGUGAGAUAUAUAAAAGAUAAUGUGUGAUCUGAGAGAACCUAUGAGGAUAAAAAGGUAUGCUAACUUUCUUUCGAAAAUAUACAAAAGCUCCAAGUGACAGGAUUGAGUAGAAAGGAUCUUUACUCUUAACCAUAUACUUCCCUAACUAUAGUACACAGUGGAUUUUAACACCCUGCAAAUAUAAAGAAAAUGUUUUACCCCAAAUAUUGUUCUUAACCAUCCUUUUCUCGAGGAUGAGUAAAAGCCUAAGUAUGGGGGUAUUUGUUGACGGUUCUUAAGUAUCAAUUUUAUUUAUCAAAUAAACAAGAGAAAGGACCAAUAUACAACCAACACGUAGAAUUAGGGUUUGAUCUGACAGAGUUCCACGAGUUUUGUUGUUUAUCUGUUUCUGCAGGGGUUUAUGAGGAAAUAAGGAAGAAAGGCCCACAAGUCGGGAUUACAUAGAGAUAUCAACGCACCUCGCAAUUUUCUACCAUCUAGAAGACUCCAGAAGCCACGGGAAGAAAGCAGAGGCCGAAAGGGGCCAGGCCCAGGGCGCCCGCCCUGAGGAUCUGGGCGCCUGCCCCCUCCUAAAUGCCAUUCAAGACUCUCUUCGCACACGAUGUUCCACCGACAUAAAGGAUCAAGGAUAAGUACCACAUCGCCUACCGACCCAAAAAUGCAUAGAGGAGGAGGACUAUAUAAGGAGACCCCCCUGGCCCCUGGAGGAGACAAGAAGUUUAUCAUAGAGUUGAGGGGAGCCCUCGAAGAAAAACCUCUUCUCUAAAUAAAAUUUCUUUUUAGGCUUAGCAACUAAUGUAAGUAGAAAUAGAUCUUCUAGUUUCUACUAGAUUGAGAGAGAUAGAGUGGAGGUGUAGAUUGGAGGAAGCCCGGCUUGUCGGUGUCUACUCCAAGCUUGUACCUACGGGAUCAAGUUCUCCUAACCCGAAGCUUGCUCCUAGGAUUCUUCAGUAUUUCGACUUCUAAAUUCUAGUAUGUUCUUGUUUUAUUGUUCUUUUGGUUUAUGAGUUUACUUUAAUCUCUUCACGUAGAGUUUAGAGUAAUCAUCUCUAGCGUAGACGUGGUGUUUAAGCUAGGAUACUCAUAGAUAUUCCCUGACUAGCUAGACCGUGGUAGUAGCGAGGAACGUGACAUUUCUUAGUUACCUUUGCAGACCAUAUCUCGUUAGCAGGAAGGAUAGGGUUUAUAGGUGCGGGUUGAACAUCCUUUGUGGUGUCUAGAUUCCGUUAGCCUCCCCAAUAGAACAGUAGAUCAUCCUUACCAAGGUUAGAAGGAGAUUACGGUUGUAGUCUUCUCUAUUUAUCACUCACAUCGAGAAACAUUCUUUGUUGCCUAAAGGGUUAGUAGUAAUAGACCGGGUUAGUCAGAUGCACUCUUUCUCCUAGUGGUAAAAAAAUAAAUACGAUACUCUGGAUAACCUCUCGGGUGAAGUGCUCACCGAUAUCCGUGCGCUUGCGGAUCAAUUCCUUAUUGUGUUCCCAAAUAUCAACAACGUCGACCGUUAGAGCUGUCACUACCCUAGGGCUACCACAACAAUCGGCACGAUUGGGUGCAAUUCCAGGUAAUUGCAAGACUAAGCACCACGUCUAAUCUAUUAAUUACUACUCUAAUAUUUCAAAGAUUAGAGCACUUGAUGCAAGCGGGAAUCCAAUAAAUAACUUGAAUGUAAAUAAAAGUAAUUAAAGAACUCAGGAAUUAUGAAUUGAAGAACCUGGAGAACGAUGAAGAACGAACCAGUUGCUGCAAAAGUACAAUGUCGAGGAAGAUCCGACAGAUCCGGCUCCUCCUCCGCUCUCCUCUUCUAUCUCCCUAUUUUCUAGAUUACAACUAGAACUAACUAGAACUAGAACUAGAGGAACUAGAAUUAGAACUAGAUGAACUAGAACUAGAUCUAGAUGAACUAGAAGUAGAACUAGAAGAACUAGAGGGAUCCUCUCUACUUGGAUGAAGAAUUGAAACCCUAACUUUGAUUCUGUAGAAGAGGUAUGAUCUCCAGGGGCCAGGGGGCCUUGCUUAUAUAGUCUUUUCAGAUGAAUCUGGGCCGUUGGAUCAAACCAACAUUGAUUGAAUGGUUAUCCUUGAUCCUUUAGGUCAGUGGAGCAAUAUCGUGAAAGAGAGUCUUGAUUGGACUCUAUGUGAGGGUGGGCGCCCAGGUCAACUGGGCGGGCGCCCAGUGCCUGGCUCCGUUCGGCCUCCGCUUCCUUCCCGUGGCUUCUGGAGUCUUCUAGAUGUAAGAUAAUUGCGUGGCACAUUAAUAUCUCUAUGUAAACCCGACGUGUGGGCCUUUCCUCUGUAUUUCCUGAUAACCCCCUGCAGAAAUAGACAAACACCAAAACUCGUCGAAUUCUGUCAGAUAAAACCCUAAGUCUGGGUGUUGGUUGCAUUUGGAUAAUUUUCCAUGAUUAGUUGAUGGUUAAAUGUGAACAUUAAGGACCGUCAACAGACAUCAAGCCAAAAGAAGAUGAUGAUGUAUAAGUCAUUGAGCCACCAUCCACCUCACAUGUACCACAAGAUGAAGACAAGGAUGUGAGAGAUGCUCAUGAAGACACUCAAGUCACUCAUGAGCAAGCGGUGACACAAGCACAAGAUGUUGAUGCUCCCCAAGCAACCCCUCAAGUGGCGCCAAGAAGAUCAUCAUAUCUCCUCCAAGAUUACUCUCAAGAUCUCAUCAUCGGGAGUCCAUCACAUGGUGUAACUACACGUUCUAGACAUGCUUUAUUUAUUGAACAUCAUGCUUUUGUGUCUCUUGAAGAUGAACCAAAGAAUAUAGAGGAAGAUCUUCGUGAUGCAGAUUGGAUCAUUGCCAUGCAAGAGGAGUUGAACAACUUCUCUCGCAGCCAAGUAUGGACACUUGAAGAGCGACCCAAAGAUGCAAGAUUGAUUGGAACAAAGUGGGUCUUCUGGAACAAGAAGGAUGAUCAAGGCAAAGUGGUGCGCAACAAGGCAAGGCUCGUGGCAAAAGGCUUUUCACAAGUGGAAGGUCUUGACUUUGGUGAAACCUUUGCACCGGUGGCAAGACUUGAAGCAAUCCGUAUCCUACUUGCAUAUGGAUCUAGUCAUGAUAUCAAGUUAUUUCAAAUGGAUGUGAAAAGUGCUUUUUUAAAUGGCUAUAUUAAUGAGCUUGUCUAUGUUGAGCAACCCCUCGGUUUUGAAGAUCCUAGGUACCCCAAGCAUGUCUACCGGUUGUCCAAGGCUCUCUAUGGUCUCAAGCAAGCUCCUAGAGCUUGGUAUGAGAGGCUUAGGGACUUCCUCAUUGAGAAGGGCUUCAAGAUUGGGAAAGUUGACACAACACUCUUCACCAAGAAAAUGAAUGGGGAAAUCUUCAUUUGCCAAGUUUAUGUUGAUGAUAUUAUUUUUGGCUCUACUAAUGAAGAUUUUUGCAAGGAAUUUGGUGAUUUGAUGUCCAAGGAGUUUGAGAUGUCCAUGAUUGGCGAGCUAUCCUUCUUCCUAGGAUUUCAAGUCAAGCAAAUGAAGGAAGGGGUCUUCAUCUCUCAAGAGAAGUACACACAAGAUCUUCUCAAGAGGUUCAAGAUGAUGGAUUGCAAGCCAAUCAAGACUCCCAUGGCAUCAAAUGGACAUCUCGACUUGGAUGAGGGAGGUAACCCAAUUGACAAGACUCUCUAUCGGUCCAUGAUAGGAAGUAUACUCUACCUCACCGCAUCUAGGCCCGAUAUCAUGUUUAGUGUGUGUUUGUGUGCUAGAUAUCAAGCAAUGCCUAUGGAAUCUCACUUGAUUGCCGUCAAGAGAAUUCUUAGAUAUCUAAAAUACACACCUUGCCUAGGCUUGUGGUAUCCCACAAGUGCAAGAUUCCAACUUGUAGGCUAUUCCGAUUCGGAUUAUGCCGGGGGCCGGAUUGAUAGGAAAAGUACAUCCGGAGGGUGCCAUUUCCUAGGUAGAUCUCUUGUCUCUUGGAUAUCUAAGAAACAAAAUAGUGUUGCCUUGUCAACGGCCAAGGCGGAAUACAUUGCCACCAGUGCUUGUUGUGCACAAAUACUCUACAUGAAACAAACUUUGCUAGACUAUGAAGUAGUACUAGACAAAGUACCUUUGUUGUGUGACAAUAAAAGUGCCGUAAAACUUGCUAACAACCCGGUUCAACACACCCGCACAAAACAUAUUGACAUCCGCCACCACUUCCUUAGGGAUCAUGUUGCUAAAGGUGACAUAUCUCUAGAGAAUGUGGGAACGGAAAAUCAAUUGGCAGAUAUCUUCACAAAACCCCUAGAUGAAGCUAGGUUUUGUAUGUUGAGAAAUGAACUUAAUGUGCUUGAUCUCUCUAACUUCACUAAAAAAUGAAAUUGUGUGUUGAAACUUGUAAAUAGCUUUUGUUUUGCACAUCAUGCAUACCAAAACUAAAAUACAAAAAGUUUGUGUGUAGGGCUUGUCUAACAUGGUUAAGAUAACCCCCUUGUGUGUGUGAAAAAGCUUAACCUUGGAUGAAACUUGACAAACAUUAGUUUACUUUCAAGUAUUGCAUUUCACCUGUUAAAUCGAUCAAAGGNNNNNNNNNNNNNNNNNNNNNNNNNNNNNNNNNNNNNNNNNNNNNNNNNNNNNNNNNNNNNNNNNNNNNNNNNNNNNNNNNNNNNNNNNNNNNNNNNNNNGACACUCCUGCAGUUCCUCUCCGGGUACCGGUACUAACGGAUGUACCUGCUCCUGAAUCUCCUCUGGCUCCUCGGGUCCCACCUCGUUCUCCUGCGAGCCUGUAUGAUGCAUGUGUGCUCAUGAGUGGAGUGCGAGAUGCCCGAGGGAUGCUUGUAUGAGAAAGUACUAAAGGAAUCAUGACAUGAUGCAUAGGUGAUGUACUUGGUCAUGCUUAUUACAAGGUAGUCAACAUCAUCCAAGAACAAUUAACUGAAUCAAGCAUCUAUUGCAUUCUCUUCUACAAAUAUUUUUCAAAUGCAACUAGCAACCCCCAUGAUGCUUCAAAGAUACACCAAACCCAACUUAUUCCAUUCAACCUACAUACACAACCAUUCAUAAUUUUCUUUAUUCAUUUCUAGGCCCAUUAAAAAUCACGUGCAAUUCUGUUCAUCAAUAAAUUUCACAAAAAUUACAGGAGACUACCAGCUAAGCGUAAAGUCUACUGUAAAUUUUUCAUAAUUUUUGGUUACUUACUUUGAGCCACAAAAAUCACAAGAUUAAUUAAUAAGGUAAGUAUAAUCACCUUGCUGUGAUAUAAGUGUCAAACAACAGAUUUCAUAUUUUCACAAUUUGUCUAAUAUCAUAAGAAACACCCACGAAAUUUUCCAGAUUUAUUGCAUGAUCCAAUUAAUUAUUAAAAAUCAUAAAUCACUGCCAUGCAAGCAUUUAAAUUACCAUAAAUUCAUUUAUACACCAAAUAAUAUGUAGUAAUAUUUUUCCAGUGAGUAAACACUCAUGCAAAGCUAACAAAACAAGUUUCACAUUUUUCAGAGCCAUAUUCUAUUUACUAUGCAUUUUCCAAAUUUAACAAAAUCAUGGAUUAAAUAUAUUCACACAGAAGAGUUACUUAAUCAUGACAUGCAAACAUACUAGGCUAUAGAUCUUGAAAAACAGGGAACACACCAAAAUUUAUUUUACAAUUUUUGGAGCUAUAUCACCAAGAUAUGGAUUUUUGAACAUUUAAAUCAUUUCGCUGGAAAAACUUUUAAAACGGAAAGCCACCUAAAACGCUAAGCGCACCCGGAUUCACACCCUCGGAGUCACUGACAGGUGGGACACGCGAGUCAGGGGACCCCACCUGUCAUCCACCCUGUGACCCCGCGGCCAAAGAUCGGCCGGAAUCUCGCCGCCGGUGAGGUUUCCGGCGACACCGUGAGCACCUACGGCUGCGCGAGAACGAGACGAGUCCAACCGUACCCUCUUUGGCACCGGACGAGCACCGGAACUACCUCGCCGUCGCGAAUGGCGGACGCGGCGGCGCUGCUCGCCGUGGUCCGGCCAUUUCACGGCGGUAGAGCGUAAGCUAGCGACGGGAAAAGGUGCGCGAGGCCAAGGCGGAUCCAAAGCACCUACGAACGCAAGCAGAGACAGAGAGGAGAGGGAGAACCGUGCGAGCCGAGAGGUCGCCGGAGCUCCGACUCACUCCGGUGAGCUCUAGCGGGCACGCAGGGCUUACCGAGCGCGGAAGAGCGCAAGCACGCGACGCGGAAGGACGAGGCGGAGUCGGUGGUGGUCGCGAAGAGGAAGGAGAGGGCCGGAGCUGGCCGGGAGAGGAGCUCUGAGCCAUCGGCGGCUAUGGCGUGCGGCGGAGCGGCGGGCGCUGCGCGAGAGCGAGCAGAGAGGCGAGAGCGAGUGGUGGAGGGCGCAAAUGGGAGCGGGAGCUUCGGCGGACGCGACCAGGGGCUCCUGGUGGCCGACCAGGGCUUCUCCUCGCCGUCGCAUGCCCGCCACGCGGCGGCCAGGCUCUGCCGGCGCGCCACGGCGGCACGGCGAGGCCGUCCACGCGCGCGGACGCGGGCGCGAGCGCGGGGAGGGGGAAGGGGAAGGCGCGGGCGGGCCAGGCCGGCUUCGGCCAACGGGCCAGAAGUGAGGCCGCGGCCUGCUAGCGCCCCCUUUUCCCUUUCCUAUUUUUUUUUGAAUUUCUUUUCUCAAAUUCUCUUAUAAAUUCAUUUUGGCCAUUUUCAACUCAUUUUCACCACUUUCUCCCAAAGGCAAAGUUGUUCCAAACUAAAAACUCUACAACUUUGCUUUAAUAAGCAAAACCAAAUUCCAAAUAGAAUUUAAAUUACAAAUUAGAACCUAGUUCUAGGUUUUUAAAUAAAUUCUUUUUGGAUAUUUUGUAGAAAUUCCAUUUCUCAAAUUCCAUAGCUCCAAAAAUUACACAAAAAUAUUCUAAAUUCUUCUUACACAUAAAUCAACCUAGUUUGAAUAUUUCACAAUUUUAGGAGCAAGCAUCAUAUUUUUGACAUAUUUAUAACUCAUGAAGUGAAGCACAUAAAAUCAUAAUUUGAAAAGAGUGUCAUGCUCAUGAGGCUUAUGCUUGAUGGGAAUGCUUAUGCAUGACUUUGAUGAGACUAAGUGCAUGCUUAACACCUAGGGUGUUACAGCCCUUCCCCCCUUAGGGAAAUCUCGUCCCGAGAUUUUGGGUUACUAACCAUUUCUUAUGAAAUUUUGGAUAAACUGUUUUUAAGUAAUCCUCUGUUUCCCAGAUGGCAUCCCUAUCGUCAUGAUGACUCCACACCACCUUGUAUGUUCGAACAACUCUGUUUCGGGUUACGCGUUCCUUGGUAUCCACAAUUUCCACUGGCUGCUCUUUAUACUCCAAGUCUGCUUUUAAUUUGAUCCCCCUAGGUUCAAUUCUUUGCUCCGGCACCUUCAAACAUUUCCGCAGUUGCGACACAUGGAAGACCGGAAAGAUCGAGCUCAUCUCUUUAGGUAACUGAAUCUUAUAGGCUACUGGGCCUUUCCUCUCUAGCACUUGGUACGGUCCCACAUAUCUGGGUGCAAGCUUGCUUCGAACUCGGAAACGUUGAACUUUCUUCAUGGGCGUAACCUUGAGGUACACAUAAUCACCUACGUUGAAUUCAAGUGGUCUUCUUCUCUUAUCCGCAUAACUCUUUUGUCGUGACUGUGCCGCUUGCAUAUGCUGUUGUAUGAUCUGCACCUUUUUCUCGGCAUCAUUCACAAAGUCGAUACCAUAGUAUCUUCUUUCACCAGGUUCAACCCAGUUUAACGGAGUUCUACAUCUUCGACCAUACAAAGCUUCAAACGGGGCCAUCUUGAUACUCUCUUGAUAACUAUUAUUGUAUGAGAACUCAGCCAAAGGUAACCAUGAUUCCCACGAUCCCCUGGAUGAUAGCACACAGGCCCUCAGCAUAUCUUCUAACACUUGAUUUAGCCUCUCAGUUUGUCCUGAAGUCUGGGGAUGAUAGGCCGUGCUUCUUAUCAGACUGGUCCCCAAACUCUUAUGCAUGCGCUCCCAGAAGUGAGCAGUGAACUGCGGUCCUCUAUCUGAUAUGAUGGCCUUGGGAAUGCCAUGCAACUUGACAAUCUCAGCCAUAUAUAUAUCGGCAUACUCAGGAGGUCGGUAGCGAGUCUUCACAGGAAUGAAAUGGGCCGAUUUGGUCAAUCGAUCUAUGAUUACCCAAAUCGAGUCAUUCCCCUUCCUUGUGGUUGGUAAACCUGUGAUAAAGUCCAUACUGACCUCUUCCCAUUUCCACUCUGGAACUGAUAACGGUUGUAACAGACCUGCAGGUUUCAUAUGGAUGGCCUUAACUCUGCAACACGUGUCACAACGGGCCACAUACGCAGCUAUUUCUUUCUUCAUCUUGGUCCACCAAAAGUGGGGUCUUAGAUCUUGAUACAUUUUGCUACUGCCAGGAUGAAUAGAGAGCUUGGAGAGAUGGGCUUCAUCCAUGAUGCGAUUCUUCAAUUCCCGAUCUUUCGGGACUACUAACCGAUGUUGAAACCACAGUACCCCCUUCUCAUCAACUCGAAACUGAGUUUUUGUGUCAUCUUUGAUCUUUUCUUUGAUGUGGAAAAUACCCUUGUCGGUUUUCUGACCUUCAAUGACUUGACUCUCGAGUGAACAACUGAGUUGUAUGUGACAUAAGACUUCAGGAUGCAUGAGAUUGAACCCAUCUUCAAACAACGGUUGAACCACCUGAUAGUGCGGUUUACGACUCAAAGCAUCUGCUACUACAUUAGCCUUGCCCGGAUGAUAGUGAACUUCCAGAUCAUAGUCCUUGAUCAGCUCUAACCACCGUCGUUGCCUCAUAUUUAGCUCGGACUGAGUGAAGAUGUACUUCAAACUCUUGUGAUCGGUGUAAAUGUGACACUUAUUUCCUAGCAGAUAAUGUCUCCAAAUCUUCAAGGCAUGCACCACUACUGCUAACUCGAGGUCAUGCGUUGGGUAAUUGACUUCAUGCUUUCUCAGCUGUCGGGAAGCAUAAGCUAUCACCCUGCCAUCUUGCAUCAACACACAUCCCAGGCCACUCUUUGAUGCGUCACAAAACACAUCAAAAGGCUUCUCUAUAUUGGGUUGCACCAGAACGGGAGCAGUGGUUAGCAACUUUCGCAAGGUGCGGAAGGCUAACUCACACCCUUCCGUCCAGACGAACUUAUGAUCCUUUCAUAGCAAACUUGUCAUUGGCUUAGCAAUCUUGGAGAAGUCAGGUAUGAAACGACGAUAAUACCCGGCCAGACCAAGAAAACUUCUAACUUCCGAGACAGAAGUUGGUGCCUUCUAGUCCAUAACUUCCUGCACUUUUGAUGGAUCCACAGCAAUCCCUUCUUCAGACAGAAUGUGCCCAAGGAAAGGAACUUUCUUUAACCAGAACUCACACUUGCUGAACUUGGCAUACAACUGAUGCUCUCGUAAUCGUGUUACCACGAUUCUCAGAUGCUCGGCGUGAUCUUGUUCAUUUUCUGAAUACACCAGAAUAUCAUCAAUAAAUACCACAACAAACUUAUCCAAUUCUGGCAUAAAGACUGAAUUCAUCAGAUACAUAAAGUAUGCAGGAGCAUUUGUCAGCCCAAAGGACAUGACAAGAUACUCAUACAACCCAUAUCUGGUGGAAAAAGCAGUCUUCAGGAUAUCUUGCGGACGAAUCUUGAUUUGAUGAUACCCAGACCUCAAAUCUAUUUUAGAAAACACUCUGGCCUUGGAUAACUGAUCAAACAAGAUAUCAAUCCUUGGCAAGGGAUACUUAUUCUUGAUUGUUACGGCAUUGAGUGGACGAUAGUCCACGCACAUGCGCAACGAUUGAUCCUUCUUUUUCACAAACAACGCUGGACAACCCCAUUCCGACGAGCUUGGCCGGAUGAACCCUUUAUCCAGUAAUUCCUUUAGCUGAUUUUUCAACUCAGCGAGUUCGUUUGGGGGCAUCCGGUACGGCCUUCUAGAUAUUGGUGCUGUACCCGGUAUCAACUCGAUUGCAAACUCCACUUCCCUAUCUGGGGGAAGUCCUAGUAAAUCCUCAGGAAACACAUCAGGGAACUCACAUACCACGGGUAUGUGUUCUAGAGGAACUACCUGUACUGCACAUGAAAGUCUGGCGAAGUCCAACCGUCUAGGUAGCUUGACCUGAAGCACACCCUUCCCUUGCGGGUCUCUAAGGGAAAGAGUUCUAUUCCCGGCAUCUAUAACCGCGCCCCAGUCAGUCAGCUUGUUCAUUCCAAUGAUGACAUCCAAAACCAGUCCUGGCAUAACCACAAGGUUUACACGAAACCUCCGGCCACUGAUAUCCAAAGUAACUCCUGUUACUGUUUUAUUAGUCAACACAUCGGCUCCGGCUGAGCUGAUGCGAUAGCCAUAACCUAACUCAGUAACUGGCUGGUUAUGCUUUUGUGCAAAUGUUUGGCUCAUGAAUGAAUGCGAUGAUCCAGAAUCAAACAAAACAACUGCGAGAUGUUGGUUGACAGGAAACAUACCAGCUGUUACCGGUUCUUCUUCCGGAAUUUCCUCGAUCGAGGUAUGAUGCACACGAGCUGGAUAGGUUGGUUGUUGCCUUUUGGGGUAGGGACAUUCCUUAGCAAAGUGCCCCAUCUUGUGGCAGUUAUAGCAUGGACCUUUGGGCGCAUUGUUGGCGGCAGGUGCUGUGGCCUGGAUUGCCUUCGGCUUGGCAGGGGCUAUCGCCACCUUGUACGGCUUCUGCUGUGUUGGAUGUCCGGUGUUCCUUCUUUGCGGCGGUCGGAAUCUAGCACCUGGGGCAGGAGGACGAUACGGCUGUCGCCCUGCCACUGGUGCCCUGGACUGGGAUGAUCCGGCUUCAAAAGCCCUCUUACGAGACUUGGAUGGACUGUAGUUGUUGUUGUUGUUCUCUUGGGUCAGACAGUCACUGAUAUAGGCAUUGAAAGUAGCCCUAGCCCCUGUACCCAUGGUCUUCAGCAUCUUUGGAUUCAAGCCCCUCUGGAAACUAGCAAUCUUCUUGGCCUCCAUGUUCACAAACUCGGGGGCAUAGCGAGCGAGAUUAUUGAAAGCGUGUAGGUACUCCUUUACAGAUUUCGUCCCCUGGGACAGCCUCAUGAACUCCCCAACCUUCAUUUCAACCACGCCAGGAGGAAUAUAAUUUCCCCGGAAGGCGGUGGUGAAGCGGUUCCAGGUGAUUGGGGUCCCCUCUGGGUAGGUGGUACGAUGGUGGGACCACCAAAUCCCAGCAGGUCCUUGCAACUGAUGUGCCGCAUACUCAGCCUUAAGUUCUUCGGUCAUCCGAAGAAGACGAAACUUCUGCUCCAUGGUGUUGAUCCACUCAUCUGCUUCGAGCGGUUCCAAAGCCUCCUUGAAGAUUGGUGGCUUGGUAUCCAUGAAGUCCUUGAACGAACUGUACUGGUUGACUUCACGGCCGCCCUAGUUAUCCCCACGACGGGUGUUGUCAGCUAUGUUGCGCAGAGCUUCUUCCGUGUUGCGCUGCAUCUGUUCCAUGUUGCGUUGGCUCCCCAGAAACUGCGCAAAAAACACGUCCGCAGUGUACGGAGGAGGCGGUGGUGGUGGCGGUGUUGGUGCUCUGCCCUCAUUCCGUUGAGCCCCACCUCCGGAUGUACCUGCUCCAAGGCCCGGAUUGCUGUUACCCCCGCCACGUGUUUGCACCAUCUGCAUACGCCAAUGAUAAGCAUUCGUUAGGAGUUGCCAUCAAUGGUAGAAAAUGCGUAAAAUCGUGCCGUACUGAAUUUACUGAGGAAAUAAAUUCACACAAUAAACAAAGGCACAACAACUCAUCAUCCACACACAACAUCACUAACAGAUUACUUAACAUUCACGCAACAAGGUUCGCAUACAUCCAACUUGCCAGCAUACAUACACUGGACUUUUAGCAUUAACUCAUAAGUCUUACAUAGCCCAGAUCCAAAAGUACACGACAUGCCAUGCAACAUACAUCACAAAAGAAGAAGGGCUAGCUCUAGAGCCCUAGCAUCUACUCGCUAUGGUCACUGUCCAUGCCGGAGCCAUCCUCAUCCUCAUCACCACUAGCAGCUGCUCCUAUCUCGGGAUCCGCAUCCAUCUCGUCCUCAGAGUCUAGCUCAGCUGCUCCAGGCAGGUGGUGAGGGUGGAGCUGGUUAUGCAGCUGGUGGAUCUCCUCAUGCAAGUUCUCAUUGUACUCCUCAGCAUUAGCUAGCUGCUGCUCUAGCUCCAGGUGUCGGGCCCUCAAAGUGUCCUCCUCGUGCCAGGCUUCAUUCCUCUGUCCAAGCACAUGGACUAGCAUGCGCUCGCAGUUCCUGUGAGCAGUAGUCACCCUGUCCUUCUGCUCCCGUACUGCAAGCAGGUCCUGACUCAGCUCACUGUUCUUCUGGACUGCCUGGUCUCUCUCUCUGGUCACACGGGCCAACUCUGCCUGUAGCCUCUCAACCUCAGAGUCGAACUCACGCUGCAACUGACGCUUCUCAUCCUGGACGGUGAGAAGAGACCCGGACAAGCGACCCAAACAACGCUCUAGGCCUCCAUAGGUCUUCAUCAACGCGUACAUGGCAAUCAUAGCUGCACUGUCACUGUGCUGGUCCUCGUCCGCACUCCUCUCUAGAGCAUUUACCUCGGACUGAUCCCACACCGAAGUGUAGGGGUCACACCGGGGAAACACCCCAGCGAAGGCGUGGUCCUGCUCCUGUGGAAACCUCUCCAUGAGGUCCCUCAGAACUGCGAAAGCUGCCCUGCUGGCACCGUGGAGAGGCGUGACACCUCGGGACUCGUACACCCAGCCGCCCCAAGCGGGGUCUCCUCCACUAGUAGGGACAACUGCCUCGAUCCCCACCAGGGUCUCGUCACCAAGCGGCUCCUUAUCCCAAUAGUAGCGAGGUUCCCUUCCUUUAGGAUACCCCAUCGAGCUGAGCACCCUCCAAAGCAAAGUGGGCAUCCCAAACUCCUCCAGGAACUUGCUCUUAUGUCGCGAGCUCCUAGCUGCCAACGGAUGGUGAGGGGCCCGCCCACGAGUGGACUUGCGAGCGGUGAGCCUAGUGCGUGCCAUCUGCUGCAAAUGGAAUACCGUGGGUAAGAGCGAGGAUUACCUUUAAUUAUUUUAUUUAGAAUUGGGACAGAUUAAAUUAUGGGGGAAAGUAAGCAAUGAUAUGAAAUGAACAUGAUGCAUGCACGAACUUACGAUCUCACAAACUUAAAAACAAACGUUAACACUAAGCGGUAUAUGUGGUGGCAUACAACGUUCUCUCAUAUCGUAACUAGCGUUCUAAGCGAGAACGUGGUUAGGGUACCUGUAGAAAACUCAUUUCAGCCCACCCACACUAUGAUCAUGCAGAGCAAGAAUUUAAAACCAUGCACUUCACAUACACAGACACCUGUCCAUGCAUGUGGCGGGUCACUACCCACAUCAUCACCCUAUUGACGGCAUCGCCUCUCAGGACGGAAUUCCCAACAUGCGGUACUGUUCCCAAGACACACAAAACAUGUGUGCAUGACACAGUACCUAGCAACACUCCCCUAGACCGGCAGUAUAUCCGAUCAUGCUCUCACAGCUCCCACUUACCGUGGCGUAGAGGAAAAAGGGAUCCAUACAUUACCACUCAAAUGAAUGGCACUCAUACUAUUGCACGCCGUAUGAGCGACGAAAUAGAAAUAUGAUGCAUUCACCCCCAAGUCAGUACUUAACUAGCCACCUUAGAGUCCUUAACUGGGCAUAAGGGAUAUGACCAUGGCACACUAGAUAGUUUUCCAAAACUUAGUUUAACACCUUGAUCUUUAUUAAUUACUAAAAUCCUUCAUUAGACCGGUUUAGAUUUUGUUUAGAAUGUACUUAUGAACAGUAACUCGCUAAACCUUGCUUUGAUGCCAGCUGUAACAGAACCGACCAAAUUAUAAGAGAUUAAGCCUAACAACGACCAUUUGCAUAGUCAAACCAUCAGGCUUAAGCCCAUAUAAUCCCGGUAGUCCGUGAAAUCUCGAAGGAUUUCAAACCGCACAUCGCAUAACAGCCAAGAUCAUAAUAAGUUUAGCGGUCGCCAUCCACAAGUACAUCCAGAUUACAACAUUCAUAAAAUACAUCGGAGUGCACAAAGUUAUUACAAACCAAGUUCUUCAAGUAGCGGAAGCUUCAUUGUUCGAAAAUACGACACACACGCUUAGUCUGAUACAGUGCCAUAGUUCGGUCAUUCCCACAAAAGCAAAAGAAGAGACGGAGUGACCAUCGCCCUUGAUCUAGUCAUCACCCAUGGCUGGGUACAGACAGAGGAUGCAAUAACCAUAGUACAUUUGACCAUCUGCAAAACAACAUGGGAGUAGAACCCUGAGUACGAGAAGGUACUCAGCUAGACUUACCCGUCAUAAACUUAAAAUAAAGACUCAUCAAGGAUCAUGAAGGCUAUAUAGUGGGGUAGCUGACAACCAUUUGCCAAAACCGCAGUAUUUCACUAUCAUAACCUACAUAAGUAUCUCUUCUUUUAGUCUGCUCAAGUUGAAAGUAUCAUUACCUAUUAUCUAGGUUUGCACCUGCACUAUUACAAGCAAGUAUGAGACUAUGAUAGUACCUCAUCAUAGCAUUUCUUAAAACCAUUCAUCAUUAUAACCCAAGUGUUCCAUAGUCCUUACUACGAGGACAGGGCUCAUGUCAAGUGCUCACUAUCCAGGAGCGAUGGCGAUUCGAAUCGAUUUCUAACCAGCUGGCGAAUUUAUUCCUCACACAAACCACACUCACUGAUCAAGUGAGCUACAGGUCACCGUGUUGCACUAUCCAGGACCAAUUCGCGGGUUCGACAGGCACCGCCCGUACCCGAGGACCGUUCCGUCGACCGAGGUAUCCAAGGUAUACCAAGGUUGCGCGCCGCGCCCUCGUCGUUCUCCUCAACCAUCACCAAUACAGCGCGUACAUCGGGCUGAUUCCUGGCUCGGAUAGUGCUCAGGCUUCGCGGUUGGAACGACUUAUCCUUCCAGCUAAAUGUGGGGCAUGCGUUCAACAUGACAAGAGGGCCGUCAACGAUCGGUCCUUAAGCGACACAGGCAGGGGCACUAUGGUCAACCCACCAUAAGACCCUGCCCGGUCUCCAAAUUCAUUCCACACUUGGUCAUACUUUUCCCGAGCAACCAAUGCUUAAUCAAACAGGUAUCCACCUAUAUCUCGCAGGUGACAGGAAAUCACCCGACUUCUACCGGACUAAGCAAGCUAAGCACAGACUCCGUGCCUAUCUACAUAUGACAAGGUGGGUGAACAAGUAGGGAUAACAAGGAGUACACAUGCAGCAACGGUAUCAGGCAACUCCUAUCACUUAAUAUGCAAUACAGUAGAACAAGUAUAGUACUUCAUAUAAGUUAGCGAGGAUAGGGAGACUUAGAAUGCUCCAGGGCUUGCCUUUCUCAAAGGUGCUGGGUCGGUGAUCUGGACACACCUGCAGUUCCUCUCCGGGUUCCGGUACUUCCGGAGGUUCCUGCUCCUGAAUCUCCUCUGGCUCCUCGGGUCCCACCUCGUUCUCCUGCGAGCCUAUAUGAUGCAUGUGUGCUCAUGAGUGGAGUGCGAGAUGCCCGAGGGAUGCUUGUAUGAGAAAGUACUAAAGGAAUCAUGACAUGAUGCAUAGGUGAUGUACUUGGUCAUGCUUAUUACAAGGUAGUCAACAUCAUCCAAGAACAAUUAACUGAAUCAAGCAUCUAUUGCAUUCUCUUCUACAAAUAUUUUUCAAAUGCAACCAGCAACCCCCAUGAUGCUUCAAAGAUACACCAAACCCAACUUAUUCCAUUCAACCUACAUACACAACCAUUCAUAAUUUUCUUUAUUCAUUUCUAGGCCCAUUAAAAAUCACAUGCAAUUCUGUUCAUCAAUAAAUUCCACAAAAAUUACAGGAGACUACCAGCUAAGCAUAAAGUCUACUGUAAAUUUUUCAUAAUUUUUGGUUACUUACUUUGAGCCACAAAAAUCACAAGAUUAAUUAAUAAGGUAAGUAUAAUCACCUUACUGUGAUAUAAGUGUCAAACAACAGAUUUCAUAUUUUCACAAUUUUUCUAAUAUCAUAAGAAACACCCACAAAAUUUUUCAGAUUUAUUGCAUGAUCCAAUUAAUUAUUAAAAAUCAUAAAUCACUGCCAUGCAAGCAUUUAAAUUACCAUAAAUUCAUUUAUACACCAAAUAAUAUGUAGUAAUAUUUUUCCAGUGAGUAAACACUCAUGCAAAGCUAACAAAACAAGUUUCACAUUUUUCAGAGCCAUAUUCUAUUUACUAUGCAUUUUCCAAAUUUAACAAAAUCAUGGAUUAAAUAUAUUCACACAGAAAAGUUACUUAAUCAUGACAUGCAAACAUACUAGGCUAUAGAUCUGGAAACAGGGAACACACCAAAAUUUAUUUUACAAUUUUUGGAGCUAUAUUCAUCAAGAUAUGGAUUUUUGAACAUUUCAAUCAUUUCCUGGAAAAACUUUUAAAACGGAAAGCCACCUAAAACGCUAAGCGCACCCGGAUUCACACCCUCGGAGUCACUGACAGGCGGGACACGCGAGUCAGAGGACCCCACCUGUCAUCCACCCCGUGACCCCGCGGCCAAAGAUCGGUCGGAAUCUCGCCGCCGGUGAGGUUUCCGGUGACACCGUGAGCACCUACGGCUGCGCGAGAACGAGACGAGUCCAACCGUACCCUCUUUGGCACCGGACAAGCACCGGAACUACCUCGCCGUCGCGAAUGGCGGACGCGGCGGCGCUGCUCGCCGUGGUCUAGCCGUUUCACGGCGGUAGAGCGUAAGCUAGCGACGGGAAAAGGUGCGCGAGGCCAAGGCGGAUCCAAAGCACCUACGAACACAAGCAGAGACAGAGAGGAGAGGGAGAACCGUGCGAGCGGAGAGGUCGCCGGAGCUCCGACUCACUCCGGUGAGCUCUAGUGGGCACGCAGGGCUUACCGAGCGCGGAAGAGCGCAAGCACGCGACGCGGAAGGACGAGGCGGAGCCGGUGGUGGUCGCGAAGAGGAAGGAGAGGGCCGGAGCUAGCCGAGAGAGGAGCUCCGAGCCGUCGGCGGCUAUGGCGUGCGGCGGAGCGGCGAGCGCUGCGCGAGAGCGCGCAGAGAGGCGAGAGUGAGCGGUGGAGGGCGCAAAUGGGAGUGGGAGCUUCGGCGGACGCGACCAGGGGCUCCUGGUGGCCGACCAGGGCUUCUCCUCGCCGUCGCAUAUCCGCCACGCGGCGGCCAGGCUCUGCCGGCGCGCCACGGCGGCACGGCGAGGCCGUCCGCGCGCGCGGACGCGGGCGCGAGCGCGGGGAGGGGGAAGGGGAAGGCGCGGGCGGGCCAGGCCGGCUUCGGCCAGCGGGCCAGAAGUGAGGCUGCGGCCUGCUAGCGCCCCCUUUUUCCUUUCCUAUUUUUUUUUAAUUUCUUUUCUCAAAUUCUCUUAUAAAUUCAUUUUGGCCAUUUUCAAAUCAUUUUCACCACUUUCUCCCAAAGGCAAAGUUGUUCCAAACUAAAAACUCUACAACUUUGCUUUAAUAAGCAAAACCAAAUUCCAAAUAGAAUUUGAAUUACAAAUUAGAACUUAGUUCUAGGUUUUUAAAUAAAUUCUUUUUGGAUAUUUUGUAUAAAUUCCAUUUCUCAAAUUCCAUAGCUCCAAAAAUUACACAAAAAUAUUCUAAAUUCUUCUUACACAUAAAUCAACCUAGUUUGAAUAUUUCACAAUUUUAGGAGCAAGCAUCAUAUUUUUGACAUAUUUAUAACUCAUGAAGUGAAGCACAUAAAAUUAUAAUUUGAAAAGAGUGUCAUGCUCAUGAGGCUUAUGCUUGUUGGGAAUGCUUAUGCAUGACUUUGAUGAGACUAAGUGCAUGCUUAACACCUAGGGUGUUACAUGCCACGUCAACGAAUAAUCAGGCUGAGUAUCAAGCUUUAAUAAAGGGAUUAGAGUUAUUGAGGGAGGUUCAUGCUGAUGCCGUCAAAGUCUUCGGAGAUUCUAAGCUAGUUAUAAAUCAAUUGGAUGGAAGCUAUGAAUGCCGAAGUGAAGUUCUCAUAACUUAUUACGAGCGGAGUAUGCAAUUGUUGAAGGAAUUCAAGGAUUUCCAAUUAGAGUAUGUUCCUCGAUUGCAUAAUGAAGAGGCCAAUCGAUUAGCUCAGCAUGCCUCGGGAUAUCAGCCUAUGAUUGAUGCAAUAUCGGCAAUUGGUGCUGAUGAUUGGAGAAAAGAGAUCGCUGAUUAUUUGAAAGAUCCAUCUAAGAGAGUUGAAAGGCGAGUUUGGUUUCAAGCCACCAAGUAUGUGCUCCUCGAAGAUGAAUUGUACUACUGAACUGUUGAUGGGAUUCUUCUCCGAUGCUUGGGUGAUGAUGAAGCUAGAAGUUUGAUGGGAGAAAUCCAUGAAGGGGUAUGUGGAGCACAUCAGUCGGCCUUCAAGAUGAAGUGGAUGAUUAGGAGGAAUAGAUAUUACUGGCCGACCAUACUUGAGGAUUGCUUUAAAUAUUUCAAGGGAUGUCAAGGAUGUCAAAAAUUUGGCAAUAUUCAAAGAGCACCCGCAUCGGCCAUGAAUCCUAUUAUCAAACCUUGGCCGUUCCGGGGAUGGGCUAUUGAUUUGAUCGGCCAAAUUUAUCCACCAUCUAGCAAGGGACAUAAGUUUAUUCUAGUUGCCACCGAUUAUUUCACUAAAUGGGUUGAAGCUAUCCCUUUGAAGAAAGUCACAUCGGCCAAUACGAUUGAUUUUGUGAAGGAGCACAUUAUUUACCGAUUUGGGAUUCCUUAGACAAUUACUACCGAUCAGGGUACUAUGUUCACAUCAGGGGAAUUUGAUGAAUUCGCAAUCGGUAUGGAAAUUAAGGUGUUAAACUCUUCUCCUUAUUAUGCUCAAGCUAAUGGGCAGGCCGAGGCGUCUAACAAAGGAAUUAUCAAGCUUAUCAAGUGAAAAAUUGAAGAAAAUCCUAAGCGGUGGCACACAUUAUUAGGUGAAGCUUUAUGGUCAUAUCGAAUGGCUUGUCAUGGAUCAACCAAAGUUAAGUUUCGCCUUAUCAGUUAGUGUAUGGACAUGAUGCAGUGUUGCCUUGGGAGAUUAAGGCUGGAUCUAGGCGACUAUCUUUUCAAGAUCAAUUGGCUACCGAUGAUUAUGCUACUUUGAUGACAGACGAGUUGGAUGAUUUAGUAGGGCAUCGGCUGAGGGCUUUGAUGAGUAUAGAAGAGAAUAAGAAAAGAGUUGCCAGAUGGUACGAUAAGAAGGUGAAGGCUAAGGUAUUUGCCGAUGGAGACUUAGUAUGGAAAUUAAUCUUACCGAUCGGGACUAAAAGUUCAAAGUUUGGGAAGUGGUCUCCCAAUUGGGCAGGUCCCUAUCGGAUAAGUCGAUCGGCUCCUGGUAAUGCCUACAUUUUAGAAACUCUCGAAGGAGUUGAAUUUCCCAGAGCAUUAAAUGGCAAAUAUCUAAAGAAGUACUACCCCAGUAUAUGGGUCGAUGCAUAGAAGUUCAAAUGCCGAUAACACUCCUAUCGGCUAGAUUAAAAUGUAUCUAAGGCCAGACUUAAUGUUGCAAAAGAUGCCGAUAACUGUCCUAUCGGCUAGACUAAACAUUAAGAAAGCUGAAAAAUAGGAAGAGGCCGAUGUGUUGCCGAUGAGGAGCUCACAUACUUAGCAGUGCUUGGAUGGCCGAUAUAGCGCGCAGGCGGAUCUGGUUGGCUGCUUCUAUUUCUUUGACGUCUUCAUCGGCAGAGCCUUCUAUCGGCUUCAACUUUUUCUUCAACUGCAGUGCUUUGCGACCAUGAGCGUUUCGUUCUUGUUCAAGGAGUUUGAUGGUCUCUGGCAGUUGACUCUCUUCCUAUUGGGCUUGAGAUAGGGUGUCCUCCACUUGCUUGAGUUCUGCCAGCAGGGCUUCUCUCUUGGCCGAUAAGUCGGAGAUCUUCUGUUUCAGUGCGGCUCCUGAAGACUUCAAGGCGCCGAUGCUCUUGUGUUUCUCAUUGGUCAGGAGCUUCUCUUUCAUCAUCUCCUCAGAAAGUCGGGUCUGAGCAGCUCUAUCGGCAAGGCGCCGGGCGGCCCUUUGGUACUGCAGCUGACGACUUUCCAGAUGUGCGGCCUGGAAGAGGGUUUCUUCGGCAUCGGCAGGAAUCUAGCUUCUGAGGGCCUUGAACAGAACCUUGGCCGGAUCAGAGUCAUCGACCAAUUGGGCCGUAUCUUGAUGGAGGAGGGCCGACAGUUCUUCCAGUUUAGUCCUGAUCUCUGCCGAUGAAAUCCCAACUGCCCGGGAGGAACUGGCUUCCUCACCUUCGUCUUCGGAGACAUCAAUAGCGAAAGAGAAUAGGCUGUCGGGAGAAUCCUGCUCCUAAAAAGGAAAACAAAGUGAGUCGUUCUAUGAUAAGAGCAUCGGCAAAUAAGACUGGUAGAGACUGGGUGGCUUACUUGCUUCAAGGCGAUCUCUCGCCUUUGGCUGGAAGAUGCCGAUGGAGCCAUGGAUUGGUCGGCCAGAGUUGCCGAUGGAACUACGUCAGCUACAAAUUAAUAGAAGGGGUUAUAAUACCAAAAAGAAUAAGUUCAUCGGCAGUAAUGUUAUAGGAAUGCGUUACCUUGAGGAAGGACGACGCUUGUGAAAGGAUCAAGAUGCCCAAGAGGGGGGUGAAUUGGGCUUCUCUAAUGAAUUUAAGCAACCUAUAAGCUCCAAUUCAACCCCUUGUGCCUAGUGUUGACGGUUCUUAAGUAUCAAUUAUAAUUAUCAAAUAAACAAGAGAAAGGACCAAUAUGCAACCAUCACCUAGAAUUAGGGUUUGAUCUGACAGAAUUGCACGAGUUUUGUUGUUUAUCUAUUUCUGCAGGGGGUUAUCAGGAAAUAAGGAAGAAAGGCCCACAUGUCGGGAUUACAUAGAGAUAUCAACGCACCGCGCAAUUUUACAUCAUCUAGAAGACUCCAGAAGCCACGAGACCGAAGCGGAGGCGAAGCUGGGCCAGGCCCAGGGCGCCCGCCCUGGAAGCCUGGGCGCCCGCCCCCCUGCUGGAGCCAAUUCAGGACUCCUUCGCUCGGGAUAUUCCACCGACCUAUUGGAUCAAGAAAAACAUAGUACCACCUCGGCUAUCGACCCAAAAACGCAUAGAAGGGGAGGACUAUAUAAGCGAGGCCCCCCUGGCCCCUGGAAGACAUGAAGAAAUUAUCAUAGAGACUGAGGGGUGCCCUCAAAGGAAAACCUCUUCUCUAAUUAAUAUUUCUUUUUAGGCUUAGCAAUCAAUGUAAGGUAGAAAUAGAUCUUCUAGUUUCUACUAGAUUGAGAGAGAUAGAGUGGAGGUGUAGAGUGGAGGAAGCCCGGCCUGUCGGUGUCUACUCCAAGCUUGUACCUGCGGGAUCAGGUUCUCCUAACCCGAAGCUUGCUCCUAGGAUUCUUCAGUAAUUCGACUUCUAAAUUCUAGUAAGUUCUUGUUUUAUUGUUCUUAUGGUUUAUGAGUUUACUUUAAUCUCUUCGCGUAGAGUUUAGAGUAAUCAUUGCUGGCAUAAACGUGGUGUUUAGGCUGGGGUACUCAUAGAUAUUCCCUGACUAGCUGGACCGUGGUAGUAGUGAGGAACGUGACAUUUCCGAGCUACCUUUGUAGAUCACAUCUCGUUAGCAGGAAGGAUAGGGUUUAUAGGUGCGGGUUGAACAUCCUUUGUGGUGUCUAGAUUCCGUUAGCCUCCCCAUUAGAACAGUAGAUCAUCCUUACCAAGGUUAGAAGGAGACUACAGUUGCAGUCUUCUCUAUUUAUCACUCACAUCGAAAGACAUUCUUUGUGCCUAAUGGUUAGUAGUAAUAGACCGGUUAGUCAGAUGCACUCUUUCUCCUAGUGGUAAAAAAAUAAAUACGAUACUCUGGAUAAUUUCCCGGGUGAAGUGCUCACCGAUAUCCGUGCGCUUGCGGAUCAAUUCCUUAUUGCGUUCCCAAAUAUCAACAAGCAUUUCUGGCGCCGUUGCUGGGGAGAAAGACGGUUGCUGAGAUAACCUGUGUCUUGCUACUAGCUUGUAUCUAUACUUUUAUCUUUUUUAUCUUUUAUAUCCUUUAUUUAUUUUUCUUUAUUCUUAGCUUAUGGAAAACCAAAAUUCUAAAUCGAUCCAUGAGUCUGCAAUCCCUUUAGCAACUGACCUUUUGCCAUGGGAAUCAUCACAGCCUAUCCAAACACCCCAGUAUAAGUUAAGUUCUAGGUUGAUUGCCAUGAUUCAAAACCUAUCUUUUUCGGGAAAGGAAGACGAAAACCCUUACCUUCAUAUUAGAGAUUUUGAGCAAACAUGUGAUUGUCUUCGCAUUGAAGGCAUUUCUGAUAAGACUUUAUGUUGGAAGCUUUUUCCUUUUUCUCUAAGGGGAGAAGCUAGACAAUGGUACAGUCAGAAGGUAAGUCAACAACAAGGUGAAUGGGGAGUUUUACGAGCCAACUUUUGUCUAGAUUUCUAUUCCCUUGACCGUAUAGCCGACCUUAGACUCGAAGUCCUAUCUUUUAAACAAAAAGAUAAUGAAACUUUGGGAAAAUCCUGGAAACGUUUUUCUGAUCUUUUAGAAUCUGGUCCAAACCAUAAUCUUGAAGACCCUGUUCUUUUAUUUCACUUUUUUCGAGGUCUUCAUAAAAAUCACAAACAAAUGCUUCACACAAUGUCUAGAGGUUCUUUCUUUCGCAUCCCUGCUAAUGAAGCUAGAGUGAUCCUAGAUAGAAUCCUAGAAGCUAAGAUGGAUAAUACCCUUCAUGAUGAAAGCUACGAAGCCGAAGUAGACACUCUACCAAAUUCUUCAUCUACUUUAGCUAUCCUAAGUUCUGAGCCACAAGAGGAAGAAAUUCCACUACCGGACUUCAUGCUGGAUAUACAAUCCGAUCUUUUUGCCGAUUUUGGAAAUAUUUCAAACUACCAUUCUAUUGACAAACCCCAAAACGGUCAGUUUAGCAUUUAUUUACUAAGUGAAUAUCAAUUGAGAGAGCUUAUCUCAGUCAUGAGUAGCGAAUGGUUGGAGGAAUCAGAGCUUUCCUCUGAUGUGAUCCGUUUGGACACACCCUCUAUAACUAUACGCUGUGCUUAUUAUUCUGAUCGAUUUAAUGCUCUUUAUAAUCCUGUUGUGGGGAUCAACAUUAUGUCUAAAUCCUUUGCACUUAAACUAUUUAAAAAUCUUAUCUUAACCCCCACAACAAAGGUCAUAAAGGAAUCUUCGGGACGACUAGUCCCCAGUCUUGGAAUUAUUAAUGUCCUACCUCUUACAGUAGAAGGCUCCAUGGUUCACUUGAACUUCUAUAUCUUUGAUACAUGGGACUUCGACCUGUUAAUAGGACAACCUUUUAGAAGACUCCUUUAUGAAGGUCAUACUGGAAAGCUACACAUUUCUUUUGGAAAAACUUUUCAAUUCCUAAUGAUAAUUUCAUACUCCUUAAAUAAUAAGGCCGAGUCAUAUCUUUUGCCUGAUCCUAUGGAGGAAGUAAAGGCUGCAUCUCUAGAGCUUUUAGAUGAACCAGACUUAGAAGACGAAACUCCUUUCUUCACAGAAGAAGAAGACGAACCUUCUGAGCCUGAACCCUUAGAUGAGUUUGCAGAAACACCUAGACCCCCCAUAGAACAUAAAACUUUACCACCCGGUCUUACCUAUGCUUUCCUAAACAAUAAUCCAGAGUUUCCCGUGAUCAUUAGUGAUAAACUCACUUAGGAUCAGACUCUGCAAUUAAUGACCAUUCUUGAGAAACAUCACUCAGUUUUCGGCUACUCACUUCAAGAUCUUACAGGAAUCAGUCCUAUGAUUUGUACUCAUCGUAUUCCAACAGAUCCUUCUGUUACACCCUCUCGAGAACCCCAACGUAGACUUAACAAUACUAUGAGAGAGGUAGUUAAAAAGGAAGUUAUAAAGUUGCUGCAUGCAGGGAUUAUAUAUCCUGUGCCGCACAGUGAGUGGGUGAGCCCAGUACAAGUUGUGCCCAAAAAGGGAGGCAUGACAGUUAUUAUGAAUGAAAAGAACGAGCUAAUUCCGCAACGCACCGUCACAGGAUGGCGGAUGUGCAUAGACUAUAGAAAAUUAAACAAAGCCACGAGAAAGGAUCACUUUCCUUUACCUUUCAUAGAUGAGAUGCUAGAGCGGUUAGCAAACCAUUCAUUCUUUUGUUUCUUAGAUGGAUAUUCAAGAUAUCACCAAAUCCCGAUCCAUCCUGAUGAUCAAAGCAAAACCACUUUUACAUGCCCGUAUGGAACUUAUGCUUAUCGUAGAAUGUCUUUUGGGUUAUGUAAUGCACCAGCUUCUUUUCAAAGAUGCAUGAUGUCUAUAUUUUCUGAUAUGAUUGAAGAGAUUAUGGAAGUUUUCAGGGAUGAUUUCUCUGUUUAUGGAAAAACUUUUGAUAGUUGUCUUGAAAACUUAGACAAGGUUUUGCAAAGAUGUGAAGCAAAGCACUUAAUCCUUAAUUGGGAAAAUGUCAUUUUAUGGUUAGAGAAGGAAUAGUGCUAGGACACUUAGUGUCUGAAAGAGGUAUUGAGGUAGACAAAGCUAAAAUUGAAGUAAUUGAACAACUACCCCCACCUGUGAACAUAAAAGGAAUUCGAAGCUUUCUUGGCCAUGCUGGUUUUUAUCGUAGAUUCAUAAAAGAUUUUUCAUUUAUUGCUAGACCACUUACUCUUUUGCUAGCCAAGGAUGCUCCUUUCGAAUUUGAUGAUGCAUGUCUAACAUCUUUCAAUUUAUUAAAGAAAGCACUCAUCUCUGCACCAAUCAUUCAACCCCCUGAUUGGUCGUUGCCUUUUGAAAUUAUGUGUGAUGCUAGUGAUUAUGUUGUAGGGGCAGUAUUAGGAUAAACUAAAGAUAAGAAGCAUCAUGCAAUUGCUUAUGCCAGUAAAACUUUGACAGGAGCUCAGCUUAAUUAUGCAACCACUGAAAAAGAGCUUCUGGCUGUUGUCUUUGCCAUAGAUAAAUUUAGAUCUUAUUUAGUUGGAGCUAAAAUAAUUGUUUACACUGAUCAUGCUGCAUUAAAAUAUUUGCUCACUAAAAAAGAUGCUAAACCUCGCCUGAUUAGAUGGAUCUUAUUACUCCAAGAAUUUGACUUAGAAAUAAAAGAUAAAAAAGGAGUAGAAAAUUCUGUUGCUGAUCACUUGUCUAGAAUGUAUUUUAAGAGUCCACAGGAAACCCCCAUCAAUGAUUCACUCCGGGACGACAUGCUCUACGGGAUUAACAGGUCUGACCCCUGGUAUGCAGAUAUUGUUAAUUUUAUGGUUUCAGGGUAUGUACCACCAGGAGCAAACAAGAAGAAGCUUACUCAAGAAAGUCGUUCACAUAUAUGGGAUGAGCCAUACCUCUUCCGAGUAUGCUCUGACGGCUUACUCAGGAGAUGUGUGACCACUGAGGAAGGAUGGAAGAUCAUUGACAGAUGUCAUUCAUCACCAUAUGGAGGUCAUUAUGGAGCAUUCCGUACACAUUCAAAGAUCUGGCAGUGUGGAUUCUAUUGGCCUACAAUGUAUGAAGACACGAAGCAUUAUAUCAGAAGAUGUGGGCCAUGUCAAAGGAACGGAAACAUAAAUACAAUGGAUGCAAUGCCACUCACCAACAACCUUUAGAUUGAGCUCUUUGAUGUCUGGGGAAUAGACUACAUGGGUCCAUUUCCUCCAUCAAAGAAGUGCGAGUACAUCUUGGUGGCGGUUGACUAUGUCUCCAAGUGGGUAGAAGCAUUACCUUGCAAGCAUGCCGACAACGUCAGUUCAAAGAGGAUGUUUGAAGAAAUUAUAUUUCCAAGAUUUGGAGUUCCCAGAGUAGUGAUAAGUGAUGGAGGAGCACACUUCAUCAACAAACACUUCAAGCAAUAUCUAUCAAGACAUGGAAUUUGUCACAACGUCGCUACCCCCUAUCAUCCUCAGACAAGUGGCCAAGCAGAGACUUCCAACAAACAAAUCAAGAAUAUUCUUCAGAAGACAGUAAAUGAAAUGGGAACGGCGUGGAAAGACAAGUUACCCGAUGCACUCUGGGCAUACCGGACAGCAUACAAGACCCCAAUUGGAAUGUCUCCAUACCAAUUGGUGUACGGGAAGACUUGCCAUCUACCUGUUGAACUAGAGUUCAAAGCACACUGGGCCAUAAAGAGAUGGAAUAUGGACCUAGAUGUUGCUGGAGAUUAUAGAAGAAUGCAACUAUCAGAAUUGGAAGAAUGGCGAGAGAAGGCAUAUCACAAUUCAAAAAUCUACAAAGAAAGAGUCAAGAGGUGGCAUGACAAGAGAAUCAAGAAGAAGGAGUUCACACCCGGAGAUAAGGUAUUACUUUUUAAUUCCAGGGUGAAGCUUUUCAGGCAUGGAAAACUCCGGAGCAAAUGGGAAGGACCAUUCAAGGUAAUCAAUUCAUCAUCCCACGGAGCUAUCACACUUCAAAAUAGCGAAGGUAUGUUAUUCAAGGUAAAUGGUCAACGUCUUAAAUUAUUUUUAGAGCCCAAUGAGGAAAUUGAAGAAAUAGACGUAGUCCAUUUUUACCUUCCCAUGGAGAAUUAGAGCCCGACACUUUUGGUCUGAUGGUUUUGGGGCAUAUAUAUAUUUUUCUAAAUAAUUUCGCAUCUAGAAAUGCGCUCAGAAAAGUGGGCCCACAGAGGAGCCAGAGAGAGGGCGGGCGCCCAGGUCAAGUGGGCGGGCGCCCAGGUCAAGUGGGCGGGCGCCCUGCCCCUGUUCCCCCUCGGUCCCGACUUUCUCUGUUAUGGAAAAUGCACUUAUGGUAAUUCGAAUAAUCCCUCGGAUAGAAAGUUUCCCACGCGAGUCGACGGGAGCAACCCGAACAACCCAUAGAGGCAUCCUUUUGACCCCUAUAUAAACAGACCCCUGACCUCAGUUUUCAAACACCAAGCCACCAAGCUUUCUCUCCUUCAAUUAGAGCUUAAUUAGCUCUCCUUCAAUUAAAAUUUUAUUAGUUCCUUGCUACUCCAAUGGCCGACAAGUACCACGACGAUUGGGAAGUCGUCCCCUUCAACCUCAACAUGGAGCCAGUGGAAGACCCCGAUGCCCGUGCUCUCAUCCCGGCCAACACAGAACGUCAGCUAGAAGCCAUUCCAUUACGCCAACGCAGCUCCGCCCAAUCUUACCAUGCUCAACCAGUUCUCACCGCACCACCACAACCCCUACUCCUCAAAGGAUCAUCAUCAAAGACAAAGACCACUAUCAAGGUGCCAAUCGGCACAAGAGUCCUUCCACCUAGACCCAAUGAGAGGGUCGUUGGAGUCAAGACCAACCGAAGCGGUGAGAUCAGCAGUGUUCGCUACACUACGAAGGAGGAAAGGCCUUACUUUGAAGGGAUUAGAGCAUCCAAAGUCCGUUUCAUCCCUCCAAAGGCAGCCCCAAAGCACGCUCUCAAUGCUUUUGAGACACCUCCCAAGCGUCGCAAGACUAUAAUGGAUAUUGAUGAGGAAGUUCGCAGGCUAGAUAGAAUUAUCAUAGACCUCCAGUCCUCGAUUAAUUCCCACACUAGGCAGCUCUCUAACCACAACACCAUUAUACUAGGCCUUAGGCAGGAUCUUGCCAGUGCCAACAAGAAGAUCAAGGAAUUAGAGCGCCGCUAAGUUAUCUAGAUUAGACCUUGAGGCAAUGCAUCUUAGUUAUCUAUCUUUAAAUUCGGUUUAAGUUUGCUAUUAUCAGUUUGUUAUUAUCAGUUUGUUAUCAGUUUGCUAUCAGUCUUUUUAAUAAAUGCCUCAAGAUCAAUAAAGAGUAUUACUAUUAUUAUUAUGUCUUGUGUGUCUCUACUUUAUUUUUGUGCAAGAAAGCAGAAAACAAGUAUGGGGGAGAUCCCUCGACAUGCCAACCACACUCCGACUACACCACUCCACGAUUCAGGUACACACUCUGCACACUUUACUUCAUACAUACAUUUAUUUUGGAUUAUGCAGAUUACUGUUUCCGACAUGAUAAAAUAAAAAGAUUAAAAUAUUUCUAAUCAUGAUUAAUCUCAAUCUGUGAUAUUUCCUGAAAACUUACAAUUAUUAUAAAAUCAUUUUAAAACCCUGUGUUACUUAAGUCAAGAUGGAAUAUGUGAUGGUAGAGUAUGAGUUUCUUAUUCUUGAUAUCAUUGUUGCUUGGAGAAUUUAUUUCAAAAUAUUCAAAUUUCUAGCUACCAUCCUCAGUGUUUUAUAUGCCUGAUAAGACUGAAAAUAUUAAUUAUGAUUAUAAAAGCUAUCUGCUCUUAAUUGAGUUUGUUCAAAAUGAGUUAGACCCUUGUUGAGAGAUUUAUCAUGCUCCCAAGAUCAAGACAUUAUUUCAGUAAGAUUCACUCUUCCGAACUAUUAUUGCAUUAGAGGCAUGGGCUAUGCAAAAAUAGAAAUAUUUCGAGGAAAUAAAAAGGAGCAAGUGCUCGAUAACCUCGCAGAAAAAAAUGGACAAGUGUCCGGCAGUAGAAUUAGGGGUACCUCAGUAUCCACUUAGUAAAAAAAAAAGAGAAAAAAAAAUGAUAGCCCAUGGUCCCUCUAAUAAGCAAUAUGCCAGUAAGAGUUGACAAAGUUUUUAAUUUCCAAAGUCUUUGAUCUAAGAGUAUGACAUUCCCCUCCUCGGAUCCCGUUUUGAGCAAGUAAUAAAUGCAAAGUAAGUAUGCUUAAGAAUUUUUGCAAAUUAAAACAACCUCAGUGAGAUAUAUAUAAAAGAUAAUGAGUGAUCUGAGAGAACCUAUGAGGAUAAAAAGGUAUGCUAACUUUCUUUUAAAAAUAUACAAAAACUCCAAGUGGCAGGAUUGAGAAGAAAGGAUCUUUACUCUUAACCAUAUACAUCCCUGACUAUGGUACACAGUGGAUUUUUAACACCCUGCAAAUAUAAAGAAUGUUUUAAAUGUUUACCCCAGAUAUUUUUCAUAACCAUCCUUUUCUCGAGGACGAGUAAAAGCCUAAGUAUGGGGGUAUUUGUUGACGGUUCUUAAGUAUCAAUUUUAAUUAUCAAAUAAACAAGAGAAAGGACCAAUAUGCAACCAUCACCUAGAAUUAGGGUUUGAUCUAACAGAAUUCCACGAGUUUUGUUGUUUAUCUAUUUCUGCUGGGGGUUAUCAGGAAAUAAGGAAGAAAGGCCCACAUGUCGGGAUUACAUAGAGAUAUCAACGCACCGCGCAAUUUUACAUCAUCUAGAAGACUCCAGAAGCCACGAGACCGAAGCGGAGGCGAAGCUGGGCCAGGCCCAGGGCGCCCGCCCUGGAAGCCUGGGCGCCCGCCCCCCUGCUGGAGCCAAUUCAGGACUCCUUCGCUCGGGAUAUUCCACCGACCUAUUGGAUCAAGAAAAACAUAGUACCACCUCGGCUAUCGACCCAAAAACGCAUAGAAGGGGAGGACUAUAUAAGCGAGGCCCCCCUGGCCCCUGGAAGACAUGAAGAAAUUAUCAUAGAGACUGAGGGGUGCCCUCGAAGGAAAACCUCUUCUCUAAUUAAUAUUUCUUUUUAGGCUUAGCAAUCAAUGUAAGGUAGAAAUAAAUCUUCUAGUUUCUACUAGAUUGAGAGAGAUAGAGUGGAGGUGUAUAGUGGAGGAAGCCCGGCCUGUCGGUGUCUACUCCAAGCUUGUACCUGCGGGAUCAAGUUCUCCUAACCCGAAGCUUGCUCCUAGGAUUCUUCAGUAAUUCGACUUCUAAAUUCUAGUAAGUUCUUGUUUUAUUGUUCUUAUGGUUUAUGAGUUUACUUUAAUCUCUUCGCGUAGAGUUUAGAGUAAUCAUUGCUGGUAUAAACGUGGUGUUUAGGCUGGGGUACUCAUAGAUAUUCCCUGACUAGCUGGACCGUGGUAGUAGUGAGGAGCGUGACAUUUCCGAGCUUCCUUUGUAGAUCACAUCUCGUUAGCAGGAAGGAUAGGGUUUAUAGGUGUGGGUUGAACAUCCUUUGUGGUGUCUAGAUUCCGUUAGCCUCCCCAUUAGAACAGUAGAUCAUCCUUACUAAGGUUAGAAGGAGACUACGGUUGCAGUCUUCUCUAUUUAUCACUCACAUCGAAAGACAUUCUUUGUGCCUAAAGGUUAGUAGUAAUAGACCGGUUAGUCAGAUGCACUCUUUCUCCUAGUGGUAAAAAAAUAAAUACGAUACUCUGGAUAAUUUCCCGGGUGAAGUGCUCACCGAUAUCCGUGCGCUUGCGGAUCAAUUCCUUAUUGCGUUCCCAAAUAUCAACACCUAGUGUGACUCAGAGAGCUACCGGAUAAAAAGUUUUGCAACCUAGUUCCAAUCCUAUUCUAGCAUGGCAAUUCUAAGAAAGUAAAAAUGCAAAGUAAAUGCUAGAAAGUAAAGGAGUAGUGGAAGAAAAUGCUCGGCGAUGUUUUGCCGAGGUAUCGGAGAGUCGCCACUCUCCACUAGUCCUCGUUGGAGCACCCGCGCAAGGGUCUUGCUCCCCCUUGGUCCGCACAAGGACCAAGUGCUCUCUACGGGCUGAUUCUUUGACACUCCGUCGCGGUGAAUCGCCCAAAACCGCUCACAAGCUUGACACGAGGCACCCACAAGAACUCCGAGCGGUCUUCGUGCCUCCAAUCACCACCGAACCGUCUAGGUGAUGGCGAUCACCAAGAGUAACAAGCAAAGAACUCUCACUUGACCCAAACAAGGCUCUAGAGAGUGGUGGAUGCACACUUGACUCUUGGAACUCACUAGAGAAGGAUUCUCUCAAUAAAUCACUCAAACUUCAAUCCUCUCUAGGCUCUUGCAACUUUCUUGCUCCACAACAAGUUUCUCUGAUGUUCAAAUGGACAAGAGACCCCUCAUGGACGAGGUGGAGGAGUAUAAAUACUAUCCACCAAGUCCAAAGGUCGGCCAACCAUUUUCCACUGAAAACGGGGUCACCGGACGCACAUUAUGUUGCACCGGACGCACUGCACCGAGCGUCCGGUGCUUCAUAACGGCUAACUAUACUUCUCUCUGACAGGUCACCGGACGCUAACUUCCAGCGUCCGGUGCACCGUCUGGUGCUGGGGAAAACAUUACAUGCUCCCUGCGCAUGGGACCGGACGCUACCCGGCGCGUCUGGUGCUAGCGUCUGGUGCUCAGGGAAACAUUACAUGCUCCCUGGGUAUGGAACCGGACGCUACCCGGCGCGUCCGGUGCUAGCGUCCGGUGCUCAGGGAAACAUUACAUGCUCCCUGGGUAUGGGACCGGACCCUACCCGGUGCGUCCGGUGCUAGCGUCCGGUGCCUAACCCUAAGCACGGCACUGUUCCAACGGCUAAGGACCUCACCGGACGCACUCACAGAGCGUCCGGUGCAGCGUCCGGUGCCCCUUUGGGCACGCAAACUUCGUCGAAACGCGAUCGCUUCAAAAACGAAGUUGGUUCCUCUCGAUCUAAGGACUAUCUCUGAGCUGCCUAGUGCUAGGUUUACCAAAUGUGCACCACACCUAAACCUAAAGCCUUGCCUAAGUCAAGCUACUAGCUCAAAGCCCCUCUUAAUAGUACGGUCAAAGGAAAACAAAGUCCUAAACUACUCUAAGUGCCCUUCUUCACCAUAUGGCACUUAGACCUAGUCUAGUCUUGACGAUGUCCAUCCAUCCUUUGAAAACCGAAAUGAUUUCCACUAUUAAAUAGGCAUGUACGUCCCUGUCCAUCGAGUACCUUUUUACCAUGACCUUACCUAUGACUUUGCCUCUGCAAAACACACGUUAGUCAUAGUAAUCAAUAAUGUCAUUAAUCACCGAAAUCACUAGGGGCCUAGAUGCUCUUUCAAUCUCCCCCUUUUUGGUGAUUGAUGACAAUCUCGAGUAUGAAAAGAGUUGAGGUUUUUAAAGUGACUUGGUUUCAAUAAGCAUGUUACAAUAAGAGCAAAAAGGAUUAGUCAUGCAUAUAUCAACCAAGUCUAAUAUCCUGCAACCAAAAAUAUGAGUGGUAUUCGACAGGAUAUAAACCCAAGGCUCAUAAGUACAUCGGAGUAAAACGUGGAAGCAAAGGUAAUAUGAGCCAAAACACAUGACAUUAAGAUAUCACAAAAGCACAAGUCAUGUCUCAUAACCAUAGUGUCUCACACAAGUGCAAUGCACAAAAGUAAACGUGAUGCAUGAUGAAAUAGCACACAUAAAAAGUAUCUCAAAAGAAUAAACAACUAAACAUCCUCUCUAGCUCCCCCUAACUCCUAACUCUCUCAUACGCCUCUCUCCCCCUUUGGCAUCAAGCGCCAAAAACCUAAGAAGUCGGUGGAGGAGGCGGAGCGGUGGAGUCCCUCGGCACGGCCUCAAAACGAGCUGCAACGUCUGAACUGUCGGCCAUCGAGGCAGAGGAGGUGGAGUGACCCUCUGAAGCUGCAGGUGCUGGUGAAACGGUCCGGGUCUGAUCUGGUGCUGUCACAGGCUGUGCUGGCUGCUCGAGUCCCGGUCGCUGUAGUUGUCGUCUCUGGCAUGGUAGAAGACGGUGCAAGCUGCUUGGACGACGCUAUAGACGACGACAGAAGCUCUAUAGUGGUAACUGGCGCCAUAAAGACUGCAGGAGCCUGCAGAGGAGGAGGCGUAGGGUCACCAGUCAGAGCACUGUAGGUGAAGCUCAGGUGCGGAUCUGUCGACGAGUCCCACACAAGCUGUGACGCUGACGCUGACUGAGGAGUGAAGCCGGAGCGGAGAGGAGUGAACUGAGGUACCUGCUCAAAGCCUGAAGAGAUAGCACCCUGAGAGACCUGGUGCUGUGGCGUCGAGAACGGCUAACUCUGAGCUGGUAGCUGAAGCGGCUGCUGUGACUGGCUCUGAGUAUGAGGCGCUGGAGUCGGCGGCCUGACAGUCGAUGUGCCUGGGAGCUGAAUCUGCGGUAGCUGAAUCCCGGAGGCGGCCAUGAGAGCGGCUAUCAUCGCUGUCUGCUGAGCCUGGAAAGCAAGCUGCUGCUCCUGAAAGGUGAGAAACUGACGCUUGAGCUCAUCCUGCCUAGCCUGCACGGCUGCAUUGAUGGCAGUCUGGUCCCUAUCUGUCCUGGCCUGUUCCUCAGCUGCACGGCGCUGGUCUGCCCUCAUACCCUCUAGUAUAGCAAGAAGAGCAGGGUCUGAGGCACUAGAAGACCCCCCUGCCUCGUGGUCGUGUGCUCUGGGAGGGAGGUCUGACACUGGCGGCUGAUAAUCAUCAUCCGAGCUGUCUGACGCAAAAUCAAACUCUCCCUCAGCCUCUGCAUCGGCGAAAGAUCCAAUCGCUAUGUCCUGCUGCUCCUCUGUCUCUGGUACUGCUGCUGUACUGCGAGUGCCCCUAGGAGAAGGUGGGGGCACCGGUCCACAUGGAGCACAAGGAGGAGGUGCAGCUCUGAGGUCGUGGUGUGCUCGCAGCAUCUGCCUGGGGUCAUAGUGAGGGAAGACUGUGUCUGACUCUGUCAACUCCCUCUGCAAGUGAGCUGGCAAGGGAAGUGGUCUGGCACGAAGAAUAAGCAGGGUAAUCCAAUGUGCAUACGGCAGCUGACGCCGUCCCCUGAAGCUCUCUGAAAUAGUGUCCUCAAUCUCCAAGACUAUCAAAACCCACAAGUCAAACUGUGUCUGUGUGAUGAGGUGAGCAACGAGCCACUGCUGGAUACGAGUGAAUCCAUCUCUAUAGCCUGUCCUAGGGAGAAGAGUCUUCCUCAACACAAAGUUGAGGAUCCAAGCUGGGCGUGUCAAAUCUCCCACUAUCCUGCUGGAGCCCUCCCCAAAAGGUGGACGAAAACAGGGAGCGACGAAGUCAACCGGUGGUAUCUCACCACCGUGAGGACGACGAGGGGGCUCGACGUUCCCGUAGCACAGCUGGUGAAUCCUGGUGGGAGAGGCUCGUAGUCCAAGCACCUCUCUAUUCCUCUGAGCUGUCACUCUGUAGUCUGUCCCUGCCAGUGCGUAGUGGAUAUAACUGUGAUCUGGAGAAACCCACACUGACGCGUAGAACUCUCCGACCCACUGCACAGUAAGUACCAGGAAGAGCUAGCAACUCUGGGAGUCCAUGGAGGUAGGUGAAGUACUGACGGAUGUCUGCUCCAACCACGUUUCCCAAAAUCUCAAGGUCAAUCACUCUGUGCUCCCUGAACUGUGACUGAGAGCAAACCAGUGCCUCGUGGAUGUCCUCCUGGACGACAGUGUAGAACCUGGCACCGACUCUGGGAUCCCUGGCAGCUGGAAACCAGGUGGGAAACGGAACGAACCUCAGCUGCUGGAUCUCUCUGGCUGACACAAGAGUGAGAUCCCUAUGGAUCCUGACUGGCCUCGGUCGAGAAGCUGGAGUGCCUCUAGCUGGUGUAGCACGAGCAGUGGAGGUGGACUGACCCUGCGUACCAGUCCGAGGAGUGGCCUGGGUACGAGCGCGAGUCGACCUCCGGAGGGGCUGCUCCUGCUCCUGUCCCUCUGUUGUGCCCUCUGCCUGGGCUUCUGUCUCAGUGUCUGUGUCUGGAUCCUCCUGAGCUGGCUCACUGACGUUGAUCCUGACACGCUGCCCUCCUAGCAUGAUGGUGCCUGCUGGUGAUCCAUGUCGAGCCUCGGCCUCAAGUACAGCACGCCUCUGACGUGGCGUGAGAUCUGCCCCAAUCCUCAAAGCACCUGCACGACCACCUCUCUCAGCUGCCUCUGCUGCUGCUGCCACUGCCUCGGCCACCUUUGCCUCUCUGUCGCUAGCCAUGCGCUUCUUGGUGGCCAGCUUCUUACCCUUGCCCUUUUCUGCCGCUGACAGGCGACGGGGAGGAUCACCUCCACCAUCACCCCCUGGGGAACCUCCUGCGCUGGCUGCCGGUCCACUAACAUUCUUGCAAUGUGCCAUUGCAAGAAUUAUUGACUGAUCGAACGGCCGACAAGCAACCAACUGACAAUGGAGAUCAACGUGCUGCAGAAAAGAGGACAAGAUAGGGUAUACAUAAGAAACCAUAACGACUAGAGGUGAGAAAACCCUAUAGAUCGCAAGAGUAGGUAAGGAACGAGCGUAAACUGCUUACGAUCGGGCGACGAGACGCGUUCCGGAUUAAAGAAUGGAAUCGGAAUCCUCCAGAGAACACGAAUCCAAUCCUCAAGGUGCUGCAGAUAAGGAACGAAUCAAAUCAUCGUUGGAAACAACUGUCCAGUCCGUUCAAGCAUUGAAUCGAAUACCUCGAGGACAGGAGAUUAGGAACUCACCCAAACCCUAACUGCGUCGCAAGGAGAGAAACUCUAUGCGAGGAGAAGGAAGGGAAGAGCUCCCUGAGCAGAUCUGGCGCGGGGGAAUCUCUAGGGCGCCGGAGAUCUUGGGAGAGACGACGGCGGCGGCGGCUCGGUGACUUAGGGCACAGGCGCGGCCUUGACUGCGGGCGGAUCCGAGAGAGAAGAAAGAGAAGACCCCCCGCGAAAAGGUCCAAGCUCAGGAUUUAUGCGCUAUUCGCGGGGUCACCGGACGCUCUUUAUGUGGCACCGGACGCGUCCGGUGACCACUGGACUCAUGCGCAGAGAGGUAUGCAAUUCGGCAUCGCACCGGACGAUGGGCACCUGACGCUGGCUUUAGCGUCCGGUGCUUCAGGUCACGCCAGGUGAGCACUGGACGCACCUCACCGGACCCUGCAGGGACACUGUUCCUGCGUCCGGUGAGUGCAGUCUGGCACACUCACCGCACCGGACUCACGGAGGCAGCGUCCGGUGGAUCGUCCGGUGCUCCUCUGAGCACUUUUUCAACGAAGCACUGCGCCCGACUUUGACCGAACCAAGUUCCAUCUUCAAAAGCACACAAAUAAACACCAAAUGGAACUGGUAUGAGUGACUUCUCUCAAACCCCUCAUAUUUUCACAAGUAUUUAGCCAUAGGCUUAGUAGUUUUUAGGAAAAUAGUUCGAGAAAAUCACCAAGGAGCAUCAUAUGGCCAUAAAGCUAGGUGUUUGAAUCACACUGAGCUUUGAAUGCUCCCCCUAUCUAUGGACGAACACAGCAGAUGCUCAACGAAUAACCAAAAAGAAACGGUCAAUUAACAAGCAUGCACAUGAUGUGAGUUGUAAUGCAAUACUUGAAAGUAAACUAAUGCUUGUCAAGUUUGAUCCAAGGUUAAGCUUUUUCACACACACGAGGGGGGUAUCUUAACCAUGUUAGACAAGCCCUAAAAGCAAUUUAUAUUUUAGAUUUAGUAUGCAUGAUAUGCAAAGCAAGGGUUAUUUACAAGAUUCAACACACAACAUUUAUCUUUUAGUGAAGUUGGAUAGGUCAAGCACAUUUAGUUCGUUUCUUAACAUACAAAACCUAGCCUCAUCUAGAGGUUUUGUGAAGAUAUCCGCCAAUUGAUUUUCCGUUCCCACAUUCAAUAGGGAUACGUCACCUUUAGCAACAUGAUCCCUAAGGAAGUGGUGGCGGAUGUCAAUAUGUUUUGUGCGGGUGUGUUGAACCGGGUUGUUUGCAAGUUUAACGGCACUUUUGUUGUCACACAACAAAGGUACUUUGUCUAGUAGUACUUCAUAGUCUAGCAAAGUUUGUUUCAUGUAGAGUAUUUGUGCACAACAAGCACCGGCGGCAAUGUAUUCCGCCUCGGCCGUUGACAAGGCAACACUAUUUUGUUUCUUUGACAUCCAAGAGACAAGUGAUCUACCUAGGAAGUGGCACCCUCCGGAUGUGCUUUUUCUAUCAAUCCGGCACCCAGCAUAAUCCGAAUCGGAAUAGCCUACAAGUUGGAAUCUUGCACCUUUGGGAUACCACAAGCCUAGGCAAAGUGUGUAUUUUAGAUACCUAAGAAUUCUCUUGACCGCAAUCAAGUGAGAUUCCAUAGGCAUUGCUUGAUAUCUUGCACACAUACACACACUAAACAUGAUAUCGGGCCUAGAUGCGGUGAGGUAGAGUAGACUUCCUAUCAUAGAGCGAUAGAGAGUCUUGUCAAUUGGGUUACCUCCCUCAUCCAAGUCGAGAUGCCCAUUUGAUGCCAUGGGAGUCUUGAUUGGCUUGCAAUCCAUCAUCUUGAACCUCUUGAGAAGAUCUUGAUUGUACUUCUCUUGAGAGAUGAAGACUCCUUCCUUCAUUUGCUUGACUUGAAAUCCUAGGAAGAAGGAUAGCUCGCCAAUCAUGGACAUCUCAAACUCCUUGGACAUCAAAUGACCAAAUUCCUUGAAAAAAUCUUCAUUAGUAGAGCCAAAAAUAAUAUCAUCAACAUGGCACUCUUUUUUUUCUCGGCUACGAGUGAUUUGGUUUCCCUUAUGCAAAAUUAUUGUGUCUCACUUCAUCUCCAGUGUGAGUUCAUCUUAGGACUUUCCCAUUUUGGAUUUGAUAGUUUUCCUGUAGGGGUUAGUCAAACAAAAAUAUUCCAAUAUCUACUAUAGCAUACUAUCAGCUCAAAAAUCAAACUAGACACCAUGUCUAAUUUGAUUCAAGAAGGCAUUUUAACCUAAGCACCACACUUAAUUUAAAAAGCCUUUGAAUGUAAGAUCACAACUCCUAAACUAGGCACCAUGCUUCAUUUAAGAGAUGUUUGAAACUACUUCAAAGCCUAUGCAUACUAUAGCAAAUAAAGGUAGCAUGAGAGCGUUAUAGAUAUUUUCUCAAUAGUGAUGAUAGUGUAUGAUCGCAAUGAGAAAUAUUAUUAUAUUUUUAGAUGCAGAUGAAUUGUAUGCAUGCAAGGAACUAAACAUGAUGUGGAUGAGAAAACUAAAUGAAGUGGAUGCAUAGAUGAUUCAAAGUAAACAUGCAGUGGUAUGCAAGGAAAUAAAAAUAUAACUACUCAUAAGGUUUAAAGCCCAUGAGUAAGACUAUCUCACCUUGAUCAUACUUACCAUGAUGCACAACUGGGAUGAGUGGCGUAGCAUAAAUAUCUGUCACAUGUGAUGGGGUUGUAUUCUUGUGAAGAUGAAAUUUUCUCCAAUCAACACAUGGUUAGAAUAAAUAAUAUAUAUGUGCAUACACAAACCUGUGAGAUGGCAGGGUUCCAGAAUGAUGGAUCUUGAAUGUUCAAGCACCCUAGUUCUUCAAUCUUGUGGAACCUUGUCACAAGGUCGAAGCCGCAUCUGAUGUCUUGUCUAUUCCACACUCAACAGAACAAAGGGGUAAUCCUACUAAAGCUAGUGGUACACUAAAUUAGCAGACAUCAAGAUCAUUAUCAAAAUCUUUACGCCAAUUGCUUCCCCGGCAACGGCACCAAAAAUGCUUGUUGGCAUUUCUUAACGCAAUCACCAAAGAUAGACAAAAACCCUAAUCCCUAGCAACCAUGCCAGAAAUGCUUGACGACAUUCAUUAGUGCAAAAAGAAGUAUGAAAGACUCUACAAGCGCACCGAACAUCAUCGUAGCAUUUUACCAGGAGUAUUCCAGGUAUCGUUAUUUAUAUUUUACCACAGGGAAGCAGGGUUAAGAAUCUUGAUAAUUCACUAUCCUACAUCUACUAACAUAAAGUAUCAACUAAACUAAAGCAGGGGUAAAUGAUAUACUAUAGAAUAAACAAUUAAGCACAUAUAAGAGAAUUCAAUGAUAAAUGUAUAGCUAGUCAUAGCAGGAGGACAACAGGAAAGAUCAAGAUUCCUUUAUACUUCUCUAUUAGUUAGGUUCUAAGGCAACAGAAUAUGAAAAUAUAUCACAUAAUGGCACUUUGGAGCAGCAGGUCCUUUCCUAUCACAACCAUAUUUUAAGAACAAAAUAGGAUGCAUGAAAGACUCAUAUGUGCCCCAGGAAUAGUCGCACACAUAAGUAGACAAAUCUCAAAUGUACCAUUGCAGUGUUUAUUACAUAGCGACACAUAAUAAAUCACAUAGUCUCAUACAAAGAUGAUAAUAAUAUUAAACAAUGCUCUCGACGGAAGCUCCACACAGGGACACUGUUGACUGGUUGACUCCAAACCUAGUACUCAUAAUGGUAGUCCUCAUUCCAAGCAUCUUCAUUAUCAUAUUCUGAGGUGUUGGGAAAUUGUAAGAGUGAGCACAUAUCGUACUCAACAAGUAUAACCAGGGGUUCAUGAGGCUCAAAUAGCUGACACUGGUUUGACUGCAUUUAGCUUUUAUAUGUAGAUAGCAUAUUUAAUUAUUGGAUAGCAAUUAUCAAGGUAGCAUAUUAAAUCCCAUAACCACAUGAUCAAUGUAUACAAGAAUUAAGAAUAACACAUAUAAAUAAUAUAAUAAACCAUUAUUUAUUAUCAUUAUUCACGUUCAUCAGUGUCCAUCUAUUCCGUCAGUUUUCCGGGCCGCCCGUAUCCGCGGGCACGGCUAGUAUACCAGAUUUAACACUCUGCAGAGGUUGUACAUCUUUACCCUUGAGUCAUGAUUUACCCUAUCGCCCGAGGUAGCUAGUCUCUUAACCCCCUUCCUAGGGAGGUCGGCAGGGAUCACUAUGAAGCCAUUCAAAAGUUCGUCUAGCAAGGUUUCCUUCGCGAGCAGAUAUAGAUACCCCCCUUCCGAAUGGCACAAUGACGCGUAGCCUAUACACAUAGGGACAGGGGCUCGCACUAUACCCGUGUCGGUUCAGCCCCUCUAGCGCCCUUUCGGGUAACCGCUAACAAGCUAGAAAAGGUCUUCAUACUGAGCUAAAGCCAGAGCCAUAUAGCCCUCAUGGUUGUACGAGUUGUCCCAGCUUUUGCCAAGGGAUAAGUCCUUAUGGAGGGUCAAGAUCAAUCUAGCAAAAGCCAGAGUUCUUUCCACUCUUUAUAUUCAAGUUGGUAGAAAGCUUAUUUUAUUGUUUAUUGUAUAUUCAAAUAUUCAUGUUACAAGAUCAUGGAUUAAUAAUCAAGCACUAGCAAGAACUACCCAAAUGCAUAUCAAAAUAGGUAACAAGGAAUUCAGGAUAACAAUCAUCUAUGAUUUUGCUAAGGUCAUCAAGGUGAUAGCAUGCAUAUGAUAAAUGUUAUAUUAAUUGUGUAUAGGUAAUAAGGAUAAUCCCAAGUUAUACUUGCCUUGAUCAAAGCUCUCCUGAGCCUGCUGGUCCUCAAAAGCUUGGUCUUAAUCACCAACGUACGGCUCACCGUCUAUUCCCAAACAUCAAUCAACAACACGCAAUCCAAUGGAGACAAUCAUACACGAAGCAAACAAGCUAUUAUUAGAACAAUACACCAAACAGUAGUAAAACAAAUAUAAAAGUUUAUCAAAAUAUUCUACGCAGCGCUACGAUCACACAAACGUAAAGUUCAUGAAAAUCGGAAUUAAAACGGAGAAGAUAUGAAUUUUCCAAGAUUUCCUAUAGAGAAAUAAUUAAUUAAAUAGUACCAGGAAAUUAAAAAGUUUCAAAACAGUGAAAUAUUACUUCUAACAUGUAGAGCUCGUAAAUACGAAUCUAACGAAAUUUGAAUGGACAAAAACGGAGUUAAAAUGAAUAUUUUAUACGCCAUUUAAGUUCAUUGGCAAUUCUGUAAUGAUAGGAAAGCGUAAUUUGAUUCAAACCGACGAAAAUACGUUUCCCAAACUGAAAAGCGUAAAGCUGAAAUUAUGCCAUGGACCAUGGGUUGAUUCCUGGAAAAGUCCAGGGUCUCUUUAGCAAAACAGUCGGGCGAACGGGUAUGUUUUAAUCCUGGCCGUUGAUCUUCGGUUGGAUGGCUGGCAGGCUUCCGCUUCCUCGGAGCGCAGGGCCGUCGUCCGGCCGGAGGUCAGCACCGGCUCGGUGGCGCCUUGGCCACCGUGAGGAAGCUCACCGGCGCGGGUUUCUCGUUUCCGAGCACCGUUUCAAGAAAGAAAAACACCGGGACGUGGAGAAGCUUCACGCGAACUCACCUAGACGCUCGGUUCGCGCUGAUUGGAAGGAGAUAGUGCUCGUCACGGUGAAGGAUGUGCGCGGCUGUCGGCGAGAUCCAAAUCGCGUGGUUUAGGGCGGCUAGGGCUCGGUUUCGCGAUUAGGAUGCAGAUGAGAGUUCGCUGCGGUGCGCAGGGGCUGAAAAGGGCGCCGUUUAGCCAAAUUGGCAAGGAAAUCCCGCUUCCCCGGAUUCGGUUCGGCGCUGGAGAGUCUCCCGGCCGAAACCGGCUCGUCCACGCUGGGAAGAAAGAGAUAGGCGCUGAUGCGUGGGCCCGUGUCGUCAGUCGCAGAAAGGAGGGAGAGGGAGGGAAGUGGGGCGCACGGGCCGGCCUAGCGCUUGAUGGGCCGCAGUGGAGAGGAGGAGGCGCGGGGAAAAAAACGCUGGGCUGAGCCCCGGCAUGGCUUUCCAGAGGGGCGUUCACCCCUUUUUUUCUUAUUUUUUUUUUCCAAAACAUUUUUUCCAAAGGCUUUUAAUUAGAAUUUCGAGAGCAAAUAAAUUCUAACAAAAGUCAGCAGCAUAAUUAAAUAAAGAUGCUCCAGCAUGAAUGCAAAAUUCACGUUUCUAAAUUUAUGAUAAAUUUUAAUUUGCACAAAAUUAUUUAUUUUGCUAGAUUCAAAUGCUCACAAAAAUUAUUAAAUAAACAAAUUAAUUCCUAUUAAUUCAAAAGCAAAUUUUUGGGUGUUACAUUUCCGACUCUCGAAGAAGACUGGGAAGGAACUAGUCGGGGGAAGGCUGCCAAAGGCUCUACAAAACAUCAAUCCAAAUAUGGUGGAAUACAAAGGCCUAACAGGGCUGUUACCCCUGGGGCUACCACAACUAUCUGUGGGAUUGAGCGCAACCUCAGGUAAACUAUAGCAUAGACACCACGUCUACACUAGCAUUUACUACUCUAAUUACUAUAAAUAACUAGAGCUCAUACGAGCGAAGAUCCCAUGCCAAGAUAUAACAACUAUACUAAUCAUAAAUAGGCAAAAAGUAAAUAGAGAAGAUAAUAUAUUAAAGCAUAAGUCUUACAAAGAAGAGAUAUGAAAACAUACCAAAAGUCUAAAGACUCCUCUAGAACCGGAGCGUAGCUCCACUGUCCCUAACUCCCGACUAGAACUAAUCUACUACAAUUGAAUGUCUAGACCUAAAUCUCUAGAGAAGAGAGGUCAUCCAUUUGAGGGCACCUCCACAACUCAUAAUGAUUCUCUUCUCCAAUGGGGGGGUCAGGGUCUUUAUUUAUAGCACCCUAGGAAUCACGACAACUCUUGGAUCAAAUAGACUUAAACAUGCACUUAAGAUUAAUCCUUAAAGUCGGUGGAUUGGGAAUCCGCGAGGUUGAAGAUGAUUGGCUGCGGUAGCUGGGCGGCUGCCCAAGGGGGGAGGAGGGGGCGCCCAUCCCCUGUGGCUGUUUGCCUGCUCGUUUGUUCUGGUGUAUUCUCGAACCUUCUAGACUCGAGAAAAGUGUAUUUUUUGUGAAAUUCAUAUUCCUUCAUCCGAGACUCCAAAUAGGGCAAAUGAUAUAUGGAUUUCAAUCAUCUCGAUGAGCCUGUCGCAAUGGUGUAGUCCAAUUCAUCAUUUGAGAUACUUUUAUUAAAUGAUUAGUUUGCCUUUAGCUCUUUUCCUAUGUGACCCCUGCAAAACAUAGAUGCACCAAAACUCAUGGAAUUUGUUAGUUUAAACCUCUAAACCUAUGUUGGUGAGCAUCUCUUUGCAGUUAUAAAAGUUAUGUCGACAGUUAAAAAUAGGAGUUAACUACCGUCAACAGUUGGCUUGCUUCAUCUUCUCUUGAUCAUAGCUUGCAUGAGAGAACUAAUAAGAAUACCACUUGAAAUAGCAUGACUAGCUCUCUUUUCGGUGUUGCUUGCUUUCUUGAUCAAUCCUUUUGAUUACUUCCACUAAGCAUCUCAAAUGUCCUUUAGAUCACCACUUCCAUGUUAGCCUUCCAAGCACCACACUUGGUUUACCCACUCCUCGGGCGGCAAGCCCCUCUCAUAGGGAGAACUGACAUCUCUCCAAAGAACCAUUCUUGAUACUCACUUGAAUUGCUUUGAUUGAUUGAUUCAAGUGAUGGACUUAAUAUGAUGAGUAACCAUGAAUCCUUCAUCAAGUCCUUUUCUUUCUACCAAAUGAUCUUCAAUAGUCACUAGAACUUAAACUUCAUCUUCAUCUUGAGUUUGAUCUUAAUCUUCAACUUGAGUACUAAAUGUGUACACCAAGUACAUUCCACAAUCAAAUAGCUUUGUACUCAAUAUUUCUCAUGCUUCUAGAUUAAUUGAAAACCAAACUUAAGUUCCUCAAACACUUAUAAUCAUGUUUCCAACUUGAGGACCUUUCAAUUGAAGUGACUCUAGAUCAAUUCUAAUAUUUGUCACUUUUUUGGAAGACUUUGUAUCCUUCAAAGAUAAAUUAAUAUAUCAUAAUGUACAGAUCCAAAUAGCACGAAAUUUGGUGGAGAUGUGCUUCACUAAGUCAUCCAGCAGCUGUAAAAGUUUGAGCUUCAUUUGACUUAUAGAUUGCUACCAGAUUUUAAUUCUUCCACAACUGCUACAUGCUGAAAACUACUGCACUAUAGCUGAUAAGAUCCACUCCAAAACCAAAGUAUCUCUUAUUCAAUUCUCAUAAAAGUUUUAUAGCAUCUUAUAUGAUAAGUGUAUAGCAUGCAUACCAAAUUUCAAGCCAUUCCAAAUAGAUUCGACUACUCAAACUCAGACUUGAUCUCAGCCAGCUCAGUCUUCAAUAUUGGAUAGAUUUUAAGCAAUUGAGCUAUACUUGUUCAAAUUGAAUCAAAGUUGAAAUCAACUUGAUUGAAUACUUUCACAAGACAUAUAUCCAUUCAAUUCACUUACUAAAAGUCAUCUUACGAAUUUAUCCAACUCAAAUCAAUUCAAACUUGAUUACUAUGCAUUUAAUCCAUUCAGACAUCUCAUAGCAAGCAACAUGCAUAUAUAUCCAAUUCAAUAAACUCAUAUGCACCCAAAUCAAUGUGAUCAACAAAGAUAUACCUUGGUUGGAUCAUGAUCAUCCCAAGCUUCUUUUCACAGUUUUGCAAGCCAUUAUAAUUCCAAUAAAUCAUCACAACUUGAAUAUAGCACUUUUAUGUUGUAGCAUUUGGACUUCACUUGUUUUGACAUGGCAUUGGGAUAAGAUAAGCAUUAAGCUUCAUAACUUGACUCAACUUAUGAUGAACAACAUGAGGCCAAUUGAAUCAAGCCUCCAAUGUCGAUGGUACCUACAAACAAUCAUCCACUUUUUGAUGGAACCCAAACUAAUUUGGGUCCUCUCAAGUUAGGAGCAACAUACUUAGGCAAUGCCUUAGUAUGAGUAGCGGGAUGCAAAAGCAACCAUAGAGGUACCAUUAUCAUCCUUUCUAAGCACACUAGUAUUAUCAAUUGAAAUAGGCUUAGAAUUCUCACCUAGGGGACAAGAAUGAGCUAUGUGUCCCCUUUCCCAGCAUAAGUAGCAACUUCUUUUGGAUUGAGUCUUUUCUUCCAUGCUCAUGUGUUGCUUCUCAUUUCCUUGCCUCUCAUGAGUUGCUUGAGCCUUCUUCUUAAGCUUGGUAGAACACUUUAGUGUCCCUCAUUCUUGCACUCAAAACACUUGAUGUGGGUGAGGUCUUUUGAUGAUCUUGAUUUUCUACCUCCCUUUAUUGUCUUCUUCUUCAUCAUCCCUAUGUCACCACCAUCUUCAUGUUAGAUCUUGACUUGAGCUUGGGGUGUCUUAUCUUGCUCAACUUGUGGCUUUGGUUGAGACUUCACUUGAUGCUUCACCAAUUGCUUGAUUGGGCACAUUGAGGUGAGAUGACCCCAAGUGUGACACUUGAAGCAUUUUACAUGCUUGAGCCUCUCUUCUUCUUUCAUUUUCUUGAACUUCUCUUUGUUUGGACAACCAUUUGCAAGGUGUCCUGCUUCAUGGCACCGAUAACAUAUAGUAUGAGAAAGUUUCUUUUGAUGGAGCUUCUUUAUCUUCUUUUCUUGCUUUCUCUCGCCCUUUGUCAACUUCUUCUUGAAGCCAAGGCCACACUUGUCACUGUUGGCGUUUCUUAGUGAAACUAUUAAUGAUAGAGUUUUAGUCCAUCCUUAAUAAUAACACUAGAAAUGUUCUUGGCAUAUCCUAACCACCAUCACUUUAGAAAGAUAAACCAAGACCUUUUACGGCGCUGGCCUAGGUAGUGCAGUCUAGUACUGUUGACGGUCCUUAAUGCUCACAUUUAACCAUCAACUAAUCAUAGAAAAGGAUCUAAAUGCAACCAACACCCAGACUUAGGGUUUUAUCUGACAGAAUUCUACGAGUUUUGGUGUUUGUCUAUUUCUGCAGGGGGUUAUCAGGAAAUACGGAAGAAAGGCCCACACGUCGGGUUUACAUAGAGAUAUUAACGUGCCGUACAAUUUUCUAUCAUCUAGAAGACUCCAGAAGCCACAGGACCGAAGCGGAGGCCAAGAGGACUCAGGGACAAAGCGCCCGCCAUCCUUUCCUGGGCGCCCGCCCUCAGCCUGAGUCCAAUCAGGACUCUCUUUCGGGAUAUUGCUCCACCGACCUAAAGGAUCAAGGAUAACCGUUCAAUCAAUGUCGGUUUGAUCCAACGGCCCAGAUUCACUUGAAGGGAGUAUAAAACCAGACCCCCUGGCCCCUGGAGAUCAUACCUCUUCUACAGAAUCAAAGUUAGGGCUUCAAUUCUUCAUCCAAGUAGAGAGGAUCCCUCUAGUUCUUCUAGUUCUACCUCUAGUUCAUCUAGAUCUAGUUCUAGUUCAUCUAGUUCUAGUUCUAGUUCCUCUAGUUCUAGUUCUAGUUAGUUCUAGUUGUAAUCUAGAAAAUAGGGAGAGAGAAGAGGAGAGCGGAGGAGGAGCCGGGUCUGUCGGAUCUUCCUCAACAUUAUACUUUUGCAGCAUCUGGUUCGUUCUUCAUCAUUCUCCAGGUUCUUCAAUUCAUAAUUCCUGAGUUCUUUAAUUACUUUUAUUUACAUUCAAGUUAUUUAUUGGAUUCCCGCUUGCAUCAAGUGCUCUAGUCUUUAUAAUGCUAGAGUAGUAAUUAAUAGAUUAGACGUGGUGUUUAGUCUUGCGAUUAUCUAGAAUUGCACCCAAUCCUGCGGAUUGUUGUGGUAGCCCUAGGGUAGUGACAGCCCUAACGGUUGACGUAUUCCACCUCGUUCGGAUCGGUGUUUGUAGGACCGUAGUCAGACCUUCCUAGCCCCCUUCUCAUCUCUUUCUGUUGUUAGUGCUCUGAUGUCCCGAUAUAGAUAAUCUUGAAGUAAUUCUUGAUUCUUAGAUCAACUAGAGAACUCUCAGGAAACUUCCUCUCUUCCCACCAAAAAUAAUUAUAUAGUUAUCCUUGGGCGAUCUUGGAUCGUAAUUAGUACACUCACGUUCCCUGUGGAAAAUCGAUACUCUGGAAUACUCCCAGGUGAAAGUUACAUCGGUAUCCGUGCGCUUGCGGAUUUCUCCGUUUGCGUUUAAAAUACCCAACAAGCUUUCUGGCGCCGUUGCCGGGGAACGGAAGGUGUGCUAGUUUCGAACCAAGUCGUCCGUGUAUCCUUUUUCUUUUCCUUUUUUACCACACUCACCUUAUCAUUUUCACCAUACCACAUGGAUUUCACUCUAAGCAUCAAUGAGCAUGGAAUUUAUUUCAUAGCCACUUCAUUUACUCCAUGCUCAUAUGCAACAUAUUACCAAUCCAUUGGUCUCUCCAACAUCACCACAUUCGAGAUCUCCAACCCCCUCAUCCUUUCUAUUUAUAAAAACUUUAAAAGGGCGGUUGUCGAUGCAUAUGUCUAUAUUAAAUAUUACAAAUAUCGUUGAGUUGAUCUUGAUAUAGGUCAGUGUUGGAGGGGAAACCACUUCGCCGACAUAAAUUGAUGGUUUCCCAAGGACAAGCUUAGUGUCCUAAAACAAGCACUGAUCAGACCAUAACAUGAACUUUUAAUUAUUUGCAACAUUAACUUGUGUAUUGAGCAUAUAAGGAUAAUUGUAAAAAUAUUCCUUCGGGUAUUCUUAUCACUAACCUUUCCAGGAUUGGAGCAAGAAGAUCGGAUGAAUGACAAGCACAAGGUAUGUCCAACCAAUCAUCAUACAACAGUGAAUUAAAUUCAUCCAAACUUGAAUUUUGCAAAAUUCAAGCUUGGGGGAGUACUUUACAUUAAAAACUUCCUUUGCCAUGUUGCUAUGUUGGUUGUCCCUACCUUUAAGACAUGCUCAAUUUUGUUAAAUACUAAUCACACUACUUCAUCUCCACUUGAGUACAACUCUAUAAAUGCUUUCAUGCUACCUUUAUUUGCUUUAGUAUAUGUCUAGGUUUGGAGUACUUUCUUUUAUCUCUUAAUUAAGCAUGGUGCUUAGUUUAGGAAUGAUGAUCUUACUUCCAAAGGAUUUUAAAUUAAGCAUGAUGCUUAGGUUAAAAUUCCCUCCUAAAUCAAAUUAGACAUGGUGUCUAGGUUGAUCUUUGAGCCGAUAGUAUGCUAUAGUAGAUAUUGGAUAUUUUGUUGGACUAACCCUUGCAGGAAAACUUUCAAUAUCGACCUGGGAAGUCCUGAGAUAAACUCACAUUGGAGACAAAGAGAGAGACACAUGAAGUUUAACAAUUUACACAAGGAAAGCAUAGCUCACAAGAGAUGAUCCAUGGAGGGUGCCACAAACACGAUGCACAACCGCUAAGAAAGGAAAGCUUCAACAAGGUGAUACUAUACCAUCACUCUUCAAGUAAGGUAACAUCUUAAGGUACUUUAUUAUCACUUUUAUAAGAUUUUCCUUGGUUUUGGCGUUCACAUGAAUAAAAGAGACAAACAUGUAUGAUUUUACUCUAGAUUAACCAACCCAAUCGAUUCAAUAUGUUUAGUCCUUCCACCUUUGUGAUCCUACACUCCUAAUCAUACAAGCUAAAAUGUUGCACACUCAAUCUUUGGAAGAUAUAAACAAAACAUAAGUAUAGAUAGAUUAUCUUUCCAUUAGGUUGAGCGAUCUGAUCUGACAAAUGUUUUAAAUGCUAUACUCAUGAUCUUAUUAUCCAUCAACUUUGUCUUGUUCACUAUGCUUAAGGUUAGAGAAGAACAAAUACACUUUUGGUUCUGUUGGUGUUUUCCACCAACAGGGCCCAUGCACUUGAUCUCUGCCUUGUCUCUAUGAGCAGGUACACUUCGAGCAAAAUAUGAAGGACUUUUACAACUCCCAGACUCCACCAAGUGAAGAACCUAGAUCUACGAGCACAAACACACUGGAGAUACUGGACACUCAGGCAAUCACUGCCCUGAGAUGCUUAAGGACGUAACUACUGGAGUAACCCCGUUGUGGAAGUAAUUACUGACCUUCUGCCGGUCAAGAGAGACAAACCAGGACGCCCCGUCAUCCCGAUCUCCAUCGGCAUGGUGGACUUCCUAGAAGCACUCUAUGACUUUUGCUCCAGCGUCAACAUUAUGGCCAGGCUUGCAGAUCGUACGCUAAGUUUCCCAAAGAGAAUAGUGAAGAACCUCUGCGUCCGAGUUGGUACCUUGUACGCCCCAGCAGACUUUGUAGUGAUAGAAACUGGUACUGAUGAGAAGGCACCCAUCAUCAUACGGAGGCCAUUCCUGAACACCUCGGGAGCUCUCAUCUACGCUAGUGCUGCCAAGAUCAGUUUCUACAUCAAGGGGAGGAAGGAGACGUUUUCCUUCGAGAACAAGAUUACACAAAUCUCAGAGCAAUCUAGACAUGAACCAAGGAAGAGGACCAACAGGAGGGACAGGAACAAGCAAAUGUGGACCAAGUCAACUAAGAUGGUCACUGCAGUUCAAGGAGGUCAAGAUUGUCGAUUUAAAUCACCGUUCCUGACCAAAAAGGACGAUUCAGAUAUCCCAAGCAUCUAGUGCUCCAUUAAUGGAUACAACUUCCAGAAGAUGCUUUGCAACACUGGAUGGCAGAUCAAACAUUCCGAAAGAUUGAAGGUUAUUAACAUGGGAGAAGACGAGCACGAUCCACCCAUCAUCCUUGGAAGACCGUUCCUCAGCACCGUUAAAGCAAUCAUCUACAUUGGAACUCGAGAAGUCCACAUGCAUUUCCCCUCUGAGAAGGUACGCUGCUAUUUUACUGACCCUAACUAUAUAGUUGAAGACUCUAAGCAGGUCAGGACAAGAAGAAGACAACGCAACCGCAACCAGAGGAGGCAAAUCAUCAAGGACGGAUGGGCAGACUAUGAAGAAGAAGUGGUAAGACCUGAAGACAUACAGCUUGAACAGAACUGUCCUAAGGAGACCAUAGCACCGAGUCAGGUGUGUAGAGAGAAGAUAGUUAUAUAUGAAGAGCAGGCGCCGCCGGAACCACCGACUACGCCAUUCAGCGAAUCCCAGGACGACUCAGAAAACGGAGAGUCCCGUUCGGAGGACUUAAAAGCACCGAACGCCUUGCCAAGAGGUAAACUUGGUAGUUAUCUUUUUCCUUUCAACUAUUUAAAAUAGUUUGCUUAGUUAAUCAGGUUCAUAACAUCUUGAAAAGAAAAUAAAAAUGUUAAAAAUAGUAAGCCCCAUGUGAGUAUGCUCAUGGCAUAAAACCCAUAAGUACAUUCACUGUGGUGGCAUAAAAAUAAAAUAAAUAUAUUCCUAUCCUAUAAAAAUGAAAAUAUAAAAAUAAAUUUAUGAUCCUACCAAAGAGUGUAACAUUUAUUGAGGAAGCUCAACAUGAUAAAGGCUAGAUAUUUAUGCUAACACCUAAUCAGUUUCAUAAAGCUUUGUUGUCUAUUUGAGCUCCACAGAAUUCAAGGAUCAAAGAAGACUAGCAGACGGAGGACAUCCUAAUCACUGUCAGGGUGCUGCCGACAUUCAAACACACCUCCGCCACCUGCUAGCUACAUCAGAAGAAAUUGCGUCAAAUCCAGUUUGGGGGAGAGCACCUCCAUUUAUCCAGCUAAGUGUUCUACUCAUGUUUAUACUUUACUCUAAUAAUAAAAAGAUGCAUAAUCAUAUAAACCCAAAUAAAGAUUUUGUGCUUAUAUAUAUAUCUUUGCUUAGUUUGCUAAAUAAAUAAAUAAAUAAAGUUUGCUAUGAACCCUCAUGAUAAGCUCUCACAUGGAAAUGAUGAGUAGUUGCUCUGCCAUGACUAGUUCUCAAAAUUGAAAUCUCCUCCUAAGUUUAGGCCUGACUGUUAUUAAGUAAGUUUUGCUCUAAACCUGAACUUGUGGGGAGAGUACUUGAUCUGAAAUCUAAGUCGUUAACGGAUAUGAUAUGGGAAGGUUGAGCUGCUGUUUAUCUAUUUCUAUAGAUGCUAGAAUUCUGGAGAAUUUUAUCUUUGAAAAUCUUUAAAAUGUUGCAUGAUGAGUUCCUGUAUGAUGAGAGUUUAAAUUCCUACCACAGCCAUAUAUACAUGCUUAUUAGAUUAUGAACCACAUAUCUACUUUACUGCUUAUGAGCAUUGAGUGUGGUCAAGCUGUGUAGACCCUUAGGAGCUUGUCAUGUGGUUAAAUCAAGAUUCACAUGCACGUUCACUCACAUGUGUUGCUUCUACUCCGGAAGUACGCAUCCACAUAUAUCCACUCACUUCCAUCUCCAGAGCCACCCAAAAUUAUUCUACUCCUAAUUCGGGAGAGAAUAGCCAAAAAUAUUUCUGUUUCUCCCCUGCGAAAUAAAUGCUCAAGAUAUCUUGUUACUACCACUUGCUAUAUUAUUUCAGGAGAUGAGUGCACUAAAAAAAGAGAAAAAAAGAGAAAGAAUACGAGGAAAUAAAAAGGGGCAAGUGCCCGGAACCUCGAAGAAAAGAAAAAGUGAGACGAGAGGUAAAAAUGGACAAGUGUCCGACAGUAGAAUUAGGGGUACAAGAUACCCACCUGAGAGAAACGAAAAAGAAAAUAUAGAGCAUCUCAUUCUCCUUAAAAAGUUUCAAAAGAGCAAGAAAGGUAUGUAUCCCCUCAAAAGAGUACAAGUAGAAUUAGACUUUCACCAUUGUUAUCACCAUCAUCACCAUACACCAUUCAUUCGCCACACAUGCACAUCUUGAUUUGAUUUAUUGACUUGUUCUUCUAGAUCCAUGGUUUGACUAUGCAAUAAAUGUCUUGUAAGUACGUAUUAGCUGUCUCCCACCUAUGAGCUCUAGAUAUCAAAACCUUAUUAGAGUAGGGUGAGAGAGAAGACAAUGCCAUUAUGCCUCAUACCAAAAAUACCACAUACUUUGAGAGAAGGCAUACACCAUUACUGCCUUGGUAAGGUUCCAGAAAUAUCACAAAAGAGAGACUAGAGAGAGUCAUACAAGGAAUCUCUGAGUUUUAUUUGAAAAUCUACAAAAACUCC
rnacentral:lncRNA from 1 species